UUUAUUUUUUUGUCUCGUCUUAUCUAAGUUUUAUAAAAACAUAAAAGCAGUACCAAAAUCAAUAUUACUAAUUAUACCUCUGUUACUAAAGUUUAAACCCCUAAGUAAAAUAUUUUAACAUUUAUAAUUAACAAAAGGCAUUUAUUAAAUUGGCCAUGCUGUUGUUUCAUUCCCAUUUGAGCAUUUAAACAUUUUAUGAAACUGUGGUUUCUCCACCAUAAUUACUUAUGCAUUAUUUGGCUCAGUCCGAACAUUUUAGUUUUUAAUAUUUCAAAACUUUAAUUGUUUGACUUGAUUUUGAAUUUGAAUUUUGAAUCGGUUUUUGAACUAACCCGAGAUUAACUACAGUGACAGAGGUGACGUGGCAUCAUUAACGGGGGAUUACUGUAGCCUAAGUAUCCGGGCGUCACGGUAGUUCUCUAUUGGUUUCCCGAUUUCAGAGAAUUUAUAGAGGUGGAAUUAGGUCAGACGGAGCGAUGAGGGGCACAAAAGGCAUCAGGGAGCACCUACCCCAUGGGUGCACCAUGUUGCCUUGCCAUCUCCUCGUUUUCCUUCUGGUCUCCUCCUGAAGCUUCUAGGGCUUCUCUUGUCUAGUAAAAUAAUCAUCAAAAUGUUUCAUACUGUUUGGACUCCGUUUGGUACUGGCCCGUAAUAAUCCAGCUUCCGUGAUAUAAGAUGAUUCGCUCGCUAUCUGAGGAAGGAGGGGUGAGGUCCUCAGUUGCGAGUGAGGCAAGGCUUUCUUUUAUAAUACUGUAACGCCCACGAUGCGGCUAUAUCUCCCACGUGUCGAGGCACGACUUAGAGGCAUAACCGCAUAGUGGUUUUGUCGCAAGAAGGGUCAUCUUCACACAAUCCCAUGUAAUGAACAAGAAUGGGAUAAAGAGUUGGCUUACAAUCGCCACUUCACACAAUACAUAAAUAUAAUUCAUACAUCAUCCAAAAUACACACAUAUAGACCGACUACGGUCAAGAUCCAAAUGAAAAUAAGAUAACCCCAAAUGCUAGGUCCCCGAACGUCCCAACUGGGCUCCACUACUGAUCAUCAGGAAAAGACACAUAGUAACGACCACGUUCCUCAUCGAACUCCCACUUGAGAUCGAUCCCAUCAUCUGCACUGGCAUCGUCGGCACCUGCAACUGUUUUGGUAGAAUCUGUGAGUCACGAGGACUUAGCAAUCUCACACCCACGAGAUCAAGACUAUUUAAGCUUAUAGGAAAGGAUGGUGUAAUGAGGUCGAGCUGCAGCGGCAAUAAGCAUAUAUGGUUAUUAACAUACGCAAAAGAGAGCGAGAAGAGAAGCAACGGAACGGUCGUCAUCUAGAAAUGAUCAAGAAGUGAUCCUAAACUCCUACUUACGUCAUUCAUAACUCAAACCGUGUUCACUUCCCGGACUCCGCCGAGAAGAGACCAUCACGGCUACACACACGGUUGAUGUAUUUUAAAUGGGUCAAGUGACAAGUUCUCUACAACCGGACAUUAACAAAUUCCCAUCUGCCUCAUAACCGCAGGCACGGCUUUCGAAAGAUAAUACCCUGCAGGGGUGUCCCAACUUAGCCCAUCAUAAGCUCUCACGGUCAACGAAGGAUAACCUUCUCCCGGAAAGACCCGAUCAGUCUCGGAAUCCCGGUUUACAAGACAUUUCGACAAUGGUAAAACAAGACCAGCAAAGCCACCCGAAUGUGCCGACAAAUCCCGAUAGGAGCUGCACAUAUCUCGUUCUCAGGGCACACCGGAUGGGCAAGACGUCGGGUUGGCAUAGACCCUGGUUGCCCAGGGGGCGCCGGACAUCGCCCAGUUUGGGCCAGCACUCGAAGGAGAAUUGGUCCGGGGGUUUAAAAUAAAGAUGACCCUCGGGCUCGCGAAAACCCGGGGGAAAAGGCUAGGUGGCCAAUGGUAAAACCAAGGUUGGGCCUUGCUGGAGGAGUUUUAUUCAAGGCGAAUUGUCAAGGGGGUCCCAUAAAUCACCCGACCGCGUAAGGAACGCAAACUCAAGGAACAUAAUCCCGGUAUAACAGAAACUAGGGCGGCAAGAGUGGAACAAAACACCAGGCAUAAGGCCGAGCCUUCCACCCUUUACCAAAUAUAUAGAUGCAUUAAUUAAAUAAGAGAUAUUGUGAUAUCCCAACAUAUCCAUGUUCCGACAUGGAACAAACUUCAACUUCUCCUGCAACUAGCAACGCUAUAAGAGGGGCUGAGCAAAAGCGGUAACAUAGCCAAACAAUGGUUUGCUAGGAAAGGAUGGUUAGAGGCUGACAUGGCAAAAUGGGAGACAUGAUAUAGCAAGUGAUAGGUAGCGCAGCAUGGCAAUAGAGCGAACAACUAGCAAAGCAAAGAUAGAAGUGAUUUCGAGGGGUGGUCAUCCUGCCUACAAGGUUCUCAGAGUUGUCGAAAGCUUGAUCCUCGUAAGCAUACUCAACAGGUUCCUCCUUCAUGAACUCGUCUCCCGGCUCUACCCAAGACAAGAACACAAGCAACGGAACCACAAUCAAUCACGAGAAAUGCACAAGCAACAUGAUGCAAAACAUGUAUGAUAUGCGAGAUAUGAUAAGCGAUGCAUAUGCGUGCUCCGGGAGGAAAAUGAUGAACAAGGCAGUAACUUGGCAAACCAAGCAUGCCACUGGAAAUAUGAGAUGAUUUCGGUCGAAAUCGAUAUAAAGAUCACCGGAAACGAAUGUACGGUUUGCAAAUGGCAAGCAAAACAAGAAUGACACGAAUCUGCGGUUAACAGCAUGAUAGCACUUAAAAUGCAACAAGUAACAAUGCUACAGCACUCCAAGAUAGCAACAAAGCAUAUGGAAGUAAUCUACACGAGAUGCUUGACAAAAGAUGAACACUGAGCUACGGCUAGUUCACAACAUAUCAAGCUCAAACAAGCAUGGAAAAAGUGCAAAAGAUAACAGGAUCACAGACUUGGUGAAAUUACUGGACAUGUCUGAAACAGCAUCAGGUAGCGAUGUUCAGAGCAUGAAAUCAACAUGCUACAGGAACUUAACAUGGCAAAGCAAGGCAUGGAAGUAUUCUACUAAAUGCAUAUGACAAAAGUCCCUUACUGAACAUAAGCCAAAAAGGGCCAGAAGAUAUGAUGGCAAGCAUGUAAACAUAGCAAGUUUCGUUAUCAGGUUUCAGACAGCAGAAAACAGAGCAUGGCAGAAAUAAUAAUAUGAAGGCAUCUUGGUGAGCUUGAUGCACUCACCACAAAGCAAUUCAUGACAAAACAAGCAUACGUACAUCAAGAUGGCAUGUUUAUGAAGCUAUCCAUGUCAGGAACAAAUGCAUAGCAUGUAAGGAUCAACUACAAUAAGCUUGGAAAAAAUGAAUAUCAUGUUAAGAAUCUGACAGAAAUAUUUUAUAGCAAAAGUAGAGCAAGAUUGAGUCAUGCUAUGGCAGUCCAUAAUUGCAAACAAUGGCAGGAAUGGAUCAAUUACAACAAUAUCUACAAAACAUCCUUAUCGAAUAUCUUCAAAGUAUGCAUGGAUCUCUCUGUAGCAUCAAGUUUACAUGGCAACAAAAUAACAGCAGACAGACUUGGAGAAAUUACCAAGUCCCUGAAAUCAGAAACAUUACGAAGCCUAGUUUGCAUGCUUGUGCUACUCACCACCUAGAUCACAUAAAUACAUGGCAUACACCACUGGAAAGAUGGCAUGACAUACAACAAAACACAUGUAGAGCUCAUGCCCAUAAGAUGCACAGAUUAAAUGAUACAAAAAUGACAAAUCUCCAAGUUCUGUUAAGAACCAGCAGAUAACAGCAACUGGCACUCUUGCAACAGAGAUUUGGGCAUCAAGAUGACCUCUAAUGAACAUGGUGCAAUUGAACAAAAUGUAGAGCAUCACGAGGCGAACAAUUUGACAUAUUACACGCGCGAAACGGAGCUACAUGCAGAGAGUUAUGCACUGAUGAACAUGGGGAUAUAAUGUGAAAAUUGCAAAAAAAUAGGGAAAUUUGGGGGGGGGGGGUUCUCGGGUCAACCUACUGUAGCUACUCCAGAUCCGAUCGAGAUGAGCUCGGGCUCGGGCUCCCGUGGCCGGCGCCGGAGACAAGGAGGAGGGACCCGGAGGCGAGCGCGGCGGCGGAGGCGACGGCGGCAGGGCACAGCGGCGGGGCACGGCGGCGAGGGNNNNNNNNNNNNNNNNNNNNNNNNNNNNNNNNNNNNNNNNNNNNNNNNNNNNNNNNNNNNNNNNNNNNNNNNNNNNNNNNNNNNNNNNNNNNNNNNNNNNNNNNNNNNNNNNNNNNNNNNNNNNNNNNNNNNNNNNNNNNNNNNNNNNNNNNNNNNNNNNNNNNNNNNNNNNNNNNNNNNNNNNNNNNNNNNNNNNNNNNNNNNNNNNNNNNNNNNNNNNNNNNNNNNNNNNNNNNNNNNNNNNNNNNNNNNNNNNNNNNNNNNNNNNNNNNNNNNNNNNNNNNNNNNNNNNNNNNNNNNNNNNNNNNNNNNNNNNNNNNNNNNNNNNNNNNNNNNNNNNNNNNNNNNNNNNNNNNNNNNNNNNNNNNNNNNNNNNNNNNNNNNNNNNNNNNNNNNNNNNNNNNNNNNNNNNNNNNNNNNNNNNNNNNNNNNNNNNNNNNNNNNNNNNNNNNNNNNNNNNNNNNNNNNNNNNNNNNNNNNNNNNNNNNNNNNNNNNNNNNNNNNNNNNNNNNNNNNNNNNNNNNNNNNNNNNNNNNNNNNNNNNNNNNNNNNNNNNNNNNNNNNNNNNNNNNNNNNNNNNNNNNNNNNNNNNNNNNNNNNNNNNNNNNNNNNNNNNNNNNNNNNNNNNNNNNNNNNNNNNNNNNNNNNNNNNNNNNNNNNNNNNNNNNNNNNNNNNNNNNNNNNNNNNNNNNNNNNNNNNNNNNNNNAGGCGGCGGAGGUUCGACGGCGGCGGGCGGCGCAGAUCGGCGGCGGGCGCGCGGGCCGGGAGGCAGGCGGCGGCGGCGCGGGCGCUCGGGCCCGGGAGGGCCUGCGGGCCGGCGCGGUGGAGAGGGCGGCGGCGAUAGGUGGCGUGCGCUGAUUGGCCCGGGGCGGCGGCGCGACUGUGUCCGGCCGGGGCGGACGUGUCCGGCGGCGCACGGGGAUUUCUCUAGGGUUUCGUCUGCGUUCGUAUUUCGGGAGGGUCACAUAUAAAUAGGUAGAGGGAGCUAGGAGGCUCCAAAUGAGGUGCGGUUUUCGCCCACACGAUCGUGAUCGAACGACCUACAGCAUGGAAGAGAGUUUGGUGGGUUUUGGGCUUAUUUUUAAGGGGGUUUUUGCUGCACACUCAAAUGAACUUUGCGGAUGCCCGAUUAACCGUUGGAGUACCAAACGACCUCCAAAUGGAACGAAACUUGACCGGUGGUCUACCGGUGGUAUACCAAGGCCACUUGACAAGCCUCGGCCUAUUCCGAGAACGUUUGACACCCGCUCAUGAAAGAAAACAAGAGGGGUGCACCGGAGGAGAUAGGAGCGCCGGAUUGCAAAACGGACAACGGGGAAAAUGCUCGGAUGCAAGAGACGAACACGUAUGCAAAUGCAAUGCACAUGAUGACAUGAUAUGAAAUGCAUGACAUGAACAAAAUACAAAAUGAAAGACAAAACCCGACCACGGAGGGAAUAUCAUAGCACAUAGCCGAAAAUGGCAAGAGUUGGAGUUACAAAUAUGGCAAGUUACAUGCGGGGUGUUACGAAUACAUCCUACCCGAUUUUGCAUGCAAGAACAACAACGGCACUAGGUACUGGGUUAACAAGUUAGUCCCAGAAAACGAUAUAAAAUAGCAUAUAAUUGCAUAUAAAACAUCCAAGAUUGAUACUAUAAUAGCAUGGAACAAUAAAAAAUUAUAGAUACGUUGGAGACGUAUCAGUAACAAGGCGCGCCUACCCCCUGGGUACGCCCUGUUGCCUUGACGUCUCCUCGGUUGCCGUCUGGUCUCCACCCGAAGCUUCUAGGGUCUCUCUUGUCCAGAAAAAAAUCAUCAAAAAGUUUCACAGCGUUUGGACUCUGUUUGGUACUGAUUUCCUGGAAAACCAGAAAAAGGCAAAAAACAACAAUUGGCACUAUGCACUGGGUUAAUAGGUUAGUCCCAAAAAAUGAUAUAAAGUACCACAAAAAGUCAUAUAAACAUCCAAGAUUGAUACUAUAAUAGCAUGGAACAAUCAAAAAUCAUAGAUACGUUGGAGAUGUAUCAGUCGUGCACUGACGUCAGGCCCGAUGGUGCCGAUGAACCGCCUCAGUCCUAUGCACAGAACGGAGGCCGCACCAAUGAUCCAGUUGGUCGCGAUGGUUUGCGGCAGUUGCCAUAUCAACCAAAUGCCAGAGGACUGCAACAUAGCCGACCGAAAUACUCACAAAGACACCGGUGCGAUUAGCAUUACCUCAGCCUCGGAUAGCGAGGAAGGUGACAUGGCACCACUCUAUCUCAUAAACGAGGACGAGAACGUAGGCCUCUAGCCCGUUCGGGAGGUCACCUACUCUGAUCUCUGGGGGAAUCGGGAUCCUCUCCAAGCUCAAAGGCUGGCGACCCCACCAACCAGGGGACAUCUCAGUCUGAGGCACCGCAAGCAAUUUUUCUCCGUCAGGUCACAAUGACUAAGCGAACCACGAACGUGCUACGUACGACAGCUACGACGGAGCCCGCCACAUCCGAGCUCCCAACAUCGGGGCCGAUAGCCGCCAUGACAUAGCUACACACGAACCCCAUAAUGACGCCCUAGCCACAUGUCAGCACGGGUCUCCUGGCAAGCUCACCAGCGUGCUUCACCAUGACUGCGGCGGCCCUCUGAAAUACGGCAUCCACGCUACCACCUGUGAUAGGAUAUGCCCUGAACUAUCUCACAACACCCAUCAUCGGCACUGACCCAGCGUCAAGGACGCUGGAGGCCAUCCGUGUAUCCCAGCUACAUGCACAGAUCGCGCUCCAGCAAAAAGCGCUAGAGGUCUCAGCUCGCGAGCCACGAUGGAACGAGACAAUGACGCGCGAACGCCUACAUCGCCCGUGCCACCAACCACGGAACCUCCUCAAUGGUUGAUACGUCCAUUUUGCAUCAUGCUUUUAUAUUGAUAUUUAUUGCAUUAUGGGAUGUUAUUACACAUUAUAUCACAAUACUUAUGCCUUUUAUCUCUUAUUUAAUAAAGUUUACAUGAAGAGAGAGAAUGCCGGCAGCUGGAAUUCUGGACUGGAAAAGGAGCAAAUAUUAGAGACCUAUUCUGCACAACUCCAAAAUUCCUGAAACUUCACGGAGCAUGUUUUUGGAAUAAAUAAAAAAUAUUGGGCGAAGAAAAUACCAGAGGGGGCCCACCAGCCAGCCACAAGGGUGGAGGGCACGCCCUACCCCCUGGGCGCCCCCCGUCCUUGUGGGCCCCCUGUCAGGCCUCCGGUGCCCAUCUUCUGCUAUAUGACGUGUUUUGACCUGGAAAAAAUAAGAAUGAAGCUUUCGGGACGAAGCGCCGCCGUCUCGAGGCGGAACCUGGGCAGGAGCAAUCUAGAACUCCGGCAGAGCGAUUCUACCGGGGAAACAUUGUUUCCCUCUGGGAGGGGGAAAUCAUCGCCAUCGUCAUCACCAUCGAUCCUCUCAUCGAGAGGGGGUGAAUCUCCACUAGCAUCUUCACCAGCACCAUCUCCUCUCAAACCCUAGUUUAUCUCUUGUAUUCGAUCUUGGUCCCCAAACCUCAGAUUGGUACGUGUGGGUUGCUAGUAGUGUUGAUUACUCCUUGUAGUUGAUACUAGUUGGUUUAUUCGGUGGAAGAUCAUAUGUUCAGAUCCUUAAUGACAAUUAAUACUCCUCUGAUUAUGAACAUGAAUAUGCUUUGUGAGUAGUUACGUUUGUUCCUGAGGACAUGGGAGAAGUCUUGUUAUAAGUAAUCAUGUGAAUUUGGUAUUCGUUCGAUAUUUUGAUGAGAUGUAUGUUGUCUCUGCUCUAGUGGUGUUAUGUGAACAUUGACUACACGACACUUCACCAUUAUUUGGGCCUAGGGGAAGACAUUGGGAAGUAAUAAGUAUAUGAUGGGUUUCUAGAGUGAGAGAAGCUUAAACCCUAGUUUAUGCGUUGCUUCGUAAGGGGAUGAUUUGGAUCCAUAUGUUUCAUGCUAUGGUUAGGUUUACCUUUCUUCUUUCGUAGUUGCGGAUGCUUGCGACAGGGGUUAAUCAUAAGUGGGAGGCUUGUCCAAGGAAGGGCAGCACCCAAGCACUGGUCCACCCACAUAUCAAAUUAUCAAAGUAAUGAACGCGAAUCAUAUGAGCAUGAUGAAAGCUAACUUGACAACAAUUCCCAUGUGUCCUCGGGAGCGCUUUGCUUUAUAUAAGAGUUCGUCCAGGCUUGUCCUUUGCUACAAAAAGGAUUGGACCACCUUGAUGCACCUUAGUUACUUUUAUUACUUGUUACUUGUUACGAAAUAUCUUAUCACAAAACUAUCUGUUACCAAUAAUUUCAGUGCUUUCAGAGAUUACCUAGCUGAAAACUGCUUGUCAUUUCCUUCUGCUCCUCGUUGGAUUCGACACUCUUACUUAUCGAAAGGACUAAGAUAGAUCCCCUAUACUUGUGGGUCAUCAAGACUCUUUUCUUGCGCCAUUGCCGGGGAGUGAAGCGCGUUUGGUAAGUGGAAUUCGGUAAGGAAACAUUUAUAUAGUGUGCUGAAAAUUUACUGUCACAUGUUACUAUGGAAAAUAAUCCUUUGAGGGGCUUGUUCAGGGUAUCUUCACCUCGACCGAAAGAGCAAAGAGUUGCUCCUCAACCUACUGCACCUACUGAAAAUAUUUAUUAUGAAAUUCCUUCGGGUAUGAUAGAGAAACUGCUAGCUAAUCCUUAUGAAGGAGAUGGAACAUUACAUCCCCAUAUGCACCUAAUCUAUGUGGAUGAAGUUUGUGGAUUAUUUAAGCUUGCAGGUAUGCCUGAGGAUGUUGUCAAGAAGAAGGUUUUCCCUUUAUCUUUGAAGGGAACAACAUUGACAUGGUAUAGGCUAUGUGAUGAUAUUGGAUCAUGGAACUACAACCGAAUGAAAUUGUAAUUUCAUUAGAAGUUUUAUCCUAUGCAUCUGGUUCAUCGUGAUCGGAAUUAUAUAUAUAACUUUUGGCCUCGUGAGGGAGAAAGUAUCGCUGAAGCUUGGGGGAGGCUUAAGUCAAUGUUAUAUUCAUGCCCCAAUCAUGAGCUUCUAAGAUAAAUUAUUAUUCAAAAAUUUUAUGCUCGGCUUUCUCAUAAUGAUCGAUCCAUGAUUGAUACUUCUUGUACUGGUUCUUAUAUGAAGAAGGAUAUUGAAUUCAAAUGGGAUUUAUUGGAAAGAAUUAAACGCAACUCUGAAGAUUGGGAACUCGACGAGUGUAAGGAGUCAGGUAUAAACCUUAAGUUCGAUUGUGUUAAAUCUUUUAUGGACACCGGUGCUUUUCGUGAUUUCAGCACUAAAUAUGGAAUUGACUCUGAGAUAGUAGCUUCUUUCUAUGAAUCAUUUGCUACUCAUGUUGAUCUCCCUAAGGAGAAGUGGUUUAAAUAUCAUCCUCCCAUUGAAGUUAAAGUAGUAGAACCUAUUAAAGUUGAAGAAGAAGCCAUUACUUAUAAUGUUGAUCCUAUUGUUCCUACUGCUUAUAUUGAGAAACCACCUUUUCCUGUUAGAAUAAAGGAUCAUGAUAAAGCUUCAACUGUGGUCAACAAAAGUAAUAUUAGAACAUCCAACCCCCCUGAGCAAAUUAAAGUUGAACCUAGUAUUGCUAUGGUUAAAGAUCUCUUGGUUGAUAAUAUUGACGGGCAUGUUAUUUAUUUCUAUGAUGAAGCUGCUAGAAUUGCUAAACCUGAUACUAAAGAUAAACAUAGACGUGUUAUUGGCAUGCCUGUUGUUUCUGUUAAAAUAGGAGAUCAUUGUUAUCAUGGCUUAUGUUAUGUGGGUGCUAGUGUGAGUGCAAUUCCUUAUACCUUGUACCAAGAAAUUAUGAAUGAUAUUGCACCUGCUGAGAUAGAAGAUAUUGAUGUUACUAUUAAGCUUGCCAAUAGAGAUACUAUAUCACCAAUUGGGAUUGUUAGAGAUGUUGAAGUCUUGUGUAGGAAAAUUAAAUACCCUACUGACUUUCUUGUUCUUGGUUCCCCACAAGAUAAUUUUUGUCCCAUUAUAUUUGGUAGACCUUCCUUGAAUACUGUUAAUGCUAAGAUAGACUGCGAGAAAGAUAUUGCUACUGUUGGUUUAGGAGAUAUGUCUCAUGAUUUUAAUAUCUCUAAAUUACGUAGACAACCCCAUGAUAAAGAAUUGCCUAGUAAGGAUGAAAUUAUUGGUCUUGCUUCUAUUGCCGUGCCUCCUAAUGAUCCUUUAGAACAAUAUUUGCUAGACCAUGAAAAUGAUAUGUUUAUGAAUGAAAGAAGAGAAAUAGAUGAAGUAUUCUUUAAUCAAGGGCCUAUUUUGAAACACAAUUUGCCUGUUGAAAUCCUUGGGGAUCCUCCUCCACCCAAGGGUGAUCCCGUGUUUGAGCUUAAACAAUUACAUGAUACCUUGAAAUAUGCUUACCUUGAUGAAAAGAAGAUAUAUCCUGUUAUUAUUAGUGCUAACCUUUCAAAGCAUGAAGAAAAGAAAUUAUUGAAAACUCUGAAGAAGCACCGUGCCGCUAUUGGAUAUACUCUUGAUGAUCUUAAGGGCAUUAGUCCCACCUUAUGUCAGCACAAGAUUAAAUUGGAGAAAGAUGCUAAACCAGUUGUUGAUCAUCAAUGAUGGUUAAAUCCUAAGAUGAAAGAAGUGGUAAGAAAUGAAAUACUAAAGCUUCUGGAGGCAGGUAUAAUUUAUCCUAUUGCUUAUAGUCAAUGGGUAAGCCCUGUUCAUUGUGUCCCUAAGAAGGGAGGUAUUACUGUUGUUCCUAAUGAUAAGAAUGAAUUGAUCCCACAAAGAAUUGUUACAGGUUAUAGAAUGGUAAUUUAUUUUCACAAAUUGAAUAAACCUACUAGAAAAGAUCAUUACCCUCUACCUUUUAUUGAUCAAAUGCUAGAAAUACUAUCCAAGCAUACUCAUUUUUUCUUUCUAGAUGGUUAUUCUGGUUUCUCUCAAAUACUGUGUCAAAAGAGGAUCAACAGAAAAGCACUUUUACUUGCCCUUUCAGUACCUUUGGUUAUAGACGUAUGCCUUUUGGUUUAUGUAAUGCACCUGCUACCUUUCAAAGAUGUAUGACUGCUAUAUUCUCUGACUUUUGUGAAAAGAUUGUUGAGGUUUUCAUGGAUGGUUUCUCCGUUUACGGAACUUCUUUUGAUGAUUGCUUAAGCAACCUUGAUCGAGUUUUGCAGAGAUGUGAAGAAACUAACCUCGUCUUGAAUUGGGAGAAGUGCCCUUUAUGGUCAAUGAAGGUAUUGUCUUGGGGCAUAAAAUUUCUGAAAGAGGUAUUGAAGUUGAUAAAGCUAAAGUAGAUGCUAUUGAAAAGAUGCCGUGUCCUAAAGAUAUCAAAGGUAUAAGAAGCUGAUACGUCUCCCACGUAUCUAUAAUUUAUGAUUGUUCCAUGCUAUUAUAUUAUCCAUCUAGGAUGUUUUAUAUGCAUUUAUAUGCUGUUUCAUAUGAUUUUUGGGACUAACCUAUUAACCUAGAGCCCAGUGCCAGUUUCCGUUUUUUACUUGUUUUUGAGUUUUACAGAAAAGGAAUACCAAAUGGAGUCCAAUUGACGUGCCAAUUUUUGAUGAUUUUUUAUGGACCAAAAGAAGCCCCCGGAGUAAAAGAGUUGGGCCAGAAGAGUCCUCAGCCAUCCACGAGGGUGGAGGGUGCGCCCUACCCCCUGGACUCGCCCCCUAUCUCAUGGACGACUCGGAGACCCCCCUGACGUGAGACCGACGCCAAAAAUUCCUAUAAAUACAGAAACUCCCGGAAAGAAACCUAGAUCGGGAGUUCCACUGCCGCAAGCCUCUGUAGCCACCAAAAACCAAUCGGGACCCUGUUCCGGCACCCUGCCAGAGGGGGGAAUCAUCACCGGUGGCCAUCUUCAUCAUCCCGGCACUCUCCAUGACGAGGAGGGAGUAGUUCACCCUCGGGGCUGAGGGUAUGUACCAGUAGCUAUGUGUUUGAUCUCUCUCUCUCUCUCUCUCUCUCGUGUUCUUGAUUCGGCGCGAUCUUGAUUUAUCGUGAGCUUUGCUAUUAUAGUUGGAUCUUAUGAUGUUUCUCCCCCUCUACUCUCUUGUAAUGGAUUGAGUUUUCCCUUUGAAGUUAUCUUAUCGGAUUGAGUCUUUAAGGAUUUGAGAACACUUGAUGUAUGGCUUGUAUGUGCUUAUCUGUAGUCACAAUGGGAUAUCCACGUGAUCUACUUGAUGUAUGUUUUGGUGAUCAACUUGCGGGUUCAGUGACCUUGUGAACUUAUGCAUAGGGCUUGGCACACGUUUUCGUCUUGACUCUCCGGUAGAAACUUUGGGGCACUCUUUGAAGUUCUUUGUGUUGUUUGAAUAGAUGAAUUUGAGAUUGUGUGAUGCAUAUCGUAUAAUCAUACCCACGGAAAAUCAGAAACUUUUGCGCCCAGUAAAUUAGUAUUGAUAAUUCACAGAAAUGUGCUUUUGAUCUGAUUCUAUUUGAUCUGGAUUAGUACACAAAUUUCUCAGCUUUUCCUAUUUUGGUAGGAUUUUUGGAGUUACAGAAGUAUUCGACAGUUACAGAUUACUACAUACUAUUCUGUUUUUGACAGAUUCUGUUUUCUAUGUGUUGUUUGCUUAUUUUGAUGAAUCUAUGAGUAGUAUCGGAGGGUAUGAACCAUAGGGAAGUUGGAAUACAGCAGAUAUUACACCAAUAUGAAUUUAGAAUGAGUUCACAACAGUACCUAAGUGGUGAUUUAUUUUCUUAUACUAACGGAGCUUACGAGUUUUCUGUUAAGUUUUGUGUUGUGAAGCUGUCAAGUUUUGGGUAAAGAUUCGAUGGAAUAUGGAAUAAGGAGUGGCAAGAGCCUAAGCUUGGGGAUGCCCAAGGCACCCCAAGGUAAUAUUCAAGGACAACCAAGAGCCUAAGCUUGGGGAUGCCCUGGAUGGCAUCCCCUCUUUCGUCUUCGUUCAUCGGUAACUUACUUGGGGCUAUAUUUUUAUUCACCACAUGAUAUGCAUUUUGCUUGGAGCAUCAUUUUUUAUUUUGUUUUGCUUGCUGUUUGAAUAAUAUCCCAAGAUCUUAAAUUCUUAAAUGUUAGAGAGUCUUCACAUAGUUGCACAAUUAUUCGACUACUCAUUGAUCUUCACUCAUAUCUUUUGGAGUAGUUUGUCAUUUGCUCUAGUGCUUCACUUAUAUCUUUUUAGAGCACGGCGGUGGUUUUAUUUCGAAGAAAUAGAUGAACUCUCAUGCUUCAGUUAUAUUAUUUUUAGAGUCUUUAGAACAGCAUGGUAAUUUGCUUAGGUUAUGAAUUUAGUCCUAAUAUGAUGGGCAUCCAAGAUAGGUAUAAUAAAAACUUUCAUAUAAAGUGCGUUGAAUACUAUGAGAAGUUUGAUGCUUGAUGAUUGUUUUGAGAUAUGAGGAUGGUGAUAUUAGAGUCAUGCUAGUAGAGUAAUUUUGAAUUUGAGAAAUAUUUGUGUUGAGGUUUGCAAGUCCCGUAUCAUGCACGUAUGGUAACCGUUGUGUAAAUUUUUUGAAGCAUGAGGUGUUUCUUUGAUUCUCUUCCUUAUGUGUGGAGGUCAGGAUCGCGUGAUGGUUAACUCCUACCAACCCUUACCCUAGGAGCAUGCACGUAGUUCUUGGUUUUGAUGACUUAUAGAUUUUUGCAAUAAGUAUGUGAGUUCUUUAUGACUAAUGCUGAGUCCAUGGAUUAUACGCACUCUCACCCUUCCACCGUUGCUAGCCUCUCUAGUACCGCGCAACUUUCGCCGAUAGCAUACACCCAGCAUUAUCUUCCUCAAAACAGCCACCAUACCUACCUAUUAUGGCAUUUCCAUAGCCAUUCCGAGAUAUAUUGCCAUGCAACUUUCCACCGUUCCGUUUAUUAUGGCACGCUCCAUCAUUGUCAUAUGGCUUUGCAUGAUCAUGUAGUUGACAUCGUAUUUGUGGCAAAGCCACCGUUCAUAAUUUUUCAUACAUGUCACUCUUGAAUCAUUGCACAUCCUGGUAUACCGCCGGAGUCAUUCAUAUAGAGUCAUAUUUUGUUCUAAGUAUCGAGUUGUAAUCCUUGAGUUGUAAAUAAAUAGAAGUGUGAUGAUCAUCAUUAUUAGAGCAUUAUCCCGUGUGAGGAAAAAAAGGAGGCCAAAGGAGCCUACGAAAAACAGGCCAAAGAAGCAAAGAGAGAGAGAGAGAGGGAGAGAGAAAAAGAGAGAAGGGACAAUGCUACUAUCCCUUUUCCACACUUGUGCUUCAAAGUAGCACCAUGAUCUUCAUGAUAGAGAGUCCCUUAUUUUGUCACUUUCAUAUACUAGUGGGAAUUUUCGUUAUAGAACUUGGCUUGUAUAUUCCAAUGACGGGCUUCCUCAAUAUGCCCUAGGUCUUCGUGAGCAAGCAAGUUGGAUGCACACCCACUUAGUUUCUUAUGUUGAGCUUUGAUACAUUUAUAGCUCUAGUGCAUCCGUUGCAUGGCAAUCCCUACUCAUUCACAUUGAUAUCUAUUGAUGGGCAUCUCCAUAGCCCAUUAAUACGCCUAGUUGAUGUGAGACUAUCUUCUCCUUUUUGUCUUCUCCACAACCACCAUAUUAUAUUCCACCUAUAGUGCUAUGUCCAUGGCUCACGCUCAUGUAUUGCGUGAAAGUUGAAAAAGUUUGAGAAUACUAAAGUAUGAAACAAUUGCUUGGCUGAAACCGGGGUUGUGCAUGAUUUGAAUAUUUUGCGUGACGAAGAUGGAGCAUAGCCAAACUAUACGAUUUUGUAGGGAUGAACUUUCUUUGGCCAUUUUAUUUUGAGAAGACACGAUUACCUUGUUAGUAUGCUUGAAGUAUUAUUAUUUUUAUGUAAAUAUUAAACUUUUGUUUUGAAUCUUAUGGGUCUGAAUAUUCUUGCCACAAUAAAGAGAAUUAAAUGGAUAAAAAUGUUAGGUAGCAUUCCAUAUCAAAAAUUCUAUUUUUAUCAUUUACCUACUCGAGGACGAGCAGGAAUUAAGCUUGGGGAUGCUUGAUACGUCUCCCACGUAUCUAUAAUUUUUGAUUGUUCCAUGCUAUUAUAUUAUCCAUCUAGGAUGUUUUAUAUGCAUUUAUAUGCUGUUUUAUAUGAUUUUUUGGACUAACCUAUUAACCUAGAGCCCAGUGCCAGUUUCUGUUUUUACUUGUUUUUGAGUAUUAUAGAAAAGGAAUACCAACCGGAGUCCAAUUGACGUGCCAAUUUUUUAUGUUUUUUAUGGACCAAAAGAAGCCCCCGGAGUAAAAGAGUUGGGCCAGAAGAGUCCUGGGCCAUCCACGAGGGUGGAGGGCGUGCCCUACCCCCUGGGCUUGCCCCCCUAUCUCGUGGACGACUCGGAGACCCCCCUGACGUGAGACCGACGCCAAAAAUUCCUAUAAAUACAGAAACCCCCAGAAAGAAACCUAGAUCGGGAGUUCCGCCGCCGCAAGCCUCUGUAGCCACCAAAAACCAAUUAGGACCCUGUUCCGGCACCCUGCCGGAGGGGGAAUCAUCACUGGUGGCCAUCUUCAUCAUCCCGGCGCUUUCCAUGACGAGGAGGGAGUAGUUCACCCUCGGGCUGAGGGUAUGUACCAGUAGCUAUGUGUUUGAUCUCUUUCUCUCUCUCUCUCUCGUGUUCUUGAUUCGGGAUGAUCUUGAUGUAUUGCUUGCUUUGCUAUUAUAGUUGGAUCUUAUGAUGCUUCUCCUCCUCUACUCUCUUGUAAUGGAUUGAGUUUUCCCUUUGAAGUUAUCUUAUCGGAUUGAGUCUUUAAGGAUCUGAGGACACUUGAUGUAUGUAUUGCAUGUGCUUAUCUGUGGUGACAAUGGGAUAUUCACGUGAUCUACUUGAUGUAUGUUUUGGUGAUCAACUUGCGGGUUCAGUGACCUUGUGAACUUAUGCAUAGGGGUUGGCACACGUUUUCAUCUUGACUCUCCGGUAGAAACUUUGGGGCACCCUUUGAAGUUCUUUGUGUUGGUUGAAUAGAUGAAUUUGAGAUUGUGUGAUGCAUAUCAUAUAAUCAUACCCACGGAUACUUGAGGUGACAUUGGAGUAUCUAGGUGACAUUAGGGUUUUGGUUGAUUUGUGUCUUAAGGUGUUAUUCUAGUAUGAACUCUAGGAUAGAUCAAACGGAAUGAAUAGCUUCGUGUUAUUUUACUACAGACUCUUGAAUAGAUCGAUCAGAAAGGAUAACUUUGAGGUGGUUUCGUACCCUACAAUAAUCUCUUCGUUUGUUCUCCGCUAUUAGUGACUUUGGAGUGACUCUUUGUUGCAUGUUGAGUGAUAGUUAUAUGAUCCAAUUAUGUUAUUAUUGUUGAGAGAACUUGCACUAGUGAAAGUAUGAACCCUAGGCCUUGUUUCCUAGCAUUACAAUACCGUUUACGCUCACUUUUACCACUUGCUACCAUGCUAUUUUUAUACUUUCAGAUUACAAAAACCUAUAUCUACCAUCCAUAUUGCACUUGUAUCACCAUCUCUUCGCCGAACUAGUGCACCUAUACAAUUUACCAUUGUAUUGGGUGUGUUGGGGACACAAGAGACUCUUUGUUAUUUGGUUGCAGGGUUGCUUGAGAGAGACCAUCUUCAUCCUAUGCCUCCCACGGAUUGAUUAACCUUAGGACAUCCACUUGAGGGAAAUUUGCUACUGUCCUACAAACCUCUGCACUUGGAGGCCCAACAACGUCUACAAGAAGAAGGUUGCGUAGUGGACAUCAAGCUCUUUUCUGGCGCCGUUGCCGGGGAGGUGAGUGCUUGAAGGUAUAUCUUUAUAUCUUGCACUCAAAUCUUUUUGUUUCUUGUUUUAUCACUAGUUUAAUUUAUAAAAGAAAACUAAAAAAAUGGAAUUGAGGGUGCCUCAUAUGCUUCAUCUUUUCAAUAUCUUUCGUGAAAUGAUGGAAAGGAAAAUUGUGCCCAAGUACUAGAAGAAGAAUGCAUUAGAGUGUUUGGCACUAAAUCUUUGAAUGAUGAGCAUGAUUGCAAUGUUGUUAGUAUGAACUCUUUGAAUAUCCAUAAUACUAAUGAUGAUUGCACUAGUCAUGAUGAAAAUGUCUCUUAUAAGCAUGUCAACUUUUGUGGAGUGCAUAGAGUUUGCAAGUACACAGCAAAUAGGGAAGAUAGAUUUUGCAAGAGGCAUAAGUAUUUAGAAACUAAAUGGUUGCAAGAAAGGCUAGAUGUUUGUGCUGAAAAUUUAAAUUUUUUUAGCCAUCCUUGUGAACUUUGCAAUGAACGUGGUCAUUUAAAUACCCAAUGCAAAUUGUUUCAUGAUUGAAUCAUGUCCAAAAAUUGUGAUGACUUGAUUUCCCUUGCGCAUCAUAAUGAACUUAGUUUGCUUCUGGGUUAUGAAGAAAUGAAACGUGUAACUAAGGAUAUUCCAGAAUUUGCCCUUGCGACAGUUCUUGAUUUUGAUCUAGAGGAAAUUUAUAUGUAUUGUGCGGUGAAUUGCAUUGAAAAUCCUUAUAUUGACAAUUACAUAAGGACAAGAAAACAAAUAGAAGAUGAAGAGAAUACUAAUGAAAGGGAAGAGACUUCCCAAUAUCCUCCUAUUAUUUCUUAUGAUGAAUCAGGUAACGAGUGAGGGAGUCCUGGACUAAGGGGUCCUCGGGCGUCCGACCUGUUAUCCAUGUGCGGGUCCGAUGGGCUGUGAAGAUACGAAGGUCGAAGACAAUACCCGUGUCCGGAUUGGACUCUACUUGGCGUGGAAGGCAAGCUAGGCGACCAAUUAUGAAGAUUUCCUCCUAUGUAACCCUAGAUCUCUCCGGUGUCUAUAUAAAUCGGAGAGCAUAGUCCGGAUAGGACAGAUUCAUUACCAUACUCACAUAGGAUAGACUUCUAGGGUUUAGCCAUUACGAUCUCGUGGUAGAUCAACUCUUGUAAUACUCAUAUUCAUCAAGAUCAAUCAAGCAGGAAGUAGGGUAUUACCUCCAUAGAGAGGGCCCGAACCUGGGUAAACAUUGUGUCCCCCGUCUCCUGUUACCAUCGAUCCUAGACGCACAGUUCAGGACCCCCUACCCGAGAUCCGCCGGUUUUGAAACCGACAUUGGUGCUUUCAUUGAGAGUUCCACUCUGCCGUCGACAUAAGGCUCGAUGGCCCCUUCAAUCGUCAGUGGUGGCGCUGUUCAGGGAGAAACCUUUCUCCCCGGGCAAAUCUUUGUGUUUGGCGGCUUCGUACUGCGGGCCAACUCGCUUGGCCAUCUGGAGCAGAUCAAUAGCUACGCCCCUGGCCAUCAGGUUAGAUUCGGAAGUUUGAACUACGUCGCAGACAUCCGUGGGGACUUGAUCUUCAACGGAUUUGAGACCGCGGCAAUCGCUCCCCUUCGCCCCGUUGAACAUGGCUUAAACCUGUCAUCGGGCCGCAUCUAGGAGAUAGCUCCUGUAACAACUCCGGCCUUAGAUCCGGAGCAGAUCAAGACGUCCGAAGAUGGGAGACUCAACCCCAUCACGGGGGCUACCGAGUCUACGGCGUUGGAGCCGCGUGCAUAUCCCACUUCAUACGAUACCUGCAUCAACGGAACCCCGGACUCGUCUCCGAUAUCGAGUUCCUAAUCCUGCGAGCUCACGGAUACCGAACUCGAUCGUUUAUCGAUAUUCAAUUUCAGCGCCGUAGAUGUCUUUCAGCACUCGCCUAUGGGCGAUCUACUAAGCUCGCUAAAAUACCUAUCCCUGGCAGAUGGCUCGUCGCCGAACUAUGUCCGGUUCGACCUUACGGCGGAUGACGAAGAAUUUUGCUUCCCACCCGCCACCCACUUCAUAGCCACUGUCGAAGACCCAACCAACAUGCUUGACCUCCGCCCCGAAGACAUCGACGGUAUGGACGACGAUGAGGGGCAAGGCCAGAGCUUACUAUCCGCUAGAGGCAGGACGACCACUUCCUGGUAUGACGUGUGUAUGGUAGACACACCCAACGACGAUAUCCACGAUGACAAGGAGGAUCCAGUUGAGGACAAACCUCCUGGUACACAAUCUGAACACCGGCGCCCCCGGCGCCGCUCUAGGUCACGUCGCCCAAGAGAAAACAAUACUAGCAACGGAGGUGAUACUACUCCGGACAACAAAGACCCUGUUGAGGCAGGAUCAGAAUAGGAGGACCAGGAAAGCGGGCAAGAUAGCCCUGAUGAACAAGUCAUGUACGGAGACUCGGAGGAUAGCAAUUAUCUUCCCCUCUCUGAGGAAGAGAAGAGCCUCGACAACGAAGAAUUCAUCAUGCCGGAGGAACCUCUCGAGCAGGAGCGCUUUAAACGUUGGCUAAUAGCCACAGCAAGGAAUCUAAGAAUAAAGCAGCUGCAGCUUCAAGCAAGCCAAGAUCUUCUCAAUGAUAAAUGGACCGAGGUCCUAGCCGCCAUAGAAUACGGCCCUAGUGGCCCGGACAAAAGCCACCCCAAAUGCAGGUGGCUCCCUCCACAUGAUGGCAAGGUGCUGGAGCCCGUUCCACCAUCGAAUAAUGCGGCAGGUCAACCACAGUUCGGUCCGGAUAAAGCAGCAGCCCAAGCAGAAUACCAUACCAACCAAUCCGGCCAUAAGAACAAGACGGUUCGGGAAAACAAUGGCGACAUCCGCCAAAGUUUAGUGAGCGGAGCAGGACAGACAAGAUCGACGUACAGAUCGCGGGUAUAUGCCCCGACCGGUUAUGAUGGUCAAUCAGCCGGACUCAACCAAGCCAACCACGCUCGAAGCCGCCAACGGCAUCCAAAGGAGGUGAUUCACAGUGUGGCCCAACAUAGAGGAGCCACGCACCCGCUUUGCUUCACCAACGAGGUAAUGGAGCACGAAUUUCCAGACGGGUUCAAACCCAUCAACAUUGAAUCAUACGAUGGAACAACAGAUCCCGCAGUAUGGAUUGAGGACUAUCUCCUCCAUAUCCACCUGGCUCGCGAAGACGACCUUCAUGCCAUUAAAUACCUGCCUCUCAAGCUUAAGGGGCCAGCACGGUACUGGCUAAACAGUUUGUCAGAAAAUUUUAUUGGCAGCUGGGAAGAUUUGGAAGACGCCUUUCGUGACAACUUCCAAGGAAUAUAUGUCCGGCCACUAGAUGCCGACGACUUAAGUCAUAUUGUCUAACAGCCCGGCAAGUCAGCCAGGGAGCUCUGGACCAGGUUCUUAGUCAAAAAGAACCAAAUUGUCGACUGUCCGAACGCGGAAGCCCUCACGGCCUUCAAACAUAGCGUCCGGGAUGAAUGGCUUGCACGCCACCUCGGCCAGGAAGGACCUAAAUCCAUGACCGCCCUUACCGCUCUAAUAACUCGCUUUUGUGCGGGAGAAGACAACUGGCUCGCUCGUAAAAGCAACAGCGCCAGCGAUCCGGGCACUUCCGAAAUACGAGACGGCAACGGCAAGCCACGACUAACCGAACACAACAGUCACAACAAUAAUGAAAGAUUACGUGACAUAGCGGUCAACGCCGGAUUUCACAAUUCGAAGCCCGGUCAACGGAAGAAGCCAUUUAAGGCCAGCCAGGAUGGACCAUCCGCCCUCGACAGGAUACUGGACCGACCUUGUCAGAUUCACGGUCACCUUGAUAAGCCAGCCAAUCACACCAACAGAAACUGUUGGGUCUUUAAGCAGGCAGGCAAACUUAACGCCGAAUACAAGGGGAGGAGGCCACCAAGCGAUAAAGACGAUGGAGCGGCUCGCCAGCCGAACACCAGGGGCUAGAAAUAGUUUCCCUCCGACGUUCGACCACUACCGGAGCGGAAAUAGCAGUUCGGCUUCCGCCACCCACCCACUAUGCUGGCAAGAUCUACACCACGCGUACAUCACUACGCGCUCAAGACCAUGGGCAUCGGCGGCAGCACAAUACGGGCACCCCUGCAAACAUUCCCGUAACGUUUUAUCUGUUUUCUUCACUUUUCUUUAUUAUAAACAGGUGACCAACAAGACAACACCUACAAUGGACUCUAUCGAAGUUCGGAUCCGUACACUCACCUAAGGGGCUACUUCCGUUAAGGAUUCCCCUCCCAGAGGACGGGCGGCGCAGACGUGCGACAUGAGGUCCAAAAUAGCUUUUGUAGACCGCGCUCUUUAUUUUGGGCCUAUACUAUGCCCUUUUUCCUCCGUUCCCGACCCCGAGCAUGUCAAAUAGCCGGGUUGUGGUUUUUCUUUUGUAUAUAUGAAUUUAUCAUUGGCAUAUUGCUCCACUCCCAGUAAACUUUAUCUGAGCUAAUCUUAAAAUACUCUUGCUACAAUGAGUACGGCCACAACGGCUGCGUCACAAGACGCGUCUCGGCAUAACAUGCCAGAGGCCCGGUAUGGGAACAAAUGAGUCGCCAAUAAAAGUCCGAACAACUCUAUAGCGUACUUCGGUGUCGCAAGUUUGGCCUUAUAUGCAUCAGCUCCGAAUCAUUGUCUUUGGUCAAUAGUUGGGUUGCCCGGCUCCUGUGCUUGCUACCCUACGUUCCGCUCUAUCGCCUAGGGUAGUAAAGGGAGAACUACUACGAUUGUGCCCUGGCUUUGACCGGAUGAGCACCUCAGUAGAGAAAGCCGAAAACUGACUGUCAUGAUGCGGCGUGAGCUGGUCAACCACUUGACGACUUAUUCGAAUCUUUAGCGAUUCUCCAUGUUACAGGAAGGAUCUUUUUUAGAUCAAAACAUGUAAGGCACAAUGUUACGAUAUGCUGCAUACAUACCAGGGGCUAUGUCAUAGCCCCACCAGAAAACUCCUAUGGCUAAGUGAAAGUGUUAACGCCCUAUAGUCCGAUUGCCUGGUUCGCCGCAUUAUCACCUCCUUUAUGGACCAAGACGUUGGAUAAAGAGUGAUUCAAUGCUUUUCCGAACACCCCCGUAUUUUCUACGAGGGGGCUGAAGCCGACGACUGGAAAAAUUUCAAAUUACAUUAAAACGGCCGCACAGGAGGAAUACAAGCUUUCGAGCAAAAAAUAGAUUAACUAUAAAGUUGUCUGUUACAACCCUUGUACACAUCACUCGAAUAUUAUGUCCUUCGACCAUUCACCCUCUAUCAAGCGGGCGGCCUCUAGGACGUCUCCGAAAUGAUGCUCCGGUUCCGGACGGUCCUUGCCUUUGGGUGGACUAUUUGUCACAACAUCGAUGGCCUUCAUCUUCCCCCAGAAUGUCUUGACUCGGGCGAAGGCCAUCCGUGCACCUUCAAUGCACGCCGACCGCUUCACAGCGUCGAUACGCGGCACCGCGUCAGCAAGCCGCUGCACCAGGCCGAAGUAACUACUCGGAACAGGUUCAGUCGGCCACAAACGGACUACGACGUUCUUCAUGGCAGCGCCGGAUAUCCUAUGCAGCUCGGCCCACUGGGACAUCUGUUCAUUCAGCAACAGAGGGCGCUUCGAAGCGCGAAAUUGCGACCAGAAAAGCUUCUCCGUUGCAUACCCCUCUUGCGCCUGAUAAAACUGUGCCGCAUCGGAAGAACUCUUCAGCAAGUCUAAAAAGUGUCCGGAGAACUCCAUACUUAGUUAAGCUAAGCAUAGUUCGGAUCGCCGAACUUAGCUUGUAGCAAAAAGGGCUUGCCAGCCACAACCUCCCCAGCUUGCCGGAUCUCCUCACGGGCUGCUCUGGAUUUAGACCGCGCUUCCCUCACCUCUCGUAAGGCCUUGUCAAGUUCAGCCGUUUUGGCUUCAUUUUCCUUCUCAAUAAGUUUACAGCGGCCAGCCGCAUUUUCUAACUCGCGCGCCAUGGUGGACAUUACCUCCUUGUGCUGGCACCGUGCAGCUUGUUCGGCUCUCAAUUUAGCCGAUGCCUUUUCGGCAGUCGCAUUACUAAACCAGUCCUGCUCCUUGGCCCGGGCUAGCUCCGCCCGAAGGGCUUCCACGGAGGUAGCACCAUCUGCAUUGAUGCACAUUUCAUAUCAAACCCUCUUCAGAGUCAGGCUUACAUUACAAGCAUACUGGUGUAAGGAAUGCUCGAAAUAUAUACCUUGCGAGUCAUCAAGACGCCUGUUGAUCAAAGCAAUGUCAUCCUCCGCAAUAUCCAGCUUUCGCUGCAGUUCGGUUACUUCCGAAUUUCGGGCAGUGGCAGGAGGGGAGACAGCCUGCAUUCCAAAUUAAACCAAGGUUAGUACCUGAAAAUAUCUUUUCGAUCCUCCAAUCACUUCCAUUGGAAGGCGAUCCGAGUCUCAGGGGCUACUGCAUACACAACAUUUGCAUUCUGUCAAUAUUAUUCAAUUGGCAACAUUACAUCACAAACCUCAAAACCUCUCAGAAGGCUCGUAAAGGCCUCGUUCAACCCCCUCUUCGCGGAUACAACUUUUUCGACCACCGUAACCAUUAAGGCACGGUGCUCCUCUGAAACGGACGCUCGUCGCAGCAUGUCCGUCAGUGUCUCCGGCACUCCUGGGUCUUCGGACACCGCUGCCGGAGCACAACAUUCCUUUGAAGGAAUCCGCUUACCCGCCUCCAGCAUUGUCUCCGGCUGUAAACCAGACAGUUCGGGGCCGUCAUUCUUGGUCCCCGAACCCUAAGUGACAGAGGCACCACCUUCGGGUAGCUCCUUCCUCGUUUCCUGCGCUACUUGCCGGUUGGGAGGAGCCCUCCGGGACGACACCUCGAGAUCAUCUGCCCUAUUAGGCGAGGAGGCCGGAGAAGGCGUGUCACUCUCCAUCAUCUCCGGAAGAAGGUCUCCCGAGGAGGAGGAUGAUUGAGAAACACCAGGCGUUAACCUGCGAGGAUGCACAUAUGUCGGAGGGUUAUUUCAGUAAUAAGAAUGAGGUAUGGUUAAAGUGCCCUACUCCACUUACGGUCUGGCCGGAGGUUCAUCCUCAUCAUCAAACUCAACGACGACAUCACUUGCCCGGCCCAAGCCGCCCGACGAUGGCAUUUUCCCUUUCUUGGAAGGCUUCCCCUCCUGACCUCCAGAGGCGGCCCUCUUCUUACCAUGAAGUGCCCCCUCCAUGCCUUUGCCCCUGGGCAAAAGGGUUUCGGUUUCCCCAAACACAGCGCCUAAAUCGCCCUUAUGAUGGGCAUCUCCUCUAGGCUCCCCGCUCUUGCCCCCUCUGCAGACACCAGGUACAGUGUCGGGAUCAACAUCCGCGUCAGUAGGACGGACGCAAGGUCUUUGGGAAGGGGCGCCGGACACCAGAUUAACACCGCUUUCUUUAUCCAGUCCUGUAUAAGGGCAGGUUGUUUAGUGUCUGUCAAGAGAUGCUUGAAUGAAAGGUGUGCAGGGAUUGAAUACUUACUGGAGUGUCCGGAUGAUUGCAGUCGAGGCCGACGUCUUCGGUGGUGUCCGGCCAUUGCUCUCGCUCCCCGAAAUAUAACUUCCACAUUCCUUCGUGCAUAGUGCCGAAGAAGUGCUAAAGAGUCCGCCGCCCUUCUGGAUUGAACUCACACAUACGGAGAGGCCGCCGUUGACACGGCAGGAUCCGGCGGACCAGCAUUACCUGAACAAUGUUCACAAGAUCGAUGCCCUUCUCGAUAAGGCUUCGGAUACGACCUUGCAGAGUCUGCACCUCAUUAGCGGAUCCCCAGUCCAACCCCUUGUUGAUCCAUGAAGCAAGCUGAGUCGGAGGGCCGGGUCGGAACGCGGGCGUAGCCACCCACUUGGAGCCCCGUGGCUUGUUGACAUAAAAUCACCCUUGCUGCCAUAGUUCGGAAGACUCGGCGAAGGAUCCUUCAAACCAAACCGCGCUGGCAAGCUUGUUUAUUACAACGCUGCCGCACUCUGCCUGCUCCCCCUCUAUCACCCGAGGCCUCACAUCAAAGGUCUUGAGCCACAAAUCAAAGUGCGGAGGAGUCUGGAGGAAGGCCUCACAUGUGACGAUGAAUGCCGAGAUGAGAAGAAUAGAGUCCGGGGCCAGAUCGUGAAGAUCUAGCCCAUAAUAGAACAUGAGCCCCCGGACGAAGGGGUUAAGCGCGAACCCUAACCCAUGGAGGAAGUGGGACACAAAUACUACCCUCUCGCUGGAUUUGGGGGUGGGAAUAAUCUGCCCCUCGGCAGGAAGCCGAUGAAGGAUUUCUGGGGUCAGGUACCUCGCUACGCAGAGCUUUGCAAUAUCCUCCUCCGUGACGGAAGAGGCCACCCACCAGCCUAAACGGCUGGACCCGGACAUGAUUGGGGCUGGUGGUGAUUGGAACUCGAGGGCUAGAACUCGAGGUGGCUGGGUUGAGGAAGAAGCAAGCACGGAAGAAGAAGACAAGUCUGGGUCCCUAUAUGAAGGCCGAGAAUAUCGAGCGUCCCCCCUGGGUCUUGAAACUUUACCCAGGGGACGGUUGGGUUACCCAUACCUGCAUUAUUGAAAAUCCCACGAAUAAGGGGACACGAUCUCUGCUUUGACAAGACAUGCCAAUAAAGCCGCUUCCCGAGAUGUGGGGCGACGGGCUAGCCAACAGUUGGAAAUAAUAACCGGGCAGGCAUGAUACAAUGUCAUAAACAGUUGUCAGCAGAUUGGACUCGUGGAGUAUUGUAUUUUCUGUAAAUUAUAUACACAGGUCCAGAUACAAUCGUCACAUCCGAAGACUACCUUGGGGUUCGGAAGAAGGGGAACCCACCUUGCAAUGCCGAAGACAAUCCGCGCGCCGGACUCCUCGUCAUUGAAGCCAGGUUCAGGGGCUACUGAGGGAGUCCUGGACUAAGGGGUCCUUGGGCGUCCGGCCUGUUAUCCAUGGGCCGGACCGAUGGGCUGUGAAGACACGAAGGCCGAAGACAAUACCCGUGUCCGGAUUGGACUCUACUUGGCGUGGAAGGCAAGCUAGGCGACCUAUUAUGAAGAUUUCCUCCUAUGUAACCGACCUCAUGUAACCCUAGAUCUUUCCGGUGUCUAUAUAAACCGGAGAGCAUAGUCCGGAUAAGACAGAUUCAUUACCAUACUCACAUAGGCUAGACUUCUAGGGUUUAGCCAUUACGAUCUCGUGGUAGAUCAACUCUUGUAACACUCAUAUUCAUCAAGAUCAAUCAAGCAGGAAGUAGGGUAUUACCUCCAUAGAGAGGGCCCGAACCUGGGUAAACAUUGUGUCCCCCGUCUCCUGUUACCAUCGAUCCUAGACGCACAGUUCGGGACCCCCUACCCGAGAUCCGCCGGUUUUGACACCGACAACGAGGAGGAGCCUUCUAUUCAACCAAUCUCAUUAAUAAGGAGCUCAAAAAAGAGGAUUAAACCCACACAUGAUGUGAAGAAGAAAAGGAAAAGACGGAGAAGCAAAGGUAAAAAGGUACCCCUCCGAAAUGAUGUUGCUCCUAUUACUCAUUGUGAUGAUGAUAAUUGCUAUACUAUUGGUGCUAUCCAUACUAUUAAUGAUGAGAGUGGUUAUGCUUAUGAUAUGAAAAGGCCCAAGCUUGGGGAUGCUAUGUUUGAUGAGAAUGACAUGUUUGAGAAUUUAUUUGCUGCAAUUAAUGUUUGUCCCAAGCUUGGGGAUGCUAUGUUUAAUGAAGAUGAUAUUUUUAGCCUCCCAAGUUUUGAUGAGAAAAUUUAUUAUGAUGAUAGCAUGCCUCCUAUUUAUGAUGAUUAUAUUGAUGAAAGCGGGUUUGGAGAGGUCAUGACUUUAUUUAGUAAUGAUCCCACUAUCUUGGAAGAGGUUUCAAUUGAUUAUGAUGAGAACAAAGUUGCUACUUAUGAUGAUUAUUGUGAUGAUACUUAUGUUAUAAAAAGUAGUGAUUAUUAUAUUUACAAAACUUGUCAUGAUUAUGAUUACCCUUUUCCUGAACAUUACUCUUUUAAUGUGGAAACAAUUUAUAGUAUUCGAGUUUCUUAUGACACUCCCACUAUUCUGAUUGAGAAGAAUUUUGCUUAUGUAGAGAGUAGUAAAUUUUCUAUGCUUGUAGAUCAUGAAAAUAAUGCUUUAUGUGAUGGUUAUAUUGUUGAAUUCAUUCAUGAUGCUACUAAAAAUUAUUAUGAUAGAGGAACAUGUGCUCUUACAUAUUGCAAUAAUAUCAAGUUUUCUCUCUAUGUGUUGAAAUUUUUGAAGUUGCACUUGUUUUGCCUUCCUAUGCAAGUUGAUUCUUGUUCCCAUAAGUUGUUUGCUCACAAAAUCCCUAUGCAUAGGAAGUGGGUUAGGCUUAAAUGUCUUAGUCAUAUUCUUCAUGAUGCUCUCUUUAUGUUUCAAUUCUUAUCUUGUAUGUGAUCAUCAUUGAAUUCAUCAUGCCUAGCUAAAAAGGCAUUAAAGAAAAGCGCUUGUUGGGAGACAACCCAAUAUUUACCCAUACUGUUUUUGUGUGUUCACAUGAUUAUGCUACUGUAGUAAUCAUGUUUUAUAGCUUUUGUUUCAAUAAAGUGCCAAGUAAGACCUUUAGGAUAGCUUACGGUGAUAGUUGUGUUGAUCCUGCUGAAAAUCAGAAACUUUUGCGCCCAGUAAAUUAGUUUUGAUAAUUCACAAAAACGUGAUUUUGAUAUAAUUCUAUUUGAUCUGGACUGGUACACAAAUUUCUCAGGUUUUCCUAAUUUGGUAUGAUUUUAUGAGUUACAGAAGUAUUCGAGAGUUAUAGAUUACUACAAACUAUUCUGUUUUUGACAGAUUCUGGUUUCUAUGUGUUGUUUGCUUAUUUUGAUGAAUCUAUGAGUAGUAUCGGAGGGUAUGAACCAUAGGGAAGUUGGAAUACAGUAGAUAUUACACCAAUAUGAAUUUAGAAUGAGUUCACAACAGUACCUAAGUGGUGAUUUAUUUUCUUAUACUAACGGAGCUUACGAGUUUUCUAUUAAGUUUUGUGUUGUGAAGUUUCAUGUUUUGGGUAAAGAUUCGAUGGAAUAUGGAAUAAGGAGUGGCAAGAGCCUAAUCUUGGGGAUACCCAAGGCACCCCAAGGUAAUAUUCAAGGACAACCAAGAUCCUAAGCUUGGGGAUGCCCUGGAUGGCAUCCCCUCUUUCGUCUUCGUUCAUCGGUAACUUACUUGGGGCUAUAUUUUUAUUCACCACAUGAUAUGCAUUUUGCUUGGAGCAUCAUUUUUUAUUUUGUUUUGCUUGCUGUUUGAAUAAUAUCCCAAGAUCUUAAAUUCUUAAAUGUUAGAGAGUCUUCACAUAGUUGCACAAUUAUUCGACUACUCAUUGAUCUUCACUCAUAUCUUUUGGAGUAGUUUGUCAUUUGCUCUAGUGCUUCACUUAUAUCUUUUUAGAGCACGGCGGUGGUUUUAUUUCGAAGAAAUAGAUGAACUCUCAUGCUUCAGUUAUAUUAUUUUUAGAGUCUUUAGAACAGCAUGGUAAUUUGCUUAGGUUAUGAAUUUAGUCCUAAUAUGAUGGGCAUCCAAGAUAGGUAUAAUAAAAACUUUCAUAUAAAGUGCGUUGAAUACUAUGAGAAGUUUGAUGCUUGAUGAUUGUUUUGAGAUAUGAGGAUGGUGAUAUUAGAGUCAUGCUAGUAGAGUAUUGAAUUUGAGAAAUACUUGUGUUGAGGUUUGCAAGUCCCGUAUCAUGCACGUAUGGUAACCGUUGUGUAAAAAAUUUGAAGCAUGAGGUGUUUCUUUGAUUGUCUUCCUUAUGUGUGGAGGUCGGGAUCGCGUGAUGGUUAACUCCUACCAACCCUUCCCCUAGGAGCAUGCGCGUAGUGCUUGGUUUUGAUGACUUAUAGAUUUUUGCAAUAAGUAUGUGAGUUCUUUAUGACUAAUGUUGAGUCCAUGGAUUAUACGCACUCUCACCCUUCCACUGUUGCUAGCCUCUCUAGUACCGCGCAACUUUCGCCGAUACCAUACACCUACCAUUACCUUCCUCAAAACAGCCACCAUACCUACCUAUUAUGGCAUUUCCAUAGCCAUUCUGAGAUAUAUUGCCAUGCAACUUUCCAUCGUUCCGUUUAUUAUGACACGCUCCAUCAUUGUCAUAUUGCUUUGCAUGAUCAUGUAGUUGACAUCGUAUUUGUGGCAAAGCCACCGUUCAUAAUUUUUCAUACAUGUCACUCUUGAAUCAUUGCACAUCCCGGUAUACCGCUGGAGUCAUUCAUAUAGAGUCAUAUUUUGUUCUAAGUAUCAAGUAGUAAUAAAAUAGAAGUGUGAUGAUCAUCAUUAUUAGAGCAUUGUCCCGUGUGAGGAAAAAAAGGAGGCCAAAGAAGCCAAUGAAAAAAGGAGGCCAAAGAGGCAAAAAAAAGAGAGAGAUAAAAAGAGAGAAGGGACAAUGCUACUAUCCUUUUUCCACACUUGUGCUUCAAAGCAGCACCAUGAUCUUCAUGAUAGAGAGUCUCUUAUUUUGUCACUUUCAUAUACUAGUGGGAAUUUUCGUUAUAGAACUUGGAUUGUAUAUUCCAAUUUUGGGCUUCCUCAAAAUGCCCUAGGUCUUCGUGAGCAAGCAAGUUGGAUGCACACCCACUUAGUUUCUUUUGUUGAGCUUUGAUACAUUUAUAGCUCUAGUGCAUCCGUUGCAUGGCAAUCCCUACUCAUUCACAUUGAUAUCUAUUGAUGGGCAUCUCCAUAGCCCAUUAAUACGCCUAGUUGAUGUGAGACUAUCUUCUCCUUUUUGUCUUCUCCACAACCACCAUAUUAUAUUCCACCUAUAGUGCUAUGUCCAUGGCUCACGCUCAUGUAUUGCGUGAAAGUUGAAAAAGUUUGAGAAUACUAAAGUAUGAAACAAUUGCUUGGCUGAAACCGGGGUUGUGCAUGAUUUGAAUAUUUUGCGUGACGAAGAUGGAGCAUAGCCAAACUAUACGAUUUUGUAGGGAUGAACUUUCUUUGGCCAUUUUAUUUUGAGAAGACACGAUUACCUUGUUAGUAUGCUUGAAGUAUUAUUAUUUUUAUGUAAAUAUUAAACUUUUGUUUUGAAUCUUAUGGGUCUGAAUAUUCUUGCCACAAUAAAGAGAAUUAAAUGGAUAAAAAUGUUAGGUAGCAUUCCAUAUCAAAAAUUCUAUUUUUAUCAUUUACCUACUCGAGGACGAGCAGGAAUUAAGCUUGGGGAUGCUUGAUACGUCUCCCACGUAUCUAUAAUUUUUGAUUGUUCCAUGCUAUUAUAUUAUCCAUCUAGGAUGUUUUAUAUGCAUUUAUAUGCUGUUUUAUAUGAUUUUUUGGACUAACCUAUUAACCUAGAGCCCAGUGCCAGUUUCUGUUUUUACUUGUUUUUGAGUAUUAUAGAAAAGGAAUACCAACCGGAGUCCAAUUGACGUGCCAAUUUUUUAUGUUUUUUAUGGACCAAAAGAAGCCCCCGGAGUAAAAGAGUUGGGCCAGAAGAGUCCUGGGCCAUCCACGAGGGUGGAGGGCGUGCCCUACCCCCUGGGCUUGCCCCCCUAUCUCGUGGACGACUCGGAGACCCCCCUGACGUGAGACCGACGCCAAAAAUUCCUAUAAAUACAGAAACCCCCAGAAAGAAACCUAGAUCGGGAGUUCCGCCUCGCAAGCCUCUAUAGCCACCAAAAACCAAUCGAGACCCUGUUUCGGCACCCUGCCGGAGUGGGGAAUCAUCACCGGUGGCCAUCUUCAUCAUGUCGGCGCUCUCCAUGACGAGGAGGGAGUAGUUCACCCUCGGGGCUGAGGGUAUGUACCAGUAGCUAUGUGUUUGGUCUCUCUCUCUCUCUCGUGUUCUUGAUUCGGCACGAUCUUGAUGUAUUGCGAGCUUUGCUAUUAUAGUUGGAUCUUAUGAUGUUUCUCCCCCUCUACUCUCUUGUAAUGGAUUGAGUUUUCCCUUUGAAGUUAUCUUAUCGGAUUGAGUCUUUAAGGAUCUGAGAACACUUGAUGUAUGUCUUGCAUGUGCUUAUCUGUGGUGACAAUGGGAUAUUCACGUGAUCUACUUGAUGUAUGUUUUGGUGAUCACCUUGCGGGUUCAGUGACCUUGUGAACUUAUGCAUAGGGGUUGGCACACGAUUUCGUCUUGACUCUCCGGUACAAACUUUGUUGGUUGAAUAGAUAAAUUUGAGAUUGUGUGAUGCAUAUCGUAUAAUCAUACCCACGGAUACUUGAGGUGACAUUGGAGUAUCUAGGUGACAUUAGGGUUUUGGUUGAUUUGUGUCUUAAGGUGUUAUUCUAGUAUGAACUCUAGGAUAGAUCGAAUAGAAAGAAUAGCUUCGUGUUAUUUUACUACGGACUCUUGAAUAGAUCGAUCAGAAAGGAUAACUUUGAGGUGGUUUCGUACCCUACAAUAAUCUGUUCAAUUGUUCUCCGCUAUUAGUUACUUUGGAGUGACUCUUUGUUGCAUGUUGAGGGAUAGUUAUAUAAUCCAGUUAUGUUAUUAUUGUUGAGAGAACUUGCACUAGUGAAAGUAUGAACCCUAGGCCUUGUUUCCUAGCAUUGCAAUACCGUUUACGCUCACUUUUACCACUUGCUACCUUGCUGUUUUUAUAUUUUCAGAUUACAAAAACCUAUAUCUACCAUCCAUAUUGCACUUGUAUCACCAUCUCUUCGCCGAACUAGUGCACCUAUACAAUUUACCAUUGUAUUGGGUGUGUUGGGGACACAAGAGACUCUUCGUUAUUUGGUUGCAGGGUUGCUUGAGAGAGACCAUCUUCAUCCUAUGCCUCCCACGGAUUGAUAAACCUUAGGUCAUCCACUUGAGGGAAAUUUGCUACUGUCCUACAAACCUCUGCACUUGGAGGCCCAACAACGUCUACAAGAAGAAGGUUGCAUAGUAGACAUCAGAAGUUUCCUUGGUCAUGCUGGUUUCUAUAGGAGGUUUAUUAAAGACUUCUCUAAAAUUUCUAGACCUCUCACUAAUCUCUUGCAAAAAUAUUUUCCUUUUGUUUUUUAUGAUGAUUGUGUAGAAGCAUUUGAAAUACUUAAGAAAGCCUUGAUCUCUGCACCUAUUGUUCAGCCACCUGAUUGGAACUUACCCUUUGAAAUUAUGUGUGAUGCUAGUGAUUAUGCUGUUGGUGAUGUUCUAGGACAAAGAGUUGAUAAGAAAUGAAAUGUUAUUCAUUAUGCUAGUAAAGCUCUAGAUAGUGCCCAGACAAAUUAUGCUAGUACUGAAAAGGAAUUUCUAGCAGUUGUAUUUGCUUGUGAUAAGUUCUGAUCCUAUAUUGUUGAUUCCAAAGUAACUGUUCACACUGAUCAUGCUGCUAUUAAAUAUCUUAUGGAAGAGAAAGAUGCUAAACCUGGACUUAUUAGGUGGGUUCUCUUGCUACAAGAAUUUGAUUUGCAUAUUAUUGAUAGAAAGGGAGCUGAGAACCCCGUUGCAGACAACUUGUCUAGGUUAGAAAAUGUUCUUGACGCCCCACUGCCUAUUGAUGAUAGCUUUCCCGAUGAACAAUUAGCUGUCAUAAAUGCUUUUCGCAAUACUCCAUGGUAUGCUGAUUAUGCUAAUUAUAUCGUUGCUAAAUUUAUACCACCUAGUUUCACAUACCAGCAAAACAAAAAAAUUCUACGAUUUAAGAAAUUACUUUUGGGAUGAUCCACACCUUUAUAAAGAAGGAGUAGAUGGUAUUGAUAGACGUUUUGUACCUGAGCAUGAACAGGAACAGAUCCUACGCUAGUGCCACUCCGAGUCUUACGGAGGACACCAUGCUGGAGAUAGAACUGCAAACAAGGUAUUGCAAUCCGGUUUCUAUUGGCCCACUCUCUUUAAGGAUGCCCUUAAGUUGUUCUUGUCUUGUGAUGAAUGCCAGAGAAUUGGUAAUAUUAGUAGACGUCAGGAAAUGCCUAUGAAUUAUUCACUUGUUAUUGAACCAUUUGAUGUUUGGGGCUUUGAUUAUAUGGGACCUUUUCCUUCCUCUAAUGGGUAUACACAUAUUUUAGUUGUUGUUGAUUACGUUACUAAGUGGGUAGAAGCUAUUCCAACUAGUAGUGCUGAUCAUAACACUUCUAUGAAGACGCUUAAAGAAGUUAUUUUUCCAUGGUUUGGAGUCCCUAGAUAUUUAAUGACUGAUGGUGGUUCACAUUUAAUUCAUGGUGCUUUUCGUAAAAUGCUUGCUAAGUAUGAUGUUAAUCAUAGAAUUGCAUCUACAUAUCAUCCUCAGUCUAGUGGUCAAGUAGAAUUGAGCAAUAGAGAGAUUAAAUUGAUUUUGUAGAAGACUGUUAAUAGAUCUAGAAAGAAUUGGUCUAAGAAACUUGAUGAUGCAUUAUGGGCUUAUAGAACUGCUUAUAAAAACCCUAUGGGCAUGUCUCCGUAUAAAAUGGUUUAUGGAAAAGCAUGUCAUUUACCUCUUGAACUAGAACAUAAGGCAUAUUGGGCUAUUAAAGAGAUCAACUAUGAUUUUAAACUUGCUGGUGAGAAGAGGUUAUUUGACAUUAGCUCACUUGAUGAAUGGAGAACCCAAGCCUACGAGAAUUCCAAGUUGUUUAGACAAAAGGUUAAAAGAUGGAAUGACAAAAGGAUACAAAAGCGCGAGUUUAAUGUAGGUGAUCACGUUUUGCUAUACAACUCUCGUGUAAGAUUUUUUGCAGGAAAGCUUCUCUCUAAAUGGGAAGGCCCUUACAUCAUCGAGGAGGUCUAUCGUUCCAGUGCCAUAAAAAUUAAGAACGCCGAAGGCACAAAUCCGAAGGUGGUAAACGGUCAAAGAAUCAAACAUUAUAUCUUAGGUACUCCCAUAAAUGUUGAGACCAAUAUAGUUGACACCGUAACACCGGAGGAGUGCAUAAGGGACACUUUCCAGAACGUUUCAGACUCCAAAAAGGAAUAGGUAUGUGGUACGGUAAGUAAACCAACUCCAAAACGUUUCCAAUGUUAAAUUUUCUCCGUUUGGAAUAUUUAAAAAUUAGGAAAAUUAAAAGUAGUCCAAAAGAGACACGAGGCCACCACAAGGGUGGAGGGCGCGCCCCCCGUCCUUGUGGCCACCUCGUGUGCCCUCCGGACUCCGUUUUCUUGCACAAUACUUUUUUUGGUCGGUAAAAAUUCAUUAUAUAAUCUCCCGAAGGUUUUGACCACCGUACCACGACAAUAUCUCAUGUUUUUUGCUUCGAGCUGUUUUUCUGACAGAUCUAGAUCACCAUGACAUCUCCAAGCGCCCCAAAGGAUAGGUUUUUCGAGAAGGUCAUCAACCCCUACCUUGCGGAGGUGCUGCGACACCCUCAAGCCAUUGAGAUGCGUGAGGGGGUGCUGCACAUCCAUGAUGUUGAGGGGCCGAAGAAGACCGGAAGCAUGGAGACAAGACUCGAAGCAAUGGAGCAGCAAGUUUCAAGUGUCAAGGGAUGGUGGAACAUUGACUCAACGCCAAUCACAUGAUGAUCGCGGAGUUCACCAACAAGCACAAGCUGGAUCCCAAGAGCAUUGAGGAGGCCAUCUUCAGGCUUCAUGACAAAAUCGAGCACCUCCAAGCCCAGAUCUAUGCCCUGCAAAACCAAAACUGUGAGUAUGAAUAUAGAUUCAAGAGGAUGAGUUUGGCUGCAAAUUCGAGGAUCCCGGAGACCCGCUCAUCUUUCUAUGAUGGUGAGCCUAUGCCUUGGAAGAUGGACGACAAUCCUACUUCAUCAACAACUCCAUCAUCACCACCUCCGAAGAAAGAGACAUAAAUACAUGGGUAUGGGCACUCACCUUGGCAACUGCCAAGCUUGGGGGAGGUGCCCCGAUAUCGUAUCACCAUCACAUCUCUAUCCUUACCGUUUUUCUUAAUUCGAUCCUUUUGGUUAUGUCUUGAUCUAGUAGAACAAAGUUUUAGUAUGAUCUAGCUUUGAGUUUUGUUUCGAUCUCUGUCAAUGUAAUCGAUUCCGUGAAUGAUAUAUAAUAAAGAGUAGUUUUGAGUUGAUGGCUUUGCUAUCUUGCUAUGAUCUUGAGGAAAUUAAAGAAAGAAAUAAAAAAAGAUCAUAUAUUCAUCUUAUGGAGAGUAAUGACUUCACAUAUAAAGAGUAUGAUGAAUAAAAUUUGUUGAGAGUUGACAAACAUAGUUUUGGUCAUUGUUGCAAUUAAUAGGAAGUAAUAAAGAAAGAGAGGUUUUACAUAUAAAUAUACUAUCUUGGACAUCUUUUGUAAUCGUGAGCACUCAUUAAAAUAUGACAUGCUAAAAAGUUGAUGUUGGACAAGGAAGACAACAUAAUGGGUUAUGUUUUCUGAUAUCCGAAUAGAAGUUAUAUUGUCAUGGAUCAUCCAACAUGUCGAGCUUUCCUUUCCCUCUCAUGCUAGCCAAAUUCUUUGCACCAAGUAGAGAUACUACUUGUGCUUCCAAACAUCCCUAAACCCAGUUUUGCCAUGUGAGUCCACCAUACCUACCUAUGGAUUGAGUAAGAUACUUCAAGUAAGUUGUCAUCGGUGCAAAGCAAUAAAAAUUGCUCUCUAAAUAUGUAUGAUCUAUUAGUGUGAAGAAAUAAGCUUUAUACGAACUUGUGAUAUGGAAGAAAUAAAAGCGACGGACUGCAUAAUAAAGUUCUUUAUCACAAGCGGCAAUAUAAAGUGACGUUCUUUUUCAUUAAGAUUUUGUGCAUCCAACCAUAAAAGUGCAUGACAACCUUUGCUUCCCUCUACGAAGGGCCUAUCUUUUACUUUUAUCUCCUACCCUUAUACAAGAGUCAUGGUGAUCUUCACCUUUCCUUUUUACACUUUUUCCUUUGGCAAGCACUAUGUGUUGGAAAGAUGCAGAUAUAUAUAUCCAUUCGGAUGUAGGUUAUCAUAAAGUAUUAUUGUUGACAUUACCCUUGAGGUAAAAGGUUUGGGAGGCAAAAUUAUAAGCCCCUAUCUUUCUCUGUGUCCGAUUGAAACUUUGUACCCAUAAGUAUCGCGUGAGUGUUAGCAAUUGUGGAAGAUUAAAUGAUAGUUGAGUAUGUGGACUUGCUGAAAAGCUCUUACAUUGACUCUUUCCGAUGUUAUGAUAAAUUGCAAUUGCUUCAAUGACUGAGAUCAUAGUUUGUUAGUUUUCAAUGAAGUUUCCAAUUCAUACUUUACCUUGUGAAUGAGUAGUUACUUUAGCAUAAGAAAUUAUAUGACAAUAUAUGUUGCUAUCCUAAAGAUAAUCAUGAUGCCCUCAUGUCCGUAUUUUAUUUUAUCGACACCUCUAUCUCUAAACAUGUGGACCUAUUUAUUGAUAUCGGCUUUAGCUUGAGGACAAGCGAGGUCAGCUUGGGGGAGUUGAUACGUCCAUUUUGCAUCAUGCUAAUAUAUUGAUAUUUAUUUAAUUAUGGGCUGUUAUUACAGAUUAUAUCACAAUAAUUAUGCCUUUUCUCUCUUAUUUUAUAAGGUUUACAUGAAGAGGGAGAAUGCCGGCAGGUGGAAUUCUGGACUAGAAAAGGAGCAAAUAUUAGAGACCUAUUCUGCACAACUCCAAAAGUCCUGAAGCUUCAUGGAGCAUGUUUUUGGAAUAAAUAAAAAAUAUUGGGCGAAGAAAAUACCAGAGGGGGGCCACCAGCCAGCCAGAAGGGUGGAGGGCGCGCCCUACCCCCUCGGCACGCCCCCCGUCCUUGUGGGCCCCCUAUCAGGCCUCUGGUGCCCAUCUUCUUCUAUAUGGCGUGUUUUGACCUAGAAAAAAUAAGAAGGAAGCUUUUGGGACGAAGCGCCGCCGUCUCAAGGCGGAACCUGGGCAGGAGCAAUCUAGAGCUCCGGCAGAGCGAUUCUGCCGGGGAAACAUCCCUCCGGGAGGGGGAAAUCAUCGCCAUCGUCAUCACCAUCGAUCCUCUAAUCGAGAGGGGGUCAAUCUCCACCAACAUCUUCACUAGCACUAUCUCCUCUCAAACCCUAGUUCAUCUCUUGUAUUCGAUCUUGGUCCCAAAACCUCAGAUUGGUAUGUGUGGGUUUCUAGUAGUGUUGAUUACUCCUUGUAGUUGAUGCUAGUUGGUUUGUUCGGUGGAAGAUCAUAUGUUCAGAUCCUUAAUGAUAAUUAAUACUCCUCUGAUUAUGAACAUGAAUAUGCUUUGUGAGUAGCUACGUUUGUUCUUGAGGACAUGGGAGAAGUCAUGUUAUAAGUAAUCAUGUGAAUUUGGUAUUCGUUCGAUAUUUUGAUGAGAUGUAUGUUGUCUCUCCUCUAGUGGUGUUAUGUGAAUGUCUAAUACAUGACACUUCACCAUUAUUUGGGCCUAGGGGAAGGCAUUGGGAAGUAAUAAGUAGAUGAUGGGUCGCUAGAGUGACAGAAGCUUAAACCCUAGUUUAUGCGUUGCUUCGUAAGAGGCUGAUUUGGAUCCAUAUGUUUCAUGUUAUGGUUAGGUUUACCUUAAUUCUUCUUUCAUAGUUGCGGAUGCUUGCGAGAGGGGUUAAUCACAAGUGGGAGGCUUUUCCAAGGAAGGGCAGCACCCAAGCACUGGUCCACCCACAUAUCAAAUUAUCAAAGUAACGAACGCGAAUCAUAUGAGCAUGAUGAAAACUAACUUGACAACAAUUCCCAUGUGUCCUCAGGAGCGCUUUGCUUUAUAUAAGAGUUUGUCCAGGCUUGUCCUUUGCUACAAAAAGUAUUGGGACACCUUGCUGCACCUUGUUUACUUUUAUUACUUGUUACCCGUUAUGAUUUAUCUUAUCACAAAACUAUGUGUUACCGAUAAUUUCAGUGCUUGCAGAGAGUACCUUGCUGAAAACCACUUGUCAUUUCCUUUAGCUCCUUGUUGGGUUCGACACUCUUACUUAUCGAAAGGACUACGAUAGAUCCCCUAUACUUGUGGGUCAUCAAUGAUCACGGCAACCGAGGUUGGGAGCGGGGGAUAUGAUUCGAUGAGCCAGCCCCGGGGACUGCCCCACCACCAACCCCGGCCUACGGUCUCCACGUGGCAUCAACACUAGCAGACCGGCUCCAAACCACGUGAGGAGACCCCAAACUCCUGGCUGACCUCACCAACAUACUCCACAGGAUGGUGGAGCUCCAGGAUAGCGUUUGGCGCUCAAAGGACAGGCUGGCAGGCACCGAAAGUGUCUUAUCCACCGCCAACCACCCAGCACACGAACAACGACAAGAUUCAAUUCAGCGACUGGAGGCCGCGACGGUGGCCGCAGUCACACACCUGCGACAGCCAAUAUCGUCCAUCGCUCUAAAAUAGCGGGCGACCUUACUACCUAUGAGCCCGGUGCCAACGGACGACCUCACCAUCAACAUGGUAGAUGGCAGGAGCAACAGAAGCAAACAUGCUACCCCUGGGGGCUCCUCCCCCCAAGAUUCACCUCGCUCACUUCGAGCACACGCCGGCGUGCUUUGGGCAGGAAGUGAUAGCUAGCCCACUCUUUCCCCCAACCCUUGUCGUCCACGGAGUCGAGAAAUACUCAGGUGACACGAAGUCAGACCACUGGCUGAAUGACUACCUCACGAUGGUCGAGAUGGCCAACAGGGACAUAGGAAAUGCCCUACGACACAUACCCCUGUGCCUAACAGGACACGUGCACUCCUGGCUCAGCGGGCUCCCUCCCAACUCCAUACACAACUAGACAGACUUCGAGUGUUUCUCACCAACUUUGAAGGAACCUACUGCCGCCCAGGAAGCGGAGCCAACCUCCACAAUAUCAUCCAGGAGGACGAGGAAUCGGUCCGGGACUACGUCGUGCAAUGGCUCAAAAAGAAGAAUAUAGUGUCCAACAUCUCUGACGAGAUAGCUGAUACAUCUCCAACGUAUCUAUAAUUUUUGAUUGUGCCAUGCUAUUAUGUUAUCAUUCUUGGAUGUUUUACAUUCAUUUUAUAGCAAUUUUAUAUCAUUUUUGGGACUAACCUAUUGACAUAGUGUCCAAUGCCAGUUGCUGUUUUUUGCUUGAUUUUUUACUUUGCAAGAGUUAUACUAGAACACCUACACCCCCUGUUAGAAUAAAGGAUCAUGCUAAAGCUUCAAAUGUGGUUCGUAAGAGUUAUACUAGAACACCUACACCCCCUAAGCAAAUUAAAGUUAAACCUAGUAUUGCUAUGGUUAAACAUCUCUUGGUUGAUAAUAUUGAUGGGCAUGUUAUUUAUUUCUGUGAUGAAGUUGCUAGGAUUGCUAAACCUGAUAUUAAAGAUAAACAUAGACAUGUCAUUGGCAUGCCUAUUGUUUCUGUUAAAAUAGGAGAUCAUUGUUAUUAUGGCUUGUGUGAUUUGGGUGCUAGUGUGAGUGCAAUUCCUUUUACUUUAUAUAAAGAAAUUAUGAAUGAUAUUGCACCUGCUGAGAUAGAAGAUAUUGAUGUUACUAUUAAGCUUGCCAAUAGAGAUACUAUUUCGCCAAUUGGGAUUGUUAGAGAUGUUGAAGUCUUCUGUGGGAAAAUAAAAUACCCUACUGAUUUUCUUGUUCUUGCUUCCCCACAAGAUGAUUUUUGUCCCAUUAUAUUUGGUAGACCUUUCUUGAAUACCGUUAAUGCUAAGAUAGACUGCAAGAAAGAUAUUGUUACUGUUGGUUUAGGGGAUAUGUCUCAUGAUUUUAAUUUCUCUAAAUUUUGUAGACAACCCCAUGAUAAAGAAUUGCCUAGUAAGGAUGAAAUAAUAGGUCUUGCUUCUAUUGUCGUGCCUCCUACUAAUCCUUUAGAACAAUAUUUGCUAGACCAUGAAAAUGAUAUGUUUAUGAAUGAAAGAAGGGAAAUAGAUGAAAUAUUCUUUUAUCAAGGGACUAUUUUGAAACACAAUUUGCCUGUAGAAAUCCUUGGGGAUCCUCCUCCACCCAAGGGUGAUCCCGUGUUUGAGCUUAAACAAUUACCUGGUACUUUAAAAUAUGCUUAUCUUGAUGAAAAGAAGAUAUAUCCUAUUAUUAUUAGUGCUAACCUUUCAGAGCAUGAAGAAAAGAAAUUAUUGAAAAAUCUAAAGAAGCACCGUGCCGCUAUUGGAUAUACUCUUGAUGAUCUUAAGGGCAUUAGUCCCACUCUAUGCCAGCACAAAAUUAAUUUGGAGCCUAAUGCUAAACCAGUUGUUGAUCAUCAACGACGGUUAAAUCCUAAGAUGAAAGAAGUGGUAAGAAAUGAAAUACUAAAGCUUCUGGAGGCAGGUAUUGUUGGGGAACGUAGUAAUUUCAAAAAAAUUCUACGCACACGCAAGAUCAUGGUGAUGCAUAGCAACGAGAGGGGAGAGUGUUGUCCACGUACCCUCGUAGACCGAUAGCGGAAGAGUUUAACACAACGCGGUUGAUGUAGUCGUACGUCUUCACGAUCCGACCGAUCAAGUACCGAACGCACGGCACCUCCGAGUUCAGCACACGUUUAGCUCGAUGACGUCCCUCGAACUCCGAUCCAGCCGAGUGUUGAGGGAGAGUUUCGUCAGCACGACGGCGUGGUGACAAUGAUGAUGUUCUACCGACGCAGGGCUUCGCCUAAGCACCGCUACGAUAUUAUCGAGGUGUAAUAUCGUGGAGGGGGGCACCGCACACGGCUAAGAGAUCAAUGAUCAAUUGUGUGUCUAUGGGGUGCCCCCCUGCCCCCGUAUAUAAAGGAGCAAGGGGGGAAGGCGGCCGGCCUAGGAGGAGGGCACGCCAAGGGGGGGAGUCCUACUCCCACCGGGAGUAGGACUCCUCCUUUCCUUGUUGGAGUAGGAGAAGGGAAGGGAGAAGGAGAAGGAAGGAAGGGGGCGCCCCCCCUCCCUAGUCCAAUUCGGACUAGUCCAUGGGGAGGGGUGCGGCCACCCUUUGGGGCCUUUCUCUCCUUUCCCGUAUGGCCCAUUAAGGCCCAAUACGAAUUCCCGUAACUCUCCGGUACUCCGAAAAAUACCCGAAUCACUUGGAACCUUUCCGAUGUCCGAAUAUAGUCGUCCAAUAUAUCGAUCUUUACGUCUCGACCAUUUCGAGACUCCUCGUCAUGUCCCCGAUCUCAUCCGGAACUCCGAACUCCUUCGGUACAUCAAAACUCAUAAACUCAUAAUAAAACUGUCAUCGUAACGUUAAGCGUGCGGACCCUACGGGUUCAAGAACUAUGUAGACAUGACCGAGACACCUCUCCGGUCAAUAACCAAUAGAGGAACCUGGAUGCUCAUAUUGGCUCCCACAUAUUCUACGAAUAUCUUUAUCGGUCAGACCGCAUAACAAUAUACGUUGUUCCCUUUGUCAUCGGUAUGUUACUUGCCCGAGAUUCGAUCGUCGGUAUCUCGAUACCUAGUUCAAUCUCGUUACCAGCAAGUCUCUUUACUCGUUCCGUAAUACAUCAUCCCGCAACUAACUCAUUAAUUACAAUGCUUGCAAGGCUUAUAGUGAUGUGUAUUACUGAGUGGGCCCAGAGAUACCUCUCCGACAAUCGGAGUGACAAAUCCUAAUCUUGAAAUACGCCAACCCAACAAGUACCUUUGGAGACACUUGUAGAGCACCUUUAUAAUCACCCAGUUACGUUGUGACGUUUGGUAGCACAUAAAGUGUUCCUCCGGUAAACGGGAGUUGCAUAAUCUCAUAGUCAUAGGAACAUGUAUAAGUCAUGAAGAAAGCAAUAGCAACAUACUAAACGAUCGAGUGCUAAGCUAACGGAAUGGGUCAAGUCAAUCACAUCAUUCUCCUAAUGAUGUGAUCCCGUUAAUCAAAUGACAACUCAUGUCUAUGGCUAGGAAACAUAACCAUCUUUGAUCAACGAGCUAGUCAAGUAGAGGCAUACUAGUGACACCCUGUUUGUCUAUGUAUUCACACAUGUAUCAUGUUUCCGGUUAAUACAAUUCUAGCAUGAAUAAUAAACAUUUAUCAUGAUAUAAGGAAAUAAAUAAUAACUUUAUUAUUGCCUCUAGGGCAUAUUUCCUUCAGGUAUAAUUUAUCCUAUUAUUGAUAGUAGAUGGGAAAGUCCUAUUCAUUGUGUCCCUAAGAAGGGAGGUAUUACUAUUGUUCCUAAUGAUAAGAAUGAAUUGAUUCCACAAAGAAUUGUUACAGGUUAUAGAAUGGUAAUUGAUGUUCGCAAAUUAAACAAAGCCACUAGAAAAGAUCAUUACCCUCCACCUUUUAUUGAUCAAAUGCUAGAAAGACUACCGAAACAUAACCAUUUUUGCUUUCUAGAUGGUUAUUCUGGUUUCUCUCAAAUACCUGUGUCAAAAGAUGAUCAUGAAAAGAACACUUUUACUUGCCCUUUCGGUACUUUUUCUUAUAGACGUAUGCCUUUUGGUUUAUGCAAUGCACCUGCUACCUUUCAAAGAUGUAUGACUACUAUAUUCUCUGACUUUUGUGAAAAGAUUGUUGAGGUUUUCAUGGAUGAUUUCCCCAUUUACGAAACUUCUUUUGAUGAUUGCUUAAGCAACCUUGAUCGAGUUUUGCACAAAUGUGAAGAAACUAAUCUCAUCUUGAAUUGGGAGAAGUGCCACUUUAUGGUUAAUGAAGGUAUUGUCAUGGGGCAUAAAAUUUCUGAAAGAGGUAUUGGAGUUGAUAAAGCUAAAGUAGAUGCUAUUGAAAAGAUGCCGUGUCCUAAAGAUAUCAAAGGUAUAAGAAGUUUCCUUGGUCAUGUUGGUUUCUAUAGGAGGUUUAUUAAAGACUUCUCUAAAAUUUCUAGGCCUCUCACUAAUCUCUUGCAAAAAGAUGUUCCUUUUGUUUUUGAUGAUGAUUGUGUAGAAGCAUUUGAGAUACUUAAGAAAGCCUUCAUUUCUGCACCUAUUGUUCAACCACCUGAUUGGAAUUUAAGCUUUGAAAUUAUGUGUGAUGCUAGUGAUUAUGCUGUUGAUGCUGUUCUAGGACAAAGAGUUGAUAAGAAAUUGAAUGUUAUUCAUUAUGCUAGUAAAACUCUAGACAAUGCCCAGAGAAAUUAUGCUACUACCAAAAAAGAAUUUUUAGCUAUUGUUUUUGCUUGUGAUGAGUUUAGAUCUUAUAUUGUUGAUUCCAAAGUAACUGUUCACGCUGAUCAUGCUGCUAUUAAAUAUCUUAUGGAAAAGAAAGAUGCUAAACCUAGACUUAUUAGAUGGGUUCUCUUGCUGCAAGAAUUUGAUUUGCAUAUUAUUGAUAGAAACGGAGCUAAGAACCCCAUUGCAGACAACUUGUCUAGGUUAGAAAAUGUUCUUGAUGACCCACUGUCUAUUGAUGAUAGAUUUCCUGAUGAAAAAUUAGUUGUCAUAAAUGCUUCUCCUAAUACUCCAUGGUAUGCUGAUUAUGCUAAUUACAUUGUUGCUACAUUUAUACCACCUAGUUUCACAUACCAGCAAAAGAAAAAGUUUUUCUAUGAUUUAAGACAUUAAUUUUGGGAUGACGUACACCUUUAUAAAUAAGGAGUAGAUGGUGUUAUUAGACGUUGUGUACCUGAGCAUGAACAGGAACAGAUCCUACGCAAGUGCCACUUCGAGUCUUACGGAGGACACCAUGACGGAGAUAGAACUGCACAUAAGGUAUUGCCAUCCGGUUUUUAUUGUCCUACUCUCUUCAAGGAUGCUCGUAAGUUUGUCUUGCCUUGUGAUGAAUGUCAAAGAAUUGGCAAUAUUAGUAGACGUCAGGAAAUGCCUAUGAAUUAUUCACUUGUUAUUGAACCAUUUGAUGUUUGGGGUUUUAAUUAUAUGGGACCUUUUCCUUCCUCUAAUGGGUAUAUACAUAUUUUAGUUGCUGUUGAUUACGUUACUAAGUGGGUAGAAGCUAUUCCUAGUAGUGCUGAUCAUAACACUUCUAUUAAGAAGCCUAAAGAAGUUAUUUUUCUGAUGUUUGGAGUCCCAAGUUAUUUAAUGACUGAUGGUGGUUCACACUUUAUUCAUGGUGCUUUCCGUAAAUUGCUUGCUAAAUAUGAUGUUAACCAUAGAAUUGCAUCUCCAUAUCAUCCUUAGUCUAGUGGUCAAGUAGAAUUGAGCAAUAGAGAGAUUAAAUCGAUUUUGCAAAAGAAUGUUAAUAGAUAUAGAAAGAAUUGGUCUAAGAAACUUGAUGAUGCAUUAUGGGCUUAUAGAACUGCUUAUAAAAACCCUAUGGGUAUGUCACCGUAUAAAAUGGUUUAUGGAAAGGCUUUUCACUUACCUCUUGAACUAGAACAUAAAGCUUAUUGGGCAAUCAAAGAGUUCAAUUAUGAUUUCAAAGUUGCCGGUGAGAAGAGGUUAUUUGACAUUAGCUCACUUGAUGAAUGGAGAACCCUAGCCUAUGAGAAUGCCAAGUUGUUUAAAGAAAAAUUUAAAAGAUGGCAUGACAAAAGUAUACAAAAGCGUGAGUUUAAUGUAGGUGAUCAUGUUUUGCUAUACAACUCUCGUUUAAGAUUUUUUUAGGAAAUAUUCUCUCUAAAUGGGAAGGUCCUUACAUUAUCGAGGAGGUCUAUCGUUCCGGUGCCAACAAAAUCAACAAUGCUAAGGGCAAAAAUGUGAAGGUGGUAAACGGUCAAAGAAUCAAACAGUAUAUCUCAGGUACUCCCAUAAAGUUGAAACCAAUAUAAUUAAUACCAUAACACCGGAGUAGUACAUAAGGGAUACUUUCCAGAAUGUUUCAGACUCCAAAAAGGAAUUGGUAUGUGGUACGGUAAGUAAACCGACUCCAAAACUGUUCUAAUAGCAUUUUUUCUCCGUUUUGGAAUAUUUAAAAAAUUAGGAAAAUUAAAAGUAGUCCAAAAGAGACACGAGGAGACCACAAGGGUGGAGGGCGCGCCCUACCCCCCUGGGCGCGCCCCUGCCUUGUGACCACCUCGUGUCCCCUCCGGACUCCGUUUUCUUGCACAAUACUUCUUUUGGUUGGUAAAAAUCCAUUAUAUAAUAUCCUGAAUCUUUUGACCACCGUACCACGGUAUUAUCCCCUGUUUUUGUUUUGAGUUGUUUCUGUAGUAGAUUUGGAGCAAGAUGUCUUUGCAAGAGUCGGUCGGAGAGAGUCAUGUCUCUCAUCCUACACCGGGGCCAAGAGCAAACAACGAAGCUGACCACUUCGGGCCAUCAACAGAGGAAGAGAUGGAGGAUGGCUUGAAAAGAGUGGAUGCCAUGGAGGAGGAUCAAGAAGUUACCUCUUGUCUUCAAACUAGAUUCAUGAUGGAGGAACUUCAGAGCUCAACAAUACCAAAUUCGGUCAUCCCUCCCAGUGCUAAAUUUCUCUCUUAUGAAAUAUGAAAAAGAGUGUUGCUUUUCCCCCCGCAGCUAUGAAACAUCCAUGGGUGAAUGGAGCUCUAGCCGUCACGAGUAAACUCCGCAAGGAGGUAUUGGAUCUUAAGCAGCUAAAUAAUAGGCUCGAGGAGGAGAAUUGCAUCCUAAAGGGCAUCAUUGCCAAGAAUAUCACAUCACCACCUCCGAAGAAAGAGACAUAAAUACAGGGGUAUGGGCACUCCCCUUGGCAAUUGCCAAGCUUGGGGGAGGUGCCCCGGUAUCGUAUCACCAUGACACCUUUACCUUUAUCGUUUUUCUUAGUUCGAUCCUUUUGGUUAUAUCCUGAUCUAGUAGAAUAAAGAUUUUAGUAUGAUCUAGCUUUGAGUUUUGUUUUGAGAUCUAUCUAUGUAAUCGAGUCCGUGAGUUAUAUAUAAUAAAGAUAGUUUUGAUUUGAGGGCUUUGCUAUAUUGCUAUGAUCUUGAGGGAAUAAAAUAAGAGAAAGAACAAAAAGAAAUAAAAGAUCAAAUAUUGAUCUUAUGGAGAGUAAUGACUUCACAUACAAAGAGUAUGAUGAAUAAAAUUUGUUGAGAGUUGACAAACGUAGUUUUGGUUAUUGUUCCAAUUAAUAGGAAGUAAUAAAGAAAGAGAGGCUUCACAUAUAAAUAUACUAUCUUGGACAUCUUUUGUAAUUGUGAGCACUCAUUAAAAUAUGACAUGCUGAAAAGCUGAUGUUGAACAAGGAAGACAACAUAAUGGGUUAUGUUUUCUUAUAUCCGAAUAGAAGUUAUACUGUCAUGGAUCAUCCAACAUGUUGAGCUUGCCUUUACCUCUCAUGCUAGCCAAAUUCUUUGCACCAAGUAGAGAUACUACUUGUGCUUCCAAACAUCCCUAAACCCAGUUUUGCCAUGAGAGUCCACCAUACCUACCUAUGGAUUGAGUAAAAUCCUUCAAGUAAGUUGUCAUCGGUGCAAGCAAUAAAAAUUUCUCUCUAAAUAUGUAUGAUCUAUUAGUGUGAAGAAAAUAAGCUUUAUACGAACUUGUGAUAUGGAAGAAAUAAAAGCGACGGACUGCAUAAUAAAGUUCUUUAUCACAAGCGGCAAUAUAAAGUGACGUUCUUUUGCAUUAAGAUUUUGUGCAUCCAACCAUAAAAGCGCAUGACAACAUCUGCUUUCCUCUGCAAAGGGCCUAUCUUUUACUUUUAUCUUCUACCCUUAUACAAGAGUCAUGGUGAUCUUCACCUUUCCUUGUUACACCUUUUCCUUUGGCAAGCACUAUGUGGUGGGGGGAUCCAAAUAUAUAUCCACUCGUCUAAAGGUUAUCAUAAAGUUUUAUAGUUGACAUUACCCUUGAGGUUAAAGGUUGGGAGGCGAAAUUAUAAGCCCCUAUCUUUAUCUGUGUCCGACUGAGACUUUGAACCCAUAAGUAUCGCGUGAGUGUUAGCAAUUAUGAAAGACCAAAUGAUAGUUGAAUAUGUGGACUUGCUGAAAAGCUCUUGAAUUGACUCUUUCCGAUGUUAUGAUAAAUUGGAAUUGCCUCAAUGACUGAGAUCAUAGUUUGUUAGUUUUCAAUGAAGUUUUGAUUCAUACUUUACCUUGUGAAUGAAUUGUUACUUUGGCAUAAGAAAUUAUAUGACAAUAUAUGUUGUUGUUCUAAAGAUGAUCAUGAUGCCCUCAUGUCCGUAUUUUAUUUUAUCGACGCCUCUAUCUCUAAACAUGUGGGCAUAUUUUUCGUUAUCGGCUUUCGCUUGAGGACAAGCGAGGUCUAAGCUUGGGGGAGUUGCUACGUCCAUUUUGCAUCAUGCUUUUAUAUUGAUAUUUAUUGCAUUAUGGGCUGUUAUUACACAUUAUGGCACAAUACUUAUGCCUUUUUCUCUCUUAUUUUACAAGGUUUACAUGAAGAGGGAGAAUGCCGGCACCUGGAAUUCUGGAAUGGAAAAGGAGCAAAUAUUAGAGACCUAUUCUGCACAACUCCAAAAGUCCUGAAACUUCACAGAGAAUCAUUUUGGAAUAAAUAAAAAAUACUGGGCGAAGAAAGGACCAGAGGGGGCCACCUGCCAUCCACAAGGGUGGAGGGCGCGCCCUACCCCCCUAGGCGCCCCCUACCUUGUGGACCACUUGGCAGGCCCCCAAUGCCCAUCUUCUGCUAUAUGGUGCGUUUUGACCUGGAAAAAAUCAGAAGGAAGCUUUCGGGACGAAGCGCCGCCGUCUCGAGGUGGAACCUGGGCAGAACCAAUCUACGACUCCAGCGGAGCUGUUCUGCUAGGGAAACCUCCCUCCGGGAGGGGGAAAUCGAAGCCAUCGUCAUCACCAACGAUCCUCUCAUCGAGAGGGGGGCAAUCUCCAUCAACAUCUUCACCAGCACCAUCUCCUUUCACACCCUAGGUCAUCUCUUGUAUCCGAUCUUUGUCUCAAAACCACAGAUUGGCACCUGUGGGUUACUAGUAGUGUUGAUUACUCCUUGUAGUUGAUGCUAGUUGGUUUAUUCGGUGGAAGAUCAUAUGUUCAGAUCCUUAAUGAUAAUUAAUACUCCUCUGAUUAUGAACAUGAAUAUGCUUUGUGAGUAGUUACGUUUGUUCCUGAGGACAUGGGAGAAGUCUUGUUAUAAGUAAUCAUGUGAAUUUGGUAUUCGUUCGAUAUUUUGAUGAGAUGUAUGUUGUCUUUCCUCUAGUGGUGUUAUGUGAACGUCGACUACAUGACACUUCACAAUGUUUGGGCCUAGGGGAAGGCAUUGGGUAAUAAUAAGUAGAUGAUGGGUUGCUAGAGUGACAGAAGCUUCAACCCUAGUUUAUGCGUUGCUUUGUAAGGGGCUGAUUUUUGUCCAUAUGUUUCAUGCUAUGGUUAGAUUUAUCUUAAUUCUUCUUUCGUAGUUGAUGCUUGCGAGAGGGGUUAAUCAUAAGUGGGAGGCUUUGAUACGUCUCCAACGUAUCUAUAAUUUUUUAUUGUUCCAUGCUAUUAUAUUACCUGUUUUGGAUGUUUAAUGGGCUUUAUUAUACACUUUUAUAUUAUUUUUGGGACUAGCCUACUAACCGGAGGCCCAGUGCAAAUUGCUGUUUUUUUGCCUAUUUCAGUGUUUCGCAGAAAAGAAAUAUCAAACGGAAUCCAAAUGGAAUGAAACCUUCGGGAGAGUUAUUUUUGGAACAAACGUGAUCCAGGAGACUUGGAGUGGACGCCAAGGAAGCAACGAGGCGGCCACGAGGCAGGGAGGCGCGCCCCCACCCUCAUGGGCCCCUCGUGGUUCCCCCGACCAACUUCUUUCGCCUAUAUAUACUCAUAUAUCCUGAAAACAUCCAAGAGCACCACGAAACCCUAUUUCCACCGCCGCAACCUUCUGUACCCGUGAGAUCCCAUCUUGGGGCCUUUUCCGGCGCUCCGCCAGCGGGGAAUCGAUCACGGAGGGCUUCUACAUCAACACCAUAGCCUCUCCGGUGAUGUGUGAGUAGUUUACCACAGACCUUCGGGUCCAUAGUUAUUAGCUAGAUGGCUUCUUCUCUCUCUUUGGAUCUCAAUACAAAGUUCUCCUCGAUUCUCUUGGAGAUCUAUUCGAUGUAAUUCUUUUUGCGGUGUGUUUGUCGAGAUCCGAUGAAUUGUGGGUUUAUGAUCAAAAUUAUCUAUGAACAAUAUUUGGUUCUUCUCUGAAUUCUUAUAUGUAUGAUUUGAUAUCUUUGCAAGUCUCUUUGAAUUAUCAGUUUGGUUUGGCCUACUAGAUUGAUCUUUCUUGCAAUGGGAGAAGUGCUUAGCUUUGGGUUCAAUCUUGUGGUGUCCUUUCCCAGUGAUAGCAGGGGCAGCAAGGCACGUAUUGUAUUGUUUCCAUUGAGGAUAAAAAGAUGGGGUUUAUAUCAUAUUGCUUGAGUUUAUCCCUCUACAUCAUGUCAUCUUGCCUAAUGCGUUACUCUGUUCUCAUGAACUUAAUACUCUAGAUGCAUGCUGGAUAGCGGUCGAUGUGUGGAGUAAUAUGGUAGAUGCAGAAUCGUUUCGGUCUACUUGACAGGGACUUCAUGCCUAUAUACAUGAUCAUGCCUAGAUAUUCUCAUAACUAUGCGCUUUUCUAUCAAUUGCUCGACAGUAAUUUGUUCACCCACCGUAGAUUAUGCUAUCUUGAGAGAAGCCACUAGUGAAACCUGUGGCUCCCGGGUCUAUUUUCCAUCAUGUAAGUUUCCGAUCUAUUUUAUUUCGCAAUCUUUACUUUCCAAUCUAUAUCAUAAAAAUACCAAAAAUAUUUGUCUUAUUAUCUCUAUCAGAUCUCACUUUUGCAAGUGGCCGUGAAGGGAUUGACAACCCCUUUAUCGCGUUGGUUGCAAGGUUCUUAUUUGUUUGUGUAGGUACGAGGCGACUUGCGUGUAUCCUCCUACUGGAUUGAUACCUUGGUUCUCAAAAACUGAGGGAAAUACUUACGCUACUUUGCUGCAUCACCCUUUCCUCUUCAAGAGAAAACCAACACAUGCUGAAGAGGUAGCAAGAAGGAUUUCUGGCGCCGUUGCCGGGGAGGUUUACACCAAGUCAAGUCGAGACAUACCAAGUACCCAUCACAAACUCUUAUCCCUCGCAUUACAUUAUUUGCCAUUUGCCUCUCGUUUUCCUCUCCCCCACUUCACAUUUGCCUUUUCUUCGCCUUCUUCCCGUAUGUAUCUUUGUUUGUGUUUCCAUGUGCCUUCUAUUUGCUUGCAUCUUUGCCUUCUAAAAAUCAAUUGAUAUAUGCGCUCGUGCUAAAACCCCAACUAGCCUAGUUGAUGGGAAAUCUUUAGAUGAGCAUGCUCAUUUUGUGCGUCACCGUUUGUGUGAAAAAGGAGACUCUUAUGGGAUCAAAUAAACAGAUUUAUGUGUUAUGCUUGGAAUCUUUGUGAAAUCUAUGAUUUUACUUGUUGCUCUAAGAACCCUAAAAACACCUCCCCUACCUAUGUGAGUUUCAUGAUAAUGAAAUCUUAUCUUCUUAUGUAGAGGGUGUUUUUAGUUACUACAAUAUCGAACAAAUUGAAGAAUUUGUUGCUUUUAAGGGUGCUUAUGAAGUUGCUUCUUUGAUUGAAAAGUAUGAUACUACUCUCUACGAAUCUGAAAAUUUUGACAUACUUAAAUAUUGCUAUGAAAACUAUGCUCAUAAUGUCUAUGUCAAAGAAUUUAUUGAAAGAAUGACCGUUGCUUCGGAAGAAAAUAAUGACAUGCAUGAAUCUAUAGAUAAUUGUGAUUCCGAUGAUUUGAUUGAAAUAUCCCUUGAUGAACAUGUUGAGAGUUGGUGCAAACUUCGCCGGUGCAUCCAACCCCCGUGAUAUGAUACGCUCUAUCACACAUAAACCUCCUUGUAUCUUCCUCAAAACAGCCACCAUACCUACCUAUUACGGCAUUUCCAUAGCCAUUCCGAGAUAUAUUGCCAUGCAACUUUCCACCGCUUCAUUUAUUAUGACACGCUUCAUCAUUGUCAUAUUGCCUUGCAUGAUCAUGUAGUUGACAUCGUUUUUGUGGUAAAGCCACCGUGCAUAAUUUUUCAUACAUGUCACUCUUGAUUCAUUGCCCAUUCCGGUACACCGCCGGAGGCAUCCAUGUAGAGUCAUAUUUUGUUCUAAGUAUCGAGUUGUAAUCUUUGAGUUGUAAAUAAAUAGAAGUGUGAUGAUCAUCAUUAUUAGAGCAUUGUCCCAAAAAAAGUGAGAAAGGCCAAAAAAGCCCAAAAAUAAUAAUACAAAAGGGACAAUGUUACUAUCCUUUUCCACACUUGUGCUUCAAAGUAGCAGCAUGAUCUUCAUGAUAGAGAGUCUCUUAUUUUGUCACUUUCAUAUACUAGUGGGAAUUUUUCAUUAUAAGAACUUGGCUUGUAUAUUCCAGCGAUGGGCUUCCUCAAAUGCCCUAGGUAUUAGUGAGCAAGCAAGUUGGAUGCACACCCACUUAGUUUCUUUUGUUGAGCUUUCAUUCAUUUAUAGCUCUAGUGCAUCCGUUGCAUGGCAAUCCCUACUCCUUGCAUUGACAUCAAUUGAUGGGCAUCUCCCUAGCCCGUUGAUUAGUCGCGUCAAUGUGAUAUUUUCUCAUUUUUUGUGUUCUCCACAUAACCCCCAUCAUUAUAUUCUAUUCCACCCAUAGUGCUAUAUCCAUGGCUCACGCUCAUGUAUUGCGUGAAGGUUGAAUUUUUUUGGAAAAAUUAAAGUAUGAAAGAAUUGCUUGGCUGAAACCGGGGUUGUGCAUGAUUUGAGUAUUUUGUGUGACGAAAAUGAAGCAUGACCAAACUAUAUGAUUUUGUAGUAAUGAACUUUCUUUGGCCAUGUUAUUUUGAGAAGACAUGAUUGCUUUAUUAGUAUGCUUGAAGUAUUAUUACUCUUAUGUCAAUAUUAAACUUUUGUCUUGAAUCUUUCGGAUCUGAACAUUCAUGCCACAAUAAAGAGAAUUACAUAGAAAAUUAUGUUAGGAAGCAUUCCACAUCAAAAAUUCUGUUUUUAUCAUUUACCUACUCGAGGACGAGCAGGAAUUAAGCUUGGGGAUGCUUGAUACGUCUCCAACGUAUCUAUAAUUUUUGAUUGUUCCAUGCUAUUAUAUUAUCUGUUUUGGAUGUUUAAUGGGCUUUAUUAUACACUUUUAUAUUAUUUUUGGGACUAACCUACUAACUGGAGGCCCAGUGCAAAUUGCUGUUUUUUUGCCUAUUUCAGUGUUUCGCAGAAAAGGAAUAUCAAACGGAAUGAAACCUUCGAGAGAGUUAUUUUUGGAACAAACGUGAUCCAGGAGACUUGGAGUGGACGUCAAGGAAGCAACAAGGCGGCCACGAGGCCGGGAGGCGCGCCCCCACCCUCGUGGGCCCCUCAUGGCUCCCCCGACCGACUUCUUUCGCCUAUAUAUACUCAUAUACCCUGAAAACAUCCGAGAGCACCACGAAACCCUAUUUCCACCGCCGCAACCUUCUGUACCCGUGAGAUCCCAUCUUGGGGCCUUUUCCGGUGCUCCACCGGAGGGGGAAUCAAUCACGGAGGGCUUCUACAUCAACACCAUAGCCUCUCCGAUGAUGUGUGAGUAGUUUACCACAGACCUUCGGGUCCAUAGUUAUUAGCUAGAUGGCUUCUUCUCUCUCUUUGGAUCUCAAUACAAAGUUCUCCUCGAUUCUCUUGGAGAUCUAUUCGAUGUAAUUCUUUUUGCGGUGUGUUUGUCGAGAUCCGAUGAAUUGUGGCUUUAUGAUCAAGAUUAUCUAUGAACAAUAUCUAGUUCUUCUCUGAAUUCUUAUAUGUAUGAUUUGAUAUCUUUGCAAGUCUCUUCGAAUUAUCAGUUUGGUUUGGCCUACUAGAGUGAUCAUUCUUGCAAUGGGAGAAGUGCUUAGCUUUGGGUUCAAUCUUGUGGUGUCCUUUCCUAGUGACAGUAGGGUCAGCAAGGCACGUAUUGUAUUGUUGCCAUCGAGGAUAAAAAGAUGGGGUUCAUAUCAUAUUGCUUGAGUUUAUCCCUCUACAUCAUGUCAUCUUGCCUAAUGCGUUACUCUGUUCUCAUGAACUUAAUACUCUAGAUGCAUGCUGGAUAGCAGUCGAUGUGUGGAGUAAUAGUAGUAGAUGCAGAAUCAUUUCGGUCUACUUGACAUGGACGUGAUGCCUAUAUACAUGAUCAUGCCUAGAUAUUCUCAUAACUAUGCGCUUUUCUAUCGAUUGCUCGACAGUAAUUUGUUCACCCACCGUAGAUUAUGCUAUCUUGAGAGAAGCCACUAGUGAAACCUAUGGCCCCUGGGUCUAUUUUCCAUCAUAUAAGUUUCCGGUCUAUUUUAUUUUACAAUCCUUACUUUCCAAUCUAUAUCAUAAAAAUACCAAAAAUAUUUAUCUUAUUAUCUCUAUCAGAUCUCACUUUUGCAAGUGGCCGUGAAGGCAUUGACAACCCCUUUAUCGCGUUGGUUGCAAGGUUCUUAUUUGUUUGUCUAGGUACGAGGCGACUUGCGUGUAUCCUCCUACUGGAUUGAUACCUUGGUUCUCAAAAACUGAGGGAAAUACUUACGCUACUUUGCUGCAUCACCCUUUCCUCUUCAAGGGAAAACCAACGCAUGCUCCAGAGGUAGUAGGCUUGUCCAAGGAAGGGCAGCACCCAAGCACCGGUCCACCCACAUAUCAAAUUAUCAAAGUAACGAACGUGAAUCAUAUGAGCAUGAUGAAAAUUAACUUGACAAUAAUUCGCAUGUGUCCUCGGGAGCGCUUUGCUUUAUAUAAGAGUUCGUUCAGGAUUGUCCUUGGCUACAAAAAGGAUUGGGCCACCUUGCUGCACCUUAGUUACUUUUGUUACUUUUUACUUGUUACGAAAUAUCUUAUCAGAAAACUAUCUGUUACCGAUAAUUUCAGUGCUUGCAGAGAUUACCUUGCUGAAAACUGCUUGUCAUUUCCUUCUGCUCCUUGUUGGGUUCGACACUCUUACUUAUUGAAAGGACUAUGAUAUAUCCCCUAUACUUGUGGGUCAUUAGGUGGCGAGCCCGGAUGCCGGCCAAAACUGGACACGCACCCUCGAAGGCCGAAGAGUAAAUCUAGUCCACCAGUUGAUUGGAGGAAUCUGCAAGCAACUCGAGGAUGACCUCGAGGUCAGAGGACAGUCGCGGAUGACCCAGAACCAAGGUCCCAGCAGCAGUCCCCAGCACGGUGGUCUUCUACUCUGCCAACGCGGUAACCUCCCGAAGCCGCUCCUCUGCAUUGUCAAUCUGGAUGGAUGGUAAUGGGGCUGCAAAAACAAAGCAAUAGAAAAACAAUAUGGGAAAGAAUGCACGGGAUCUCAUAAUACACACCUCGGGCGGCAGCCUCUAGGUCCUAGCAGCACCGCUGUGCUUCGACAAGCUGCACCAUGGCGUCCUCACCGUCCUUCUACAACUGGGCCAUCUUCUGCUCGGCCUCGUGGGCUGUUGGAAAUAUGCCCUAGAGGCAAUAAUAAAUUAGUUAUUAUCAUAUUUCCUUGUUCAUGAUAAAGGUUUAUUAUUCAUGCUAGAAAUGUAUCGACCGAAAACUUAAAUACAUGUGUGAAUACAUAAAUAAAUACUAUGUCCCUAGUGGGCCUCUACUAUACUAGCUCAUUGAUCAAAGAUGGUUAAGGUUUCCUAACCAUAGACAUGAGUUAGUCAUUUUAUAAAGAGAUCACAACAUUAGGAGAACAAUGUGAUGGACAAGACCCAACCGUAAGCUUAGAAUUCGAUCGUAUCACUUGAGUUUAUUGCUAUAGCUUUCUUCAUGUCAAGUAUCCAUUCCUAAGACCAUGAGAUCAUGCAACUCCCGGAUACCGGAGGAAUACCUUGUGUGCUAUCAAACUUCACUUCGUAACUGGGUGAUCAUAAAGAUGCUCUACAGGUAUCUCCGAAGGUGUCUGUUGGGUUGGCAUGGAUCGAGACUGGGAUUUGUCACUCCGUGUGACAAAAAGAUAUCUCUGGGCCCUCUCGGUAAUACAACAUCAUAAAGAUCUUGCAAGCAAUGUGGCUAAUGAGUUGGUCACGAGAUCUUGUAUUACGGAAUGAGUAAAGAGACUUGUCGGUAACGAGAUUGAACUAGGUAUGGAGAUACCAACGAUCGAAUCUCGGGCAAGUAACAUAUCAACGGACAAAGGGAAUUGCAUACGGGAUUAACCGAAUCCUUGACAUCGUGGUUCAACCGAUAAAAGAUCUUCGUGGAAUAUGUGGGAACCAAUAUGGGCAUCCAGGUUCCGCUAUUGGUUAUUGACCGGAGAGGUGUCUCGGUCAUGUCUACAUGAUUCUCAAACCCGUAGGGUCCGCACGCUUAACGUUCGGUGACGCUAGAGUAAUAUUGGGAUAUGCAUGUUGGUGAAUGAAUGUUGUUUGUAGUCCCGGAUGAGAUCCCAGAUGUCAUGAGGAGCUCUGGAAUGGUCCGGAGGUAAAGAUUUAUAUAUGGAAAGUUGCUUUCAGGGUUCCGGAAAAAGUUUCAAUUUUUUUGGUGUUGUACCGGGAAACUUCCAAAAGGUUUUGGAAACUUCCGGAGGAGUCCAGAAGUCCACCAAGGGUUCCACCACAUCCCAAGGGCUAGCAUGGGCUGAGGGGAGGCGCCCUGGCCUUAUUGGGCCAGGCGCACAAGUCCCUCAAGGCCCAUGUGGCUUGGGAGAGGUGGAGAGUCCACCUGUGUAUGGAAAAGGAGGGAAUUAGACCAGGAGUCCAACUCCUCCCCCUUGGUGCGCCCCUAGGUCUUGGAGGGUUGGACACCGUGCCCCUGGCCCCCCUCUCACCUGUUACUUUGUAACUCCUCUGUGUUCGUUGUUUCGGUAGCGCUCGGCGUAGCCCUGCCGGAAUCACUCCACCACCAUCACCAUCACACCAUCGUGCUGCCGGCGAUCCCAUCUACAUCUCCUCCCUCGUUUGCUGGAUCAAGAAGGAGGAGACGUCAUUGAGCCAUACGUGUGCUGAACAUGGAGGUGCCGUGCGUUUGGUACUUCAUCGGUUUGUAUCACGAUUGGAUCGUGACGAGUAUGACUACAUCAACCACAUGAUAUACGCUUCAGCUUAACAGUGAGGGUACGUAGACACACUCUCCCCUCUCGUUUCUAUGCUUCUCCUAGAUAGAUCUUGGGUGUUCUUAGAAUUUUUUUAAUUUUCAUGCUUCGUUCCCCUACAUGGGCAGCCUGAACAUACAACGCGACAGUCUUUUCCACAGCAUACAGCUCUCACUGGAUCACAGCCCGGCGGUCCCUGCUCCCCUUAAGGUCGGUACGAAGGACGCGAAAGGCUUCCUGAUCUUGCUGGAGGGCGGCCUCGAGCUCAUGUUUCGUGGUCAGCACCCUCUCUAGCUCCGCUCGGGCAACCCGCUCAGCCUCCUCCGCCCGUUGCUGAGCUUGCACAACGUACUCUACAUCCUUCCCGAGGGCCAUUGCGGUCUCCACAGCUGUGCAAAGGAUAAAAAGUACACUCCAUCAUCAGUAUGAAUGGAAUAGCCCAAAGGGAUCUAAACUUACAGGAACAGGCAUCAAGAUCACGCUGCAAUCCUUCACCCUGGUGCUGCAACGCUGCGAUCUGCUUCUCUAGCUCAGAGAUCUGCGCCCACGGUUAAGGUCCCCUCAGAAAGUGCAUGGCCAGACAAAUACACACGUCAGGUCACUUCAACUACAUGAGGAACCAAUCCCGGGUAGCGUAGCAGCGCUGCACUUGGCCCCAGGGGCUACUACUACCAUGCUUAUGAAAUAUCAUACCCUAAAACCGGGCUUCACAGCUUGCUCAACCACCUUCAAGGCUUCCCACGGGCCUCAUUGCCUCAUCUGGACACUCAAGGGCUCAGCAACCUCUCGAGGGACCUCAUACUCGAGUCCUCCGGACAAGAAAGAACAGGCUCUCGGCGUUGCGCUGGUCGACGAGGUUGCGGAGUGAUCAGCCCCGCCAACAACAACCCUCACGAUCACUGCUGCUGCGGCCAUGCUCACCAAAGGGAAGUCCGGCGUGCCAGGAGAACCUGUCCCACCAACCGGAGUGGGCGAGAAGGCCGCACCCUGAGAGGCCUCGACCUGAGAGGCCAUAACUUGGGAGGCCGCUACCUGAGAUGCCGUCGGAUGCACUUCAUCUUGGCCCGCGUCUCCCAUCUCAGCGUUAGCCGCAGGCACCACGAUAGGGGCCUCUGCCGAAAAGCAGCUCGCAUGAGACUGCCCCACAGGGCACUACUAACAAUGCUCGAGGCCAAGGGUGCAACUUACUUUGAGAUCGGAUGUCGGCCACAGAAUGAGGGGCCUCCAUGGACGACUGUGCCCCUGGAACCGCCGAUACUGGCGUGGCUACAACUGUGCCGGCCAAUGAUGGGCUCUACUGUAGACGGGCCUGCCAGUCCACAAGAGGUGGCCCUGAACACAAAAAUAAAAGGUCCACAAUGUUGAAGUCAGUAACAAACGGAGCCAGGCCAUAAUCGGAGAGAUGGCUCACGGGGCAACGUAGACGGGCCAGUGAGUGCAAUUCUAAUGCCCUUUCUCUCAUAAAUUGCAAGAUUUACAUGAAGAGAAAUUACCGGUAGCUGGAAUUCCAGACCUAAAAGAGUUACAACAGAGAUAGCUAUUCUAUGGAGCUCCAAAUGACCUGAAACUUUACCGAGAUUUUUUAUUGAAUACAUAAAAAAUACUGGAAUGAAGAACCACCAGAGGGGGGCCACCUACUGCUCACAAGGCAACAUGGCACGCCCACCGUCCCAGGGCACGCCCUGAUGCCUUGUGGGUCCCACAGCAGGUCUUGGGUGCCCUCCUUCUUCUAUAUGAGGCCUUUUGCCCUAGAAAAAAAAUAAGAGAAGACUUUCAGGACGAAGCGCCGCCAUCUCGAGGCAGAACCUGGGUAGGAGCACUUUUGCUCUUCGGCGGAGCAAUUCCGUUGGGGAUACUUCCCUCCGGGAGGGGAAAAUUGGAGCCAUCGACAUCACCAACGAUCCUCUUAUCGUGGGAGGACUAAUCUUCAUCAACAUCUUCACCAACACCAUCUCCUCUCAAACCUUAGUCCAUCUCUUGUAUUCAAUCUUUGUCCAAAAACCUCAAAUUGGUACCUAUGGGCUGCUAGUAGUGUUGAUUACAUCUUAUAGUUGAUGCUAGCUGGUUUAUUUGGUGGAAGAUUAUAUGUUCAGAUCCUUAAGCAUAUUCAAUAUAAUACACCUCUGAUCUUGAACAUGAAUAUGAUUUGUGAGUAGUUACUUUUGUUCUUGAGGACAUGGGAGAAGUUUUGUUAUAAGUAAUCAUGUGAAGUUGGUAUUCAUUCGAUAUUUUUAUGAUAUGUAUAUUGUUCUUCCUUUAGUGGUGUCAUGUGAACGUCGACUACAUGACACUUCACCAUACUUGGGCCGAAGGGAAGGCAUUGGGGAGUAAUAAGUAGAUGGUGGGUUACGAGAGUGAUAGAAGCUUAAACCCUAGUUUAUGCGUUAUUCCGUAAGGGGCUGAUUUGGAUCCAUAUAUUUCAUGCUAUCGUUAGAUCUAUCUUAAUUCUUCUUUUGUAGUUGUGAAUGCUUGUGAGAGGGGCUAAUCAUAAGAGGGUUGUUUGUUCAACUACAAACAACACCCUAGCGCCAAUCCACCCACAGAUUAUCAAAGUAGCGAACGCGAACCAAUUAAACAUGAUGAACGUGGCUAGACGAGAAUUCCCAUGUGUCCUCGAGAACACUUUGCUCACUAUAAGAGAACUUUCCGUCUAGUCCUUUGGCCACCUUGCUUCACCUUUUCUACUAUUGUCACUUGUUACUUGUUAGAAAUUAUCUUGCUACAAAACUAUCUGUUACCCCUACUUUCAGUACUUGCAAAGAAUACCUUGCCGAAAACCACUAGUUAGUUCCUUCUGCUCCUCGUUGGCUUUAACACUCUUACUUAUCGAAAGGACUACGAUUGAUCCCCUAUACUUGUGGGUCAUCACUCAGCCACCGCCUCCUUCAUCUCCUCGUUGCCUUCCUUGGCCUCCUCGACAUUCCUGACCUCCUCGUCAUCAUAAUCGACGAUGAUAAUGUCUUUGUCGUCACCAUCAUCAUCCCAACCUCUGCCGCUGCCUUGACCGCUCAAUGGCAAGGACGCGCCUUCUUCGCCCUCUCGCCCGCCAGAAGUAUCCUCCUAAACCUCUUCACAAGAUCCCUUGCAUUUCUUGGAGGCUUCGGCCUCCGCGCAGGAGGGCCCGAGAGAGGUCGUGGUCAUAAGAGCAGCCAGGACAGGGCUCACUUGUUGCCCCGAAAGCGGUGGUUCUGAGAAGAAGGCCUUGAAGGUGGCGAAUUCCUGACAAGCAAAGCGGGAGGAAUCAUGAUGUAGUCUUUUGACCUCCAACAACAAUGAAACCACAAAGAAAUACUUACACUCCCGGGAAAGGUCGGCUGAGAAGGGCAUGACAGCCUUCUUGUGGGAUUGGGUGAUGGCAUCGGUCCCCACCAAGAAGCUUAGGCAGGCAUCGAUGGCCUCAGGAUCCAGCUCCUCUUGGGAGACCCGCGCGGGGUCCUCUGGGCCCGAGUACCGGGACAUCAGGAGGCCUCGGGCCUACAACAGCGGGACACGACAUGCCACCCAGGUGCGCACAAUAUGACUUCCUGCCAGCCUACCUUUCUUCAAGAGAUCGGUGGCCUCAGGCGUCAACUUGUUCAAUGGAGCCCACGACCGCAGAUUGUGAGGGGGCUCAUUCACAAAGGCUAGGUGGACUUCGUCGAGGCCCUCCCAAAUGGACUUCGUGAGAUCAAUGAGAAGAACGUGGAGUUGGGGUGGAGCUGCACGAUGGCACCUCCAAGGUCGCAGACGGCGCCUUCGUCUGUUUGAAUGCAGACCCAGAAGAAGUAGCAGAACAACUUGAAGUGGGGAGCUCUCCCAAGAUAGCACUCACAAAAAGUAAUGAAGUUGGCGAUGUGGAGCACCCCAUUGGGCGGGAUGUGGUGCAACUAAUAGCCGAAGAAGUGCAGGAGGCCCCGCACAAAGUUAUGGCACGAGAAACCAAGCCCUCGCCCAAAAUAGCCCAGGCAUAAAAUAUGCUCGCCUUCAAGGGCUCUGGUGGGGCCUCCCCAGUCGGAAGCCGGAAGCUCGGAUCUGCCGAGAUAAGGAGCUCAUCCUUGUACACUUGGAUCCCCCCUUCUAUGGCCAUGAAGGGGAACCACUUCCUUGUGGACUUAGGGGUGGCGUGCGCUGAUUUUGCUUCCCCGUGGAGGUGGCCCACUUCUGUUUCAUGCCGGCGACGCUCGACAAUGACUCCAGGCGAAGAGCUCGCUCCCCAUUCUUGCUCCUUGUCCUAGCCAUCGACGACGAAGGGUGGGAGCGCGACAGAGGGAUGAAGCUAGCAUGGUGCCGACGCGUCUGGGGGUUUGGAAACAGACCAGGAGGAUGAAAUGAGCCGAGGCUGGGGAGUGUCAGUCCCUCUAUUUCCCUAUCUUAUAAACAACCAAAACCCGAAGUGUCGCCCGCCUGAGACGGAACGAGUAUGUUUCUCCAUUUUGGAAAGUUCCCUUUUUGCAGAAAAAUUGGUGCGGCAUUCACGGCGGCACCACUGCUCCCCCCGGAAUCCAUGGGAAACCUAACAAGAACUCACCUGACUACACCGAAGGGCGCUCUAGAUGUACCAGGGGCUCAAGCAGGCCAUCAUCCAGCCUCUCUGCCAGAGAGAACUUUAGAGGAUUCCGGGCAAGUGUGGGAGCCCGCUGGAUGUUUCCCGAUCACCUUAUGCGACCUCCGCCACGGUCGGGACUACUGACGGGGUCCUGUACUGGGGGUGACUACCGCUAGGGAACCCGACCUCGCCGUCUACAAGGGGGCCUGCUAGGCCCAAUGCAAGGAGCAAACCCUAGAAGGCGAAGAGGACCUUCGUGGUCUCCAAGACUAGAGGGUGGCAGUGCCCAAAUCCCAUCUAUCAUGUAAACCCUAGACCCUCUCCUGCCUAUAUAAAGGGAGGUCUAGGGUCCUCAUUCAUCAUCUGUCCACUGAUAGGAAACUCUCAGUAGCAAUCCCAUACACCAUUGUAACCCCUCGCAUGAGGUAUCCCUCCAUUAUGAAUCAUCAAAACCAGCAGGACGUAGGGUAUUACUCUCCGGAGGCCCGGACCUAGAUAAAUCCCUCGCGUGACCUCCGAUCCGUGACUUCUAGCUGCGCUUGGACCCGUACCGAGGGAUCUGAUGGCAUUUUGCACCGUCAUGGUUUGCUUGCUCUGGCCGAGCUGUGAGUGACGCGCGUAGAGCAGGCUCGUGCUCACGCAUAAUCGGGUAGGCAACACGCACAAGACUUUCCGGGUGGUGACACCGAGCAAGACGCCCGGGAAUGAUGAUGCUGUCAUGGGGGCCCGAUUUUGUGGGGUUUUCCGAAUUUUCAUUACGUCGGUUGCCAUGUUUGGCGGCUGCAUAAAAGGAUGUGCACCCAAUGCAAGCCUACCCUAAUUUCUUUUCUCGUCUCUCUGCAUGGGGUGUGGCUGUCGGUGAUUGUCGGUGUUGGACAAUGCCGACGAUGGUCCGGUGGUUCCUCAUCCUCUCUGAGGUUUGCAUUUUGUUUGCCUUUUGAUGUGCUGGCUCUUUUCUUCGCGCUCACUAUUUUGUUUUUUCAUUGUGCUCGCAUGUCUCAUGUUUCUACCGAAGAGGUGUUGUCCAGGCAAGCCGCCGACGGUUUGUCGGAUGGUGGCACCAGGCGUUGGUGGUUUAGCUCUACGGGGAGCAUUCGGGCUCUCUGUGUGGACGCGACAAGUGAUGACUGAUGUCUACUACACAACCUUCUUCUUGUAGACGUUGUUGGGCCUCCAUGUGCAGAGGUUUGUAGGACAGUAGCAAGUUUCCCUCAAGUGGAUGACCUAAGGUUUAUCAAUCCGUGGGAGGCGUAGGAUGAAGAUGGUCUCUCUCAAGCAACCCUGCAACCAAAUAACAAAGAGUCUCUUGUGUCCCCAACACACCCAAUACAAUGGUAAAUUGUGUAGGUGCACUAGUUCGGCGAAGAGAUGGUGAUACAAGUGCAAUAUGGAUGGUAGAUAUAGGUUUUUGUAAUCUGAAAAAUAUAAAAACAGUAAGGUAACUAAUAAUAAAAGUGAGCACAAACGGUAUUGCAAUGCUUUGAAACAAGGCCUAGGGUUCAUACUUCCACUAGUGCAAAUUCUCUCAACAAUAAUAACAUAAUUGAAUCAUAUAACUAUCCCUCAACAUGCAACAAAGAGUCACUCCAAAGUCACUAAUAGCGGAGAACAAACGAAGAGAUUAUUGUAGGGUACGAAACCACCUCAAAGUUAUUCUUUCGGAUCGAUCUAUUCAAGAGUUCGUACUAGAAUAACACCUUAAGACACAUAUCAACCAAAACCCUAAUGUCACCUAGAUACUCCAAUGUCAGCUCAAGUAUCCGUGGGUAUGAUUAUACGAUAUGCAUCACACAAUCUCAUAUUCAUCUAUUCAACCAACACAAAGAACUUCAAAGAGUGCCCCAAAGUUUCUACCGGAGAGUCAAGACGAAAACGUGUGCCAACCCCUAUGCAUAAAUUCACGAGGUCACGGAACCCGUAAGUUGAUCACCAAAACAUACAUCAAGUAGGUCACGUGAUAUCCAUUGUCACCACAGAUAAGCACAUGCAAGACAUACAUCAAGUGUUCUCAAAUCCUUAAAGACUCAAUCCGAUAAGAUAACUUCAAAGGGAAAACUCAAUCCAUUACAAGAGAGUAGAGGGGAGAAACAUCAUAAGAUCCAACUAUAAUAGCAAAGCUCGCGAUACAUCAAGAUCGUGCCAAAUCAAGAACACGAGAGAGAGAGAGAGAUCAAACACAUAGCUACUGGUACAUACCCUCAGCCCCGAGGGUGAACUACUCCCUCCUCGUCAUGGAGAGCGCCGGGAUGAUGAAGAUGGCCACCGGUGAGUGUUCCCCCCCCCUCCGGCAGGGUGCCGAACAGGGUCCCGAUUGGUUUUUGGUGGCUAUAGAGGCUUGCGGCGGCGGACCUCCCGAUCUAUUCUGUUCCCCGAUGUUUUUAGGGUAUAUGGAUAUAUAUAUAUAGGCGAAAGAAGUCGGUAAGGGGAGCCACGAGGGUGGGGGCGCGCCCAGGCGGGCAGGCGCGCCUCCCUGCCUCGUGGCCACCUCGAAGCUUCCCUGACUUCAACUCCAAGUUUCCUAGAUCACAUUCGUUCCAAAAAUCACGCUCCCGCAGGUUUCAUUCCGUUUGGACUCCGUUUGAUAUUCCUUUUCUGCGAAACACUGAAACAAGGGAAAAAACAAAAACUGGCACUGGGCUCUGGGUCAAUAGGUUAGUCCCAAAAAUAAUAUAAAAGUGCCUAGUAAAGCCCAUUAAACAUCCAAGAUGGAUAAUAUAAUAGCAUGAAUACUUCAUAAAUUAUAGAUACGUUGGAGACGUAUCAAUGACCCACAAGUAUAGGGGAUCAGUCAUAGUCCUUUCGAUAAGUAAGAGUGUCGAACCCAAUGAAGAGCAGAAGAAAUUGCAUAGCAUAUUAGAGAUGGGCCAGGAGGAAAAAUCCCAGUAACAGCUCGCCUGCUUCACUGCUUGUCUUAAAGUGAACGCAACCACACAUGGGAUCGAUCCGCCGCCAGUGGAGCGCCUGAGCAAACCCCAGUAACAACUCGUCUACUUCACUGCUUGUCCUGAAGUGAACACACCCACGCACGGGAUCGAUCCGCCGCCAUUGGAGCGCAUGAGCCGUCUCGGCGUCACCUCGCCAACCCAACACCGGAUCAUCCUGCCGCCCGCAACCAACCUAGUACCUGCCCCGCCUGCCUCCCAUGGGGCUAUUGUCCGCAUAGGCACGCAUGGCGCACCACCGUGCCCAGCCGCGCUGCUAGCUGGAGCAGGCCAGUCUGCUUAGGUUCUCAGCAAGCAGUAGUUGAUAGACUGAUGGGAUGCUAAGAAUAAAGGGAAGAAAGCUAGUACACCAGAUGUGCAGGGGCUGUGGAUGUGACCAAAGUGCAAUCUGGAGAAUUUCUGGCAAACAUAGUAUUCUUUGAACAUCUCAAGGUUGAUACGUCUCCAACGUAUCUAUAAUUUAUGAAGUCUUCAUGCUAUUAUAUUGUCAACCUUGGAUGUUUUAUAUUCAUUUAUAUGCUAUUUUAUAUGAUUUUUGGGACUAACCUAGAGCCCAGUGCCAUUUUAUGUUUUCUCCUUGUUUUAGAGUAUCGCAGAAAAGGAAAACCAAACGGAGUCCAAUUGACCUGAAACCUGACGGAGCUUAUUUUUGGACCAGAAGAAGGCCAAGGAGUCAAAGAGUUGGGCCAGAAGAGUCCCGGGCUACUCACGAGGGUGGGGGCGCCCCCCUGGGCGCGUCUUCCUGCCUCGUGGACAGCCCGGAGACACCCCUGACUUGUUCUCGACACCAACACCUCUCAUAUAUACCCAAACUUCCAGAAAGAAACCUAGAUCGGAAGUUCUGCCGCCGCAAGCCUCUGUAGCCACAAGAAAUCAAUCUAGGCCCUCUCUGGCACCCUGCCGGAGGGGGCCAUCAUCACCGGUGGCCAUGGAGGAGGAUCCGGAGAGGCCAUCAUCGCCAUGAAGGCCAAGGACCAGAGGGAGACCCUCUCCCCAUCCAGGGGGAGGCCAUGGAGGAGGAAGAACAAGGGGGAGAACCUCUCCUCCUCUCUCUUGGUGGCGCCGGAGUGCCAUCGGGAGGGGAAUCAUCGCUGCGGUGAUCGUCUUCAUCAACAUCACCAUCAUCAUCACCAUCCUCAUCUCUUUUAUGUGGUCCACUCUCCCGCACUCCACUGUAAUCCCUACUUGAACAUGGUGCUUUAUGCCACAUAUUAUGAUCCAAUGAUGUGUUGCCAUCUUAUGAUGUUUUGAGUAGAUAUCCUUUGUCUUUGGGUUGAUUGAUGAUCUAGAUUGGUACGAGUUGUAUGUUUUAUUUUGGUGCUGUCCUAUGGUGCCCUCCGUGUCGCGCAAGCGUGAGGAAUUCCUGCUGUAGGGUGUUGCAAUACGUUCAUGAUUCGCUUAUAGUGGGUUGGUGAGUGACUGAAACACAAACCCGAGUAAGGGGGUUGUUGCGUAUGGGAAUAAAGAGGACUUGAUGCUUUAAUGCUAUGGUUGGGUUUUACCUUAAUGAUCUUUAGUAGUUGCGGAUGCUUGCUAGAGUUCCAAUCAUAAGUGCAUAUGAUCCAAGUAGAGAGUAGAGAAAGUAUGUUAGCUUAUGCCUCUCCCUUAUAUGAAAUUGCACUGACGACUACCGGUCUUGUUAACAAUUGCCUAGGACAAUUCCGCACACCGAUCCACCAUUAUUCCACACUCGCUAUUUAUAAUACUUAGUAAUAUAUUCUAACUUUAUGAUAACAUCACCUACUUCUAUAUUUUAGCUCUCCGAUACUAUGCAAAGUUAUCUUCUUCAUACCCACAAUGUAGUUUUAUUUCUCGUUUCUAGUUGGAAGCAAACGUUCGGUGUACGUAGAGUCGUAUCAGUGGCAGAUAGGGCUUGAGAGAAUAUUGAUCUUACCUUUAGCUCCUUGUGGGUUCGACACUCCAUACUUAUCACUUUCACCUUUGGAAAUUGCUACGAUGAUUCCUUGCACUUGGGGAUUAUCGAGCUCUUUUCUCGCGCCGUUGCCGGGGAGCAAUAGCGUAGGGUUGAUAUUCUCGUGUGUGCUUGUUUGCUUUCUUCACUAAGUAGAUUUUGUUUUUCCUUUUUGUUUCUGUUUAGUUGUGGGUGAAACAUACAAUUUUUUUAAAAUAAUGAAAAUACAAAAAAAUUUACUUGCCUCUCAUGCCUAAAAAGUUUUUCAAAAAGAGAAGUGAUUGGAAAGUUAUGCAUUGAAGAAGUGAGGGUCGACCUUGAGCACUUGUGUUCUUGCUCACGGAAACAAUGUAGAAUUUUUCAUGGAAGUUUCUCUGUAAAUAAUUAUCCCCUUGUAUAUAUUCAUUGUAUUAUAAAAAUAAUGUGCCAAGCUUUGGUUUUAGGAUGAUUAGAUUGCUUGUUUACUAUGUGCAGAACAAAAACAGAAACUUUGGCUGUAGCACGUGAUUUUACAUUUCUUACUGGAAAGUCAAAUGGAUAUGAAACAUUUUGCACAUUACUUCUGUACAAUUUUUUCAAUUUUUCAUUUUUAUUUCAUAAUUUUAGGAGUUACAGAAGUUUACUAAACUUCCAGAUUACUACAGACUGUCUUGUUUCGACAGAUUCUGUUUUGCAUGUGUUGUUCUCUUAUUUUGAUGAAUCUAUGGCUAGUAUCGGGGGGUAUGAACCAUAGAGAAGUUGGAAUACAGUAGGUUUAACACCAAUAUAAAUAAAGAAUAAGUUUGCAACAGUACCUAAAGGUAGUGAUUUGCUUUAUUAUACUAACAGAUCUCACGAAGUUUUUGUUAAAGUUUUGUGUGGAUGAAGUGUUCGAAGAUCGAGGAGCUAUCAAUAUGAGAAGAAUAAAGAGAGGCAAGAGGUCAAGCCUGGGGAUGCCCAAGGCACCCCAAGUAAAUAUUUCAAAGGAUACUCAAGCAUCUAAGCUUGGGGAUGCCCCGGUUGGUAUCUCAUCUUUCUUCUUCAACAAAUAUCGGUAUACCUCCGUUUUCGUUUUGUUCACAUGAUUUGUGUCCUUUGUGUUUUUGUUUUUCCUUUAAGAACCAUGCUAGCAUGAGAUAGCUCUUCACUGAUUUAUAGAAUACUUCAUGUGCUUCACUUAUAUCUUUUAAGUAUGAUCUUAUAGAAUUGCUCUUUGUGCUUCACUUAAAUCGUUUGAGUAUGGUUUUAUAGAAUGCUUCGUGUGCUUCACUUAUAUAUUUUGAGCUUCGAUAUUUGCUAGUAAAUAUUAAUCCUAGAAUACUCCAUGAACUUAACUUAUAUAUUUUGUAGUAUGAAUAAUACUAUCAUCUAAAGUGGUUUUGGAAGAGUGUCAACUUUAGGAAUUAGUGAUCCCACUAUUCCGAAUGAGAAGAAUUUUGCUUAUGUGGAGAGUAGAAAAAUUUCUAUGCUUAUAGAUCAUGAAAAGAAUGCUUUAUGUGAUGGUUACAUUAAUGAAUUAAUUCAUGAUGCUACUGAAAAAUAUUAUGAGGGAGGAAUAUAUGCUUGUAGGAGUUGCAAUAAUAUCAAGUUUCCUCUCUAUGUGCUUAAAGUUUUGAAGUUAUACUUGUUUUGCCUUCCUGUGCUAGUUGAUUCUUGUUCCUAUAAAUUAUGUUCUCACAAAAUCCCUAGGCAUAGGAAGUGGUUUAGAUUCAAAUAUUCUAUGUCAUAUUCUUCAUGAUGCUCUCUUUAUGUUUCAAUUCUUAUCUUCUAUGGGAGCAUCAUUGAAAUCAUCAUGCCUAGCUAAAAGGCACUAAAGAAAAGCGCUUGUUGGGAGACAACCCAAUAUUUACCCUUACUGUUUUUGUGUGUUUACAUGAUUAAUCUACUGUAGUAAUCAUGUUUAUAGCUUGUUUCAAUAAAGUGCCAAGUAAGACCUUUGGGAAGACUUGGGUGAAAGUUAAUGUGAUCUUGCUGUAAAAAACAGAAACUUUGCGCUCACCAGAUUAGCUGUCAUUUUUUACAGAAGAUUGAUUUUGAGUUGAUUAUUUUUGCAGAAGAUUAAUAGAAAAAUUACUCACGUCCACAAAUUUAUUUCAUAAUUUUUGGAGUAGCAGAAGUAUGGUUUAUGUUCAGAUAAUUACAGACUGUUCUGUUUCUGACAGAUUCUGUUUUCAUUGCAUAGUUUGCUUGUUUUCUAGUUUCUAUGGCUUAUAUUUAUGAAUAUAAAUUGUAGAAAUGAUAUGCUACAGUAGGCAUUGUGUGAGAACAAUUAUUAAACUUGUCUUUGAAAGUACCAAAGUGAAUGGUUUACUCUUUAUCAUACUAACCUAUCUCACGAAGUUCCGUUAAGUUUUGUGUGAUUGAAGUUUUCAAGCUUUGGGUGAGAUAUCGAUAUGAGGAGAAUGAGGAGUGGAAAGACCCUAAGAUUGGGGUGCCCAAGGCACCCCAAGGUAAUAUUCAAGGAAGACUCAAGCGCCUAAGCUUGGGGAUGCCCCGGAAGGCAUCCCCGCUUUCGUCUUCAAAACUAUCGGUAUACCUUACUCGGAGCUAUAUUUUUAUUCAUCACAUGAUAUGUGUUUUGCUUGGAGCGUAUUUUCAUUUUUACUUGUUGUUUAAAUAAAAUCGUUGGAUCUGAAAUCUUGAAUGAAAAAGAGUCAUCCCAUGGCUAGUUAAUUAUUUGACUACUCAGUAUUCUUCACUUGUAUCUUUUUGGAGUAGUUUGUCAUUUACUCACGUGCUUCACGUAUAUCCUAUGAGUAAAUGGUUGAAUGAAUUGAAUGUCAUAAAUCUGAAUUUAUAUAUGUUUCAUAUGCUUAUAACAUGGGGAGUAAUGACUUCACACGUAAUAAGUAUAGGUAGUAAACUUAUUGAAGGUUAGCAAACAUUGAAUUGGUCACUUGAACAAUUCAUGAAAGAAUAUUGAAGGAAGAGAGAUUUCACAUAUAAAUAUACUAUCUUGGAUAUCUUUUGUAAUUGUGAGCACUCAUUAAAAUAUGACAUGCUAAAAGGUUGAUGUCGGACAAGGAAGGCAACGUAAUGGGUUAUGUUUCCUUAUAUCCGAAAUAAAGUAUAUUGUCUUGGAUCAUCCAACAUGCUGAGCUUGCCUUUCCCCCUCAUGCUAGCCAAAUUCUUUGCACCAAGUAGAGAUACUACUUGUGCUUCCGAAUAUCCCUUAAACUAGUUUUGCCAUGAGAGUCCACCAUACCUACCUAUGGAUUGAGUAAGAUCCUUCAAGUAAGUUGUCAUCGGUGCAUGCAAUAAAAAUUGCUCUCUAAAUAUGUAUGAUCUAUUAGUGCGAAGAAAAUAAGCUUUAUACGAACUUGUGAUAGGGAAGAAAUAAAAGCGACGGACUGCAUAAUAAAGGUCUCUAUCACAAGAGGCAAUAUAAAGUGACAUUCUUUUGCAUUAAGAUUUUGUGCAUCCAACCAUAAAAGCGCAUGACAACCUCUGCUUCCCUCUGCGAAGGGCCUAUCUUUUACUUUUAUUCUUCUACCUUAUGCAAGAGUCAUGGUCAUCUUCACCUUUCCUUUUUACAUUUUAUCCUUUGGCAAGCACAUUGUGUUGGAAAGAUCCCGAUACAUAUAUCCAAUUGGAUGUAAGUUAUCAUGAACUAUUAUUGUUGACAUUACCCUUGAGGUAAAAGGUUGGGAGGCAAAACUAUAAGCCCCUAUCUUUCUCUGUGUCCGAUUAAAACUUUGAACCCAUAAAUAUCACGUGAGUGUUGGAAGUUGUGAAAGAUUAAAUGAUAGUUGAGUAUGUGGAGGUUGCUGAAUCAAAGCUCUGACAUAGACCCUUCCUGAAAAUAAGAUGAAUUGCAAUUGUUUGAUGACAGAGAAUAUAGUUUGUUAGUUUCAAGAAAGUUUAUGAUCUAUACUUUAACAUGUGAAUAGCUUGUUACUUGAUCAUGAAAAGUUUUACGAGAGGAGCUACUGUUAUGACAUAUAAUGAGGCUAGAAAAAGUGAUUGAAACAAUCAUUGAUCAAACUUAAGCACUUCCUAGCAUUCACACUUCAUAAAAUAUUUCUUUUAUCAUUUACCUACUCGAGGACGAGCAGGAAUUAAGCUUGGGGAUACUGAUACGUCUCCAACGUAUCUAUAAUUUAUGAAGUCUUCAUGCUAUUAUAUUAUCAACCUUGGAUGUUUUAUAUGCAUUUAUAUGCUAUUUUAUAAUUUUUGGGACAAACCUAUUAACCUAGAGCCCAGUGCCAGUUUCUGUUUUCUCCUUGUUUUAGAGUAUCGCAGAAAAGGAAAACCAAACGGAGUCCAAUUGACCUGAAACUUGACGGAGCUUAUUUUUGGACCAGAAGAAGGCCAAGGAGUCAAAGAGUUGGGCCAGAAGAGUCCCGGGCUGCCCACGAGGGUGGGGGGCGCGCCCACCCCCUGGGCGCGCCUCCCUGCCUCGUGGACAGCCCGGAGACACCCCUGACUUGUUCUCGACGCCAACACCUCUCAUAUAUACCCAAACUUCUAGAAAGAAACCUAGAUCGGAAGUUCCACCACCGCAAGCCUCUAUAGCCACGAGAAAUCAAUCUAGGCCCUCUCUGGCACCCUGCCGGAGGGGGCCAUCAUCACCGGUGGCCAUGGAGGAGGAUCCCGGAGAGGCCAUCAUCGCCAUGAAGGCCAAGGACCAGAGGGAGACCCUCUCCCCAUCCAAGGGGAGGCCAUGGAGGAGGAAGCAUGAGGGGGAACCUCUCCUCCUCUCUCUUGGUGGCGCCGGAGUGCCAUCGGGAGGGAAAUCAUCGCCGCGGUGAUCGUCUUCAUCAACAUGACCAUCAUCAUCACCAUCCUCAUCUUUUUACGUGGCCCACUCUCCCGCACCCCGCUGUAAUCCCUACUUGAACAUGGUGCUUUAUGCCACAUAUUAUGAUCCAAUGAUGUGUUGUAACGCCCCGAGACCGACGGUUCAGAAGACUUCCAUAUUCUCGUGAUCACCGUGUGUUUCUUUUGGUGCUUGCUCUUUUAUUUUUGCAUUGCAUCAUGUCAUCAUGCCUUCAUGUCAUUAAUCUUUGCAUCAAAACUCAACUAAAUAAAUUGCAUGGAUCUUCGAUCCAUUUAAAUCGAGGGAAUUCACAUGGUGAUUUCUCUUUAUAACAUAUCCUCCUAAUAUUUAUGGAGCUAUUAUAAAUAUUCCAUUAGUUUGGAAUUAACCGGAACACACUUGCAAAUUAAUUCCCAUGCCUAUUUCCACUUCAAGUUUCACCUCCAAGCUUUGCCAACAAUUCUUUUCCCUCUUAUCGAGGCCCUUCCUAAAUGUCAACAUUUUGGACACUUUGUAAUCCUACUCCUUGUUCAAACCAUUUGAAUUUAAACCGUGCAAUCUUACCCAUUCCGUUUUUCUUGGAACGAGCAUAUUUUUGUGAUGUCCAGGAAAUUAUCUGCGUGUCCAACUUCUUACCCUAACCUCUCUUUCUUUUCUUCAGUUCUCUGUUUUUUAUAAAGAAAAGAAGGAAGAAGGGGAGAGAGCCCAGCCAGCCUCCCAGGCCGGCCCAUCCUUCCCCGCGGCCAUUUGCCCCUCCAAGGCCUACCAGCCCGCGCCCCCUUAACCCUAGCGAACAUCUCCCCUCUCCCUCUCGUUCCCUCUGCUCGCCGCCACACACGCACGCACGCACCGAGUCAGGGACUCCCUGCGCCCAAUCCCCUCGCCUCCAUCCUCCUCGAGCCGGCCUCCCCGCCUCUGGCUACGGCCGCCGCCCGUCGCGCCUCUCCGCCGCCGCCAUGAAUGCCUGCAGGAGCGCCAACGCCACCAGGCCGCCGUCCCGCGCCCAAGCUCCUCCGCCCCGAGCUCCGUUCGCUUCAGGCGCCGGCCGACUGGAUCCGCCCGUCUUCGCUGUUCCCGGCGCUGUUGGAGCCAUGCUUCGAGUCCUCGCCGUCAAGCUCCCCGCCGCUCGCCAGCCUCGUCCGCUCCACCCCUUCCUCUGCUCCACCUCCUUAGCAUCGAGCACCGCCCUUCGCGACCCUCCGUCGUUCGCUUCGGGCGCCUCCGACCUUCCUCGCGCCUGAUCUGCUCCAAGCCACGCCACCGGCCGAGUUCCUCGACCUCUGCGCGUCCCGGAGUCCCUCGCCCACUGCUGCAUGUUCCAGUCGUUGCUCCUCUCGGCUGCGCCUGUACGUCAAUGCCAAGUUCCGUUGCCUGCUCGCCGCCAUCGCCCUAGAAGGAGCUCCGCCUCCCUUGCUUCAUGCCAAGACCAACGUCGGUCACUUCUUCCAGCCGCUGCUUGGCCAUGCCCCGACGACCAGCAGCUCGAGCUACCUCCUGUGACCUCCCGAGGCAGGGCCUUGACAAGUCCCUCGAUGCCCCUCCAGAUGUGUCAAUGCCUCUGUUUGACCCAUGUACAACUAUCCGGUGAUGCGCCAAGUACCCCCCUUGGAUCGUCAAGUUCGACUACACGGAACCGCCAAGUACCACUACGAUUGCCGUGUACAUCUACGGACGCCAAGCCCGGAACAACAAGUACCCCGACAACGUGGGUAACUCUAGCGUCGACCCCGUGGACGUCAAGUACCUCUACCGACGACCCCGAACAUUUACAAAAACGUGUACCACUACCGUCGCCGUGUACCACUACUUCCCUCGGCGACCCAUGAACAACUACUUCCACUACCGUCGAACCCGAUCCACUCCGAAAAUGCACGCUUCGAAGGUAUAACCGCCGAGACGACGCCCGUGAACGAAUGAUUGUGAUGUAUGAGUUUCUCAUGUUCGAACCGUGUCCCAGUUGUCGCUUGCGCGUUCCUUGUUUCCAUGCCGCCGUACCGUGGGUAACCGGAAUCCGGGAGCACCCCACCAUCCUUGCAUGACAUGCUCACGCCCACUCCUUGUGCACCGGUAUCUCUGUGAGCUAUCGGAACCGAUAUGUUGCCGUGGCAUCAUUUUCGGACUCGUUGCCGUGGUACCCCUUUCUUCCACCACGGUGACAAAUGCUUCAUAACAUGUUCAUGUCAAUAUUUUCAUAAAAAUUGAUUAAAACUUGCAUUGUCAUCCGCAUCAUGAUAACAACAUUUAAAUGUUUAAAAUUGUGUUUGUAUUAAAUUGCUAAAUGACAUGAGGAUUUAUCGGAAUUGUCAUUUGUUAUUUCCGGCCUCAUUUAAACUUGCCUAGAUAGGUUGUUUAAUUAUGCCUCACCCCUUGCCGUGGUUAACAACAUUUAAUAUUGUUGUGUACUUAAACAAGAGCGAACUAAAUAACUCGAAUGUGGUGUUUCGUCAAUAUGCAACUCGUUGCAUAUUGAGCUCCACUUAACUUGUAGUUUCGUAUGUGCAUUUGGCCAUGCCAUGCCUCAUUAAACCGGACAUGCAUCAUACUUGAUUGUGCAUCAUGCCAUGUUUAUGUGGUGGUUGUCUACUAUGUGGUUUGUUUCUUUCCGGGUUGCUUCUCUCGUUAGCUUCGGUUUCUUUCCGGAGUUGUGAGGAUUCGUUCGACUCCAUCUGUUUGUCUUCUUCAUGGACUCGUUCUUCUUCCUAGCGGGAUCUCAGGCAAGAUGACCACCCCUCGAAAUCACUUCUAUCUUUGCUUUGCUAGUUGCUCGUUCUAUUGCCACGCUGCGCUACCUACCACUUGCUAUAUCAUGCCUCCCAUAGUGCCAUGUCAGCCCCUAACCUUUUCACCCUUCCUAGCAAACCGUUGUUUGGCUAUGUUACCGCUUUGCUCAGCCCCUCUUAUAGCGUUGCUAGUUGCAGGUGAAGAUUAAGUUUGUUCCAUGUUGGAACAUGGAUAUGUUGGGAUAUCACAAUAUCUCUUAUUUAACUAAUGCAUCUAUAUACUUGGUAAAGGGUGGAAGGCUCGGCCUUAUGCCUGGUGUUUUGUUCCACUCUUGCCGCCCUAGUUUCCGUCAUACCGGUGUUAUGUUCCUUGAUUUUGCGUUCCUUACGCGGUUGGGUGAUUUAUGGGACCCCCUUGACAGUUCGCUUUGAAUAAAACUCCUCCAGCAAGGCCCAACCUUGGUUUUACCAUUUUCUAUCACCUAUCCCCUUUUCCCUUGGGUUCUGCAGACUCAAGGGUCAUCUUAUUUUAACCCCCCCGGGCCAAUGCUCCUUCGAGUGUUGGUCCGAACUGAGUAGACUGCGGGGCCCCCUCGUGGAAACUCGAGGUCUGGUUUUACUCGUAGGUUGUCUCAUCCGGUGUUGCCCUGAGAACAAGAUAUGUGCAACUCCUAUCGGGAUUUGUCGGCACAUCGGGCGGCUUUGCUGGUCUUGUUUUACCAUUGUCGAAAUGUCUUGUAAACCGGGAUUCCGAGACUGAUCAGGUCUUCCUGGGAGAAGGAAUAUCCUUCGUUGACCGUGAGAGCUUAUAAUGGGCUAAGUUGGGACACCCCUGCAGGGUAUUAUCUUUCGGAAGCCGUCCCGCGGUUAUGUGGCAGAUGGGAAUUUGUUAAUGUCCGGUUGUAGAGAACUUGACACUCGACUUAAUUAAAAUGCAUCAACCGCGUGUGUAGCCGUGAUGGUCUCUUUUCGGCGGAGUCCGGGAAGGGAACACGGUUUUUGAGUUAUGUCUGACGUAAGUAGAAGUUGAGGAUCACUUCUUGAUCAUUGCUAGUUCACGACCGUUCCGUUGCUUCUCUUCUCGCUCUCCUUUGCGUAUGUUAGCCACCAUAUAUGCUUAGUGCUUGCUGCAGCUCCACCUCAUUACCUCAUCUUUCCUAUAAGCUUAAAUAGUCUUGAUCUCGCGGGUGUGAGAUUGCUGAGUCCUCGUGACUCACAGAUACUUCCAAAACAGUUGCAGGUGCCAGGGAUACCAGUGCAGGUGACGCAACUGAGAUCAAGUGGGAGCUCGAUGAAGAUCUUGUUCGUUGUGUUGUUUCUUUUCAUGUUGAUCAGUAGUGGAGCCCAGUUGGGACGAUCGGGGAUCUAGCAGUUGGGUUGUCUUCUUUUAUUUUUGUCGGGGAUAUACCCUGCGGUAUGACCCGGCCGGACUUGGCGCUUCACCGUGACCCGCCGGAGGACUGGCGACGCACGGGUCUGGCGGCUCACUUUCAGAUGAAUCACGAGCCGGACGACUCACGGAUGGCCCCGACGACGGGUCAGAUAGAAGACUAGGCCCAAGGCCCAGAAGGCCGGUUCAUGUGAUGAUGGGCCGGCUUAAGAAGAAAGGGAUGACGAAUAUUUCCUUUACGAGAAAGCAAGACCCGGACUUGUAAUUAACUUGCAAGAGAAGAUAGACUAGUCCUAGUCCUACUAGGACUCCACAUGUAACCCGCCCCUCUAACUUAUAUAAGGAGGGGCAGGGCUCCCCAAAGAGGGACGAGCAACAAGAAACAGUCUCUAGGGCUAGACACAAAGAGCCGGCUUACCGGCGACUCUCUCAUAAGCAUAAUGAGACCUAGCCACAAACAGCAUGUAGGGUUGUUACCGGAUGAUGUUUCCCGGGGCCCGAAGCUGUCUAAACCCUCGUCUUGUGCGUUGAUCCGCCCUGCGUCUCUCAUCCCAAUCAACCCCUCUCAAGCUGCUACAUAGAUGCGUUGGCCUCACGACUAAGUCCUUACACCUAGGACAUCUGACGUGUUAAUUCCACGACAGUUGGCGCCCGCCGUGGGGCCCGCGCACGGUGAUGAUGAGUUCUUGGAGGGAAACGUUUAGGGAUCAAUAAGUUCGCGAUCUAGUUGAUGGUUAAAGUUCGCUUGUCAAUUUUGGAGCUAGCAGCACGAAAUUAAGUUCAAGAAAAACCAGCCUUCGCUGGUCCAAAUAAACGGUCAGAUCAAGAGUUGCCAACACCAUCGUUUUUCACUACAACCUGUUUUCGUCGGCUGGGUAAAUCUUGAUCUGUAAUCAUGUGGUUGGAGCUCCGUUUGUUCGGUGCUGGUUUACCAGAUCAGAAGUGCAGAUCAGCAGACGCGAUGAGCCGCCAUCGAGUCCCAAUCAAGUUAUAAUCAGACUAUGGAUCGGACACCAUUUGGGAAGAUUGAUAAGGAAUUGAUUGCUAGCUACAGGGAAGGAGAUUGUUCUGUUGACCGAGUCUGAAGCGGCAUCACGCCGAGUCUAACUCACCCUUGUCUAACGCCAGCGCCUCUUGCUGACCCCAGUCACGGCUCUGUCGCAAUCACCUCAAGCGUGGCACAAUUUUGACCCGCCGAGCCAUGGUCAAUACCUCUACCACUGACCUGGAGCGCCACGACCUCGCUUCGCUUGGCCUGGAGCCACUAUAUCCAACGACCCAAACAAGGACACGGACGGGGGGAUUGGACUCGGACUCUGCGCCUCUGUCAGUCGCCGCCGACGGUCGUCUCUGUUCUGGCUGCGGCUAGCUGAGGCGCCUUGGAGGUUCCAACCCGCCGUCUUCAGCCGCCUCGAGCAACCCUUGCUGAGCCACCGCGGUGCCGUCCGCUCUUCGCUGCUGUGACCCAAGGCCUCGAGUUGCCGCGCACCUCUGCAGCUCUGCUUGAGUUGCCAUACGCAGCGUCGCCGAGCCACUACUUCGAAGCCGGCCAUGACCCGGACUCGACCGUCGUCCCCGCCCACAUCAAUGCCUUGAGGCGCCCGCCUCUGCUGAGCCGCUCCGGUCUCCAAUCACCUCCGGGCUCGCAGCGCCCGUGGGCCGACUCCGCCUUGCUGCCUGGCACGUCGCUUCUCUGGGCAACCCGCCUCCAACCGCGCCCUGAGCCGCCGCCGCCCAGGCCAUCUUCUGCGCUGUCGUACUGCUUCUGAGCCGCCCGGGACCCCUCGCCGGCGGGACUAAGUCGGCCCCGCGACUCUGUCGCCUCGAGUCGCCUGCCGCUGCGGCCGCGAGCCGCCUUCGCUCGCCUCGACAACAAGCCGCUUCCACCACGGCUGCACCUCACCAGCGCGCUUCCGCUGCUGGGUCUCGCCUCUGCUGAGCCGCCUGCCUCAAAUCGCCGCCCUCCAUGCAUCCUCUAUCUGAACCGCCGUCGGUCCUUUUGGUCUACAUUAAAGCACGUCAGAGACCGCGCUGGAGUCUGCCCGCGCGGCACUGCUGUCCGAUACUACAAGGAUUAAACUAAAGAAAGAAAAAAGGAGCAGAUUACAAGCCAGACAUUUGAUUCCUCGGGUUCACGAUCGCUAGUGUUUUGCAUCAUCAAAAAAAAUAGAGCUACACUACACACUGCUAUAUGGUCCGGUUCCCUAUGUUUUGGUUUAAUGGACAAACUGCAAGAUCGUUUGUGAAUUAUGGCAGUCUGCCGUUGUCCUUGGGUCAAUUUUAGCUGCCAACUCGCCGGCCCGGAGGACCGGGUUGUGUCCAUACGCUAAAGGCCUGUAGACAGAGGCAUGUUCUGCCCGUCAUCCCUGCGUUUCAGUAUACAUCAACACGCUAGAUCACCCGGCAGAUACCCACGUACAGUUUACUGCCUUACAGUAUGCCAACUUCAGUACAACAGUCAAGCUGCCAUGCUCGCCUCUGCUGCCUCCGUCGAGCGAGAUAGGUUUUUUGGUCUGUUGUGACCUUGUGCAGACAAGUUACCAAGAUUGAGAUCAUGCAAAAAAAGGAGUUCUAUGUACGUACGUGGCAUGCUGUUGUAGAGGAGGAACAUGCGCGUCCCAAACUUUAUGGGCAAGUUAUACCCUGUUGAAGAUGAUACAGCAAUUGCAUGCAACUGUUGAUCAUCAAAUGUUUACUCCAUCACCAGUUUGUCUACAGAGUUACAUCCGGAUUAUCUGUCGUCCGGAAAAAUCCAGGUGCUAUCUUCUCUAUAUAUUUUAUUAACACAUAUUAAAUUGUUUGAGAACAAUUACUCUGUCUUUCAAUAUAUUUUAUGCAGGACAAAGCCCACUAUAAAAAUGGCGUCGUGCCAUGGACAGGAGGCUCGCACCGGUUUAAAUGUUGUGGCCAAUUCUCGCGCCUACGCCGGAUUAAAUGUCGUGGCCAACUCUCGCACCUGCACCGACUACCGCGGCCGACUCGAUAAUCCGCACCCGUGCGGGUUGGUUUCCAACACCGCGGCCGACUCACCCAGUCGGGCUUACAAUGCCGCGGCCGGCUCUCCCGUCCGCACCGCCUUACAACGCCGCGGCCGGUUCAUUCGUCUGCUCCCGCGGCCGACUCGCCCGUGGUGAUCAUCAACUCUGCGGUGGAUAAUUUCUGGCCUAACAUAUCAGGGUGAAAUCUGUCCGAUCAAUUUUUAUUGAUACAUUUUUUAUUCUUUAAAAGAACAAAUUACUCCGGCUUGCGAUAUUAUUUAUGCAGGAGCAAUUGUUCAUCGCAAAAGCUAUGGCUGUAUUAUGGAUGUCUAGUUUGCACUACCAUUAUAAUGCGGUAGCAUCUGACCACACCAUCAAGCUCGGUGAAUAUAUCUGCAAGCCGCCAUCAACAUGAUGUGGUUAACUCGCCCGUUCUCAUCGGUUUACGAUGCUGCGGCCGACUCAUCUGUCCGAGCCGCUACUGAUGCUGCGGUCGUCUUUACCGUCUGUCUCUCGCAGCCUGGUUUACAUCAACACACCGGGCCGCACCUGUCUGCAUGAGUUGUUUAUUGAGUAUGAGCAAGUCACAGUUUGGGUAGCCCGGUUUUCUUUCAACAAAAUGGAGGCAAAUUGUCAUAUACUAUCAACCGUCGUCUGCACUGGGUGGCCCAAUGGGCAGGCGCACAAGUCGCCGCCACUACAGUUUGGUUAACUUCAAAUAGCCAGUUGAAACAAACCAUUGGCCGAGUUGCUGGCACGGCUCAUACGGGAUCAUUUAUAACCCGCCGCAGUCACCUCAACCUUCUGUGGAUACACAUCGUGCUAUCAACACCAAUGAUAUACAAGUUAUGUCGGUUUAUAUCACGGUUAAAUAUGGAGAAUCUCAAGCCAACUCCUCGAGUCAUCUUGAGACUCGGGGGCUACAGUGACAUGACUCGGGAACCCCGGGUCAUUGGAGGGAAUGAUAACCCGGUUCCGGAGGCUGCUACCAUAUUGAUGAAGCUUUAAAGGCCGUCAGAAAAUUACCGGUUCAAAUAAAGAUUCUGGUUUAAAAUCCGGUUCAAGAGAUAUCUUUCUCCCGCAAAGUUUUGAAGCUCUCAAAUCCGGUUCAAACGUCCGGCUCAAGGUAAAUUUAUAUCUUAUAAAGCGUUGAAGCUUUUAAUAUCCGGUUUACAAAUUUCCGGUUCAAAAGAGGUUAUCUCUCGCAAAGUUCGAGUUCUCAGGAAAAAUUAAAGGGACCAAAGAGAGUCUGUUACAAAGCACAACUCAUAUAUAGGGACCCUGCUUUAAUGACCAUUGGGAGCUGAUCGUAUUUGAAUUUAGCUUAACCCUUUUGGUGUGACCCUGAUCGUAUUCGAAUCAGAGUCGUUAAAUAUUCUCAUGAUCACUAGGGGGCUUCCUGUUCAAACAUAGGUCGUAUUCGAACCAAAGAGAACAUAGCUGUCGAUACCCUUUUGAUCGGCACACUGCCGAGCUCAUUGGGGGAGUUUCUUGGUCAUAUUUGAACCAUAGCUCAACCCCCUUUGGGAACCGACGUGGAUCGUAUUCGAAUCAGUGUCGUUAAACAACUCUUAAGGUCAUUUGGGGGCUUCCUGUUCAAACAUAGGUCGUAUUCGAACCAAAGAGAACAUAGCUGUCGGUACCCUCUUGAUCGGCAACGCCAAAGCCACUGGGGGCUAUAUGAUCGUAUUCGAAUCUUAGCUUAACCCCUUUGGGACGGUUUUUCUGAUCGUAUUCGAAUCAGAAGCCUCAAAAAUUUUGAAGUCUCUUUUUGAAAACAAAAUUUGGAUUUUAUUUGAAGCUCUUUUUCAUAUCUAAAGUGUAUAUGAGUGGUUGUUAUUUAACCCGGCUUGAUUUUCAAUGGUAAAUCGCCAGCUUAUGACAAUCAUCAUCUAUGUGGAAGCAUUGGGUUCUGAGGAUUGGGUUAUCGCCCUUAUUACACAGGUCAUGUAAACCGGCAGUACAAAUUCAAUAUCAUAGUGGUUAUAUGGGAGACAUUAUGACCCGCCUUGCGGUAAACCGCCAAGGAUCUUGCGAUAUACUUGUGUGCAGGAUAAGACUACAUUUGGGUGGUUACCCGCCCUGGCUUUUGAUAUUAAGUCGCCAGGGCGUAUGUUGUUUAAAACUCUGUGCAGGAGCAGAACUGUGACUUAUACAAAUGCUUAAGUUCAAGCUCAUCAUUAAAAUUGAUGCUUCAAAAUGAUUAUCCGUUCUGGAUUUUCUCCAAGGAUAUAAGCCACCGGGUUCUAAAAAUUCCGGCUUACAAUGGAGGCAUAUUAAAUCGCCAUCGGCCAAGAGCCGCCGGGUAUUUAAACUCCUGAUUUACUUAUCAACAGAUGAGGUAUUCAAAGUCGCUUUGGCGCAAUGGCUAUUAUUUUAUCAAUGGAUAUGAUUUAUUCUACAAUGGAAGGAAUAGUCCCGAGUCGCUGCAGGCUUACGACCUGGCACUUGGGGGCUACAUUAUUCAAAUUGAUAUUACAUCAAAUAUGCAAGUCCCAUGUCACUGCCAGCAUGCACCAUGGCACUUGGGGGCUAAUGCAAAGUCAUUUUUUGCUCAACUUAUUGAAGACCCGACUCAUCACAUUCUAAAUGAGCCGGCCCGUAGGGGCUACCAAUUGCUCCUGUCGAAAAUUCAAGGUACACAAGCCUUAAUCCAUUAUAUUGAAAAAGAUCCACUAUUCAGUUGGUAGAGUACAAAGCUCUUAACCUUGUGGACGUGGGUUCAAGCCCCAUGGUGGAGAUUACAUCAUAUACUGUUAUUAUCAAUGAAUCAUAUACAAAGUCCCAGCUCGGUAAUAUCUUACUGACCCGGGCCUUGGGGGCUACGCUGGUUGAAGUUUAUAUGAGCAUAAGGCAAUUACAAGUCCCAGGAUGCUGCAAGCAUGACAACCCGGCCCUUGGGGGCUACAGGUAAUAUGGAUAUAAGGGAGAAAUAUCUUCAAAUUCUCAGUUUUGAGUAAAUCAGAUUGACCUGGUGUCCGCAAAAAUCAUAAACCGGCGUCGGUGACAAUUAUGACUUGGCAUCAUCUAUUUAUAACCCGGCAAUUUUGGUACUCAUAAACCGGCAAGUUUUAUAUCUUUAAGCCGACUGAAUAUAAGUUGAAUAUUUGAAGACCAAUAUUUUUGUCAAGUCAGAGCAUUGAAAGCUGACUCAAGUGGAUUAUCUCUUACAAUAUUUCUCAACAAGAGACCAAUGUCAGUAAAUUGACUCUGAAGCUGGCCUGUUGACCCGGAUUUUUCAAAGGAAGUAUCUGGAUUUUUUGCAUUGGCAAAAUUUGAACAUAUCUGCUAAAGAGAUUUGCUAUGAGAUUAUGGAUACAUAUCAAGAAGGAAGAUGACAAGGAAAUAAGGAUGAUCAUGUGCCGCCUUACAAAGAAUAUUUAACCCAGAACACAACCUGUCAAAUUUGUUCUUGUGUUUAUAUUGCAGAUUAGUUUAAAAUGGAUAAAUCCAAAUUAAACUGGGGGCUAAUGUUGGGGAUAUACCCCGCGGUAUGACCCGUCCGGAAGUAUGACCCGGCCGGACUUGGCGCUUCACCGUGACCCGCCAGAGGACUGGCGACGCACGGGUCUGGCGGCUCACUUUCAGAUGAAUCACGAGCCGGACGACUCACGGAUGGCCCCGACGACGGGUCAGAUAGAAGACUAGGCCCAAGGCCCAGAAGGCCGGUUCAUGUGAUGAUGGGCCGGCUUAAGAAGAAAGGGAUGACGAAUAUUUCCUUUACGAGAAAGCAAGACCCGGACUUGUAAUUAACUUGCAAGAGAAGAUAGACUAGUCCUAGUCCUACUAGGACUCCACAUGUAACCCGCCCCUCUAACUUAUAUAAGGAGGGGCAGGGCUCCCCAAAGAGGGACGAGCAACAAGAAACAGUCUCUAGGGCUAGACACAAAGAGCCGGCUUACCGGCGACUCUCUCAUAAGCAUAAUGAGACCUAGCCACAAACAGCAUGUAGGGUUGUUACCGGAUGAUGUUUCCCGGGGCCCGAAGCUGUCUAAACCCUCGUCUUGUGCGUUGAUCCGCCCUGCGUCUCUCAUCCCAAUCAACCCCUCUCAAGCUGCUACAUAGAUGCGUUGGCCUCACGACUAAGUCCUUACACAUAGGACAUCUGACGUGUUAAUUCCACGACAAUUUUGGUUCCGUAGUCGGACCUAUGUGUGUAUCUUGAAUGAUGUAUGAUUUUAUUCAUGUAUUUUUGUGAAGUGGCGAUUGUAAGCCAAUUCUUUAUCCCAUUCUUGUUCAUUACAUGGGAUUGUGUGAAGAUGACCCUUCUUGCGACAAAACCACAAUGCGGUUAUGCCUCUAAGUCGUGCCUCGACACGUGGGAGAUAUAGCCGCAUCGUGGGUGUUACAAGUUGGUAAUCAGAGCCAUCCCCGACUUAGGAGCCCCCUGCUUGAUCGAAUCGCUGGUGUUGUUGAGUCUAGAAUAAAAAAAAAUUUGAGUCUUAGGAUUAUAUAUAUAUCGGAGAGUAGGAUUCUUUUUACUUCUCAGUCCCUUCGUUGCACUGGUGAGGCCUCCUGACGUAGAAGUUUUGACUUUUCUCUCCUCAAAUUUCAAUUAAAAAAAUUUAGGAUCACGCGGGUAUCUUGGAAUCGUUCCGAUGGUUUUGUGACGAGAACAUUGUUCUUGGUGCCUCCUGACAUUUAGGGGUUGUGGCAGUGUCCCGGGGAGUUGAGCUCCGAGGUGUUGUCGUCACAAUUUUAUCGUUGCAGUUCUGGAAUACCUGAGUUUCGCCGACAUAAAAAUCUCUUUUAUGCAGUUGUUGGUGAGAUCACCUCGACGCCACCCAGUACUAGGGCGGGAGUUCAGGAGUAUUGCCAUAACUCGUAUAACGGAUGCUUUUCGAAGGUUGAGGUAAACGAUUUCCGAAGUUUUCUUGGUUAUGUGUUGACGGAUGGAUACAACUGGAUCUAGGGAUUGUUAGUUUGGGUGAUAUAUUUUGUGUCCCCUGUAUCCCCAACACCAAAUUGCAUAACCAGAAAGUUUCGGGAGUUUAUAAGUGGGAAUUCAAGUAGCUCUUAGGAUAUCUUUCCGACAGAUGCAUGAUAUGAGAUUGGGAUUCGACGUCUAGUGGUCCGCCUUUCCACGGUUGGUUUUACAGUGGUCUCGUAGUGUCUUAAAGAGUCCUUGGCUAUGCCGACUCGGGGACGCUUCGUAUGUCAUGUGCACUGCCUUGUACAUGAUGGUGCUGUACGAUCGAGCCCGUGUGGGCCCCACCACGAAAACUUCGGACGAAAUCUCUAUCAUAUGUUUGUUCCGGCUUAUUUUGCAAGCCAAUCCUUUGUUUUGUUUUAUUUGUGGUAUUCGAUUUGCUUCGAAGUCAAAUGUUGAAUCCAUACCUUUCCUAAACGGUGUUCUCAUAUUGCUAUGUGAAUACUAAUCCUUCUUGAUCAGCGAGGUCGUCAUUUAAUUCUUUUCCAACCGGCGUGUUUCUCUUUUAGUGGAUCCGAUCAUUUUCAACAUCCGUAAGAUCAAUUCUAAGCUUUUUCUCAACGGUGUUCAUUUCAUCCGAUCCAAGUUGCCUUUGUUUUUCCCGCCCUCCCACCCUUUUUCUUUAAGGACUCAGAUUUCUCAAUCAUGUAUCCUUUUAUUGAUGCGAAGUCUCUUCAUUCUUUUCUUUCAAUGUUCUUAUCCGGUGAUUUUCCAUGAAGAUGCUCACGAAACUUCAAGUUCAUCAUUCAUCAUUCUUGUAUUCUUCUCCGGUGGAUUAAAUUCAAGCUUUGUCGAUCAUAUCUUUUCCUUGUUUCAAAUGUUUUUCUCGUACCGGUGCACCUCUUAAUCUUCCACUUCUCGCUAUUCAAUUGUUCCGGAGUGAUGAAGAUAUCUCAGAAGAUUCAAGUUUCCAUUAUCAAUUCACUCAAGUUCUUUUGAGGAUGCUAUCUCAUUCAAGCCAUUUAAUUCAACUAGUGCGAUCUCUCUUUUAAAUCAUUCCAACGGUGUAUCUUUUGAGUGGGCCCUAACCCACAGGUCUUUUUCCAGGAUCUUACCUGACUCUUCUAAUUCUUUUCGGAGCUAUUCCUAAAUUCUUUUCGAAGUUUGACGUAAGAAUGAAUUAUCAUCAGUCAUGUCUUUCUCCAAGAUCUUUUAAAUUCUUUUUGUCGUUGGUUCAACCUUUCCAAUUUUCAUUCCGGAGUGCCUCAAUAAUUCUUGAUGGUGUUUCUCAUCGUCAUUCUCAACAUUUGAAGACCGAAGAAGAAUUUCUCCUAAAUCUUGGUCCGUUCUCUUGAAGAUUCAUAGUUCUAGCUUAUGCCAUCCUCUCAUAAUUGUUUCCAAUCGCGCAAUUCUUUUCAUACCCAUCCGUAGCAUUUUAGAGUUGUUUUCAUUUAUGAUCAUCCAAAGGCCAUCAUUUCAGAAGAUUUCUUCGUUCUCCAAUUAUUCUAAAUUGAUGAAGCUCUCGUUCUCCAAAUCUUACUGGUGCAUCAUUCAAAUAUCCUCUAAUCAGUUCGUGAUCUCUUCGUUCUCAUAUAUUUAUAUUCCGCCAAGUAUCUUUAUUCAUUUUUCUAAAUCUUCUCGGUGAAUUGUGCCUUUGCUACUUUCAUUUUCAAUUCUUACGGUGGUUCGUUCAAGAUUUCUCUUCCUUCGUUAUCAUAUCAAUUUAUUCAUUGUUUCUAUUCUACCGAUGGUUCGAUGAAGACCUUCCCAAGUUUGUGUUAUAUCUCUCUUAAUCCUUUCUACGAGGAUAAGUAGUAUGACAAAUCCAUUGCUUGUCAUCAAUUAAUUGGUGAAGGAUGAUGAGCAUAAUGUAAUUCUUAUUCUUGUUUCAUCAAGUAAAUUCAAUUCCUUAUUCCGGAGGUUCAUCAAAAUUCUUGAUUUCAUUUGUUCAUCUUUCUUUCCGGAGUUCCAAAUUUUCUCGGUUAUAUCAUUUCAAAGCUUCAUCUUAUCACUGCAAGGUUUCACCUUGUGUUUUCAACUCCUCUUUAUUUUAUCAUCCUUUUAUUACCGGAGUUCUUCAUGGAGAAUAUACAUGGUGGUUCAUCAAGGAUUUAAAUCAUUCUCGAAGUGUUCUUCAAGAUUCUUGUUGGAGCUCAAGCAUUCUUGCAUUCCGAAGUGCAAUUAUUUCUACCUUAUCUUUUGAGGUGGUGUUAUGUCAUUCUUGACAAUUUCCCUUCAUGCUUCAUGAUUCACAUGUUGUCAAGAACGAGGUAUUUUAAAUCCAUCAAUCUCUUCAUUGGAGUUAUCUUGGGUUAUAUUUCACCUAAAGCUUUCCCUAAGGAUUGUUGCUAUUUAUGGUGCUUAUAAAUGACCCAAGUUCUUCAUUUGUCCUCCUGGUGAAAUAAGUUUCUCGUCUCCUUGUUGAUAUAAAUCCAAUCUGUGGUUUUUCGUUAGUGGCAAAAUUUCACCUCAAGUUUGAGAUGUUUCCAUAAGCCCACUAAAAGCUUAUUCUUUUCGUUGUUGGUUUUCCAACAACUCCGUUCAAUCCUACUUCGUAAGGAUGCUCUUUAAAUUCAUUUAUGGUAGGAGAUGUUGGUUUCAUUCUUCGUUCUAUUCAUUCCAACUAUCUUCUAUUAUUUCUUCCGGAGGUUUUGUGACGUUGCUCUCUUCGACCAAUCAUCUUGUUUUCUCAAGAUCAUGCAAUUUUUCCUUUCUUAUCCGUUUUACCGGAGUGUCAUGUUUUCAUUCGAGUUCUCUCAUCUUAUCAAGUUUCGUCUCCUUCCUCAACCGGAGUGCUGUCUGAAAUCUUUCUUACCCCUUGUGUCAUUCUUUCUUUAGUUCCGGAGGCAAUGUGUUGUUAAUUUCAUCGAUUAUCCUCUCAUCUUGUCAAGAUCAUGUUCAAUUCCUUCCAUUUACAGUCGGAGUGCUGUCCAAAUUAUAUCAUUCUCAUUCCUUCUUUAUCUUGUUUUAACCGGAGUGUUGUGUCUAUCAUUCCUCUUCUAACCGGAGUCUCAUCCAAGUGCUUUCACUUUGCCAAGUCCAUAUUGUACCUCUUCCAUUUUCCAACCGGAGCGUUAUUGUAAUUGAUCUUUAUCGUUCCUUAUACAUCUCGUUUCAACCGGAGUGCUUGUUUGUACUUCUUGUCCAUCUUAACCAUUUUUGUUUGUUUUUCAACCUACAAGGUUCUUGUAAUGGUCCUUGUUCCUCUUGCUGAACGGAGUGUUGUAAAUUUUGUUCACCUCCGUCGUGUCAUUUCUUCAAGCUUUGCGACCUCUCAAGGUUCUUUGGUUUCACUCGUUUGUCAAAGAAGCAAUUUGUUUUACCUCUUCCUCUCCCAUUUCUCUCCGGUGCCAUCCUAGAUCUCGGGACGAGGUCCUCUUGUAGUGGUGGAGUGUUGUAACGCCUCGAGACCGACGGUUCAUAAGACUUCCAUAUUCUCGUGAUCACCGUGUGUUUCUUUUGGUGCAUGCUCUUUUAUUUUUGCAUUGCAUCAUGUCAUCAUGCCAUCAUGUCAUUAAUCUUUGCAUCAAAACUCAACUAAAUAAAUUGCAUGGAUCUUCGAUCCAUUUAAAUCGAGGGAAUUCACAUGGUGAUUUCUCUGUAUAACAUAUCCUCCUAAUAUUUAUGGAGCUAUUAUAAAUAUUCCAUUAGUUUGGAAUUAACCGGAACACACUUGCAAAUUAAUUCCCAUGCCUAUUUCCACUUCAAGUUUCACCUCCAAGCUUUGCCAACAAUUCUUUUCCCUCUUAUCGAGGCCCUUCCUAAAUGUUCAACAUUUUGGACACUUUGUAAUCCUACUCCUUGUUCAAACCAUUUGAAUUUAAACCGUGCAAUCUUACCCACUCCGUUUUUCUUGGAACGAGCAUAUUUUUGUGAUGUCCGGGAAAUUAUCCGCGUGUCCAACUUCUUAACCUAACCUCUCUUUCUUUUCUUCAGUUCUCUGUUUUUUUAUAAAGAAAAGAAGGAAGAAGGGGAGAGAGCCCAGCCAGCCUCCCAGGCCGGCCCAUCCUUCCCCGCGGCCAUUUGCCCCUCCAAGGCCUACCAGCUCGCGCCCCCUUAACCCUAGCGAACAUCUCCCCUCUCCCUCUCGUUCCCUCUGCUCGCCGCCACACACGCACGCACGCACCGAGUCAGGGACUCCCUGCGCCCGAUCCCCUCGCCUCCAUCCUCCUCGAGCCGGCCUCCCCGCCUCUGGCUACGACCGCCGCCCGUCGUGCCUCUCCGCCGCCGCCAUGAAUGCCCGCAGGAGCGCCAACGCCACCAGGCCGCCGUCCCGCGCCCAAGCUCCUCCGCCCCGAGCUCCGUUCGCUUCGGGCACCGGCCGACUGGAUCCGCCCGUCUUCGCUGUUCCCGGCGCUGUCGGAGCCAUGCUUCGAGUCCUCGUCGUCAAGCUCCACGCCGCUCGCCAGCCUCGUCCGCUCCGCCCCUUCCUCUGCUCCACCUCCUUAGCAUCGAGCGCCGCCCUUCGCGCCCCUCCGUCGUUUGCUUCGGGCGCCUCCGACCUUCCUCGCGCCUGAUCUGCUCCAAGCCACGCCACCGGCCGAGUUCCUCGACCUGCGCGCGUCCCGGAGUCCCUCGCCCACUGCUGCACGUUCCAGUCGUUGCUCCUCUCGGCUGCGCCUGUACGUCGACGCCAAGUUCCGUUGCCUGCUCGCCGCCAUCGCCCUAGCAGGAGCUCCGCCUCCCUUGCUUCAUGCCAAGACCAACGUCGGUCACUUCUUCCAGCAGCUGCUCGGCCAUGCCCCGACGACCAGCAGCUCGAGCUACCUCCUGUGACCUCCCGAGGCAGGGCCUUGACAAGUCCCUCGAUGCCCCUUCAGAUGUGUCAAUGCCUCUGUUUGACCCAUGUACAACUAUCCGGUGAUGCGCCAAGUACCCCCCUUGGAUCGUCAAGUUCGACUACACGGAACCGCCAAGUACCACUACGAUUGCCGUGUACAUCUACGGACGCCAAGCCCGGAACAACAAGUACCCUGACAACGUGGGUAACUCUAGCGUCGACCCCGUGGACGUCAAGUACCUCUACCGACGACCGCGAAAAUUUACGAAAACGUGUACCACUACCGUCGCCGUGUACCACUACUUCCCUCGGCGACCCGUGAACAACUACUUCCACUACCGUCGAACCCGAUCCACUCCGAAAAUGCACGCUUCGAAGGUAUAACCGCCGAGACGACGCCCGUGAACGAAUGAUUGUGAUGUAUGAGUUGCUCAUGUUCGAACCGUGUCCCAGUUGUCGCUUGCGCGUUCCUUGUUUCCAUGCCACCGUACCGUGGGUACCCGGAAUCCGGGAGCACCCCACCAUCCUUGCAUGACAAGCUCACGCCCACUCCUUGUGCACCGGUAUCUCCGUGAGCUAUCGGAACCGAUAUGUUGCCGUGGCAUCAUUUUCGGACUCGUUGCCGUGGUACCCCUUUCUUCCACCACGGUGACAAAUGCUUCAUAACAUGUUCAUGUCAAUAUUUUCAUAAAAAUUGAUUAAAACUUGCAUUGUCAUCCGCAUCAUGAUAACAACAUUUAGAUGUUUAAAAUUGUGUUUGUAUUAAAUUGCUAAAUGACAUGAGGAUUUAUCGGAAUUGUCGUUUGUUAUUUCCGGCCUCAUUUAAACUUGCCUAGAUAGGUUGUUUAAUUAUGCUUCACCCCUAGCCGUGGUUAACAACAUUUAAUAUUGUUGUGUACUUAAAACAAGAGCGAACUAAAUAACUCGAAUGUGGUGUUUCGUCAAUAUGCAACUCGUUGCAUAUUGAGCUCCACUUAACUUGUAGUUUCGUAUGUGCAUUUGGCCAUGCCAUGCCUCAUUAAACCGGACAUGCAUCAUACUUGAUUGUGCAUCAUGCCAUGUUUAUGUGGUCGUUUUUUACUAUGUGGUUUGUUUCUUUCCGGGUUGCUUCUCUCGUUAGCUUCGGUUUCUUUCCGGAGUUGUGAGGAUUCGUUCGACUCCGUCUGUUUGUCUUCUUCAUGGACUCGUUCUUCUUCCUAGCGGGAUCUCAGGCAAGAUGACCACCCCUCAAAAUCACUUCUAUCUUUGCUUUGCUAGUUGCUCGUUCUAUUGCCAUGCUGCGCUACCUACCACUUGCUAUAUCAUGCCUCCCAUACUGCCAUGUCAGCCCCUAACCUUUUCACCCUUCCUAGCAAAACGUUGUUUGGCUAUGUUACCGCUUUGCUCAGCCCCUCUUAUAGCGUUGCUAGUUGCAGGUGAAAAUUAAGUUUGUUCCAUGUUGGAACAUGGAUAUGUUGGGAUAUCACAAUAUCUCUUAUUUAAUUAAUGCAUCUAUAUACUUGGUAAAGGGUGGAAGGCUCGGCCUUAUGCCUGGUGUUUUGUUCCACUCUUGCCGCCCUAGUUUCUGUCAUACCGGUGUUAUGUUCCUUGAUUUUGCGUUCCUUACGCGGUUGGGUGAUUUAUGGGACCCCCUUGACAGUUCGCUUUGAAUAAAACUCCUCCAGCAAGGCCCAACCUUGGUUUUACCAUUUGCUACCACCUAUCCCCUUUUCCCUUGGGUUCUGCAGACUCAAGGGUCAUCUUAUUUUACCCCCCGGGCCAGUGCUCCUUCGAGUGUUGGUCCGAACUGAGUAGACUGCGGGGCCCCCUCGUGGAAACUCGAGGUCUGGUUUUACUCGUAGGAUGUCUCAUCCGGUGUUGCCCUGAGAACGAGAUAUGUGCAGCUCCUAUCGGGAUUUGUCGACACAUCGGGCGGCUUUGCUGGUCUUGUUUUACCAUUGUCGAAAUGUCUUGUAAACCGGGAUUCCGAGACUGAUCGGGUCUUCCUGGGAGAAGGAAUAUCCUUCAUUGACCGUGAGAGCUUAUAAUGGGCUAAGUUGGGACACCCCUGCAGGGUAUUAUCUUUCGGAAGCCGUGCCCGCGGUUAUGUGGCAGAUGGGAAUUUGUUAAUGUCCGGUUGUAGAGAACUUGACACUCGACUUAAUUAAAAUGCAUCAACCGCGUGUGUAGCCGUGAUGGUCUCUUUUCGGCGGAGUCCGGGAAGGGAACACGGUUUUUUAGUUAUGUCUGACGUAACUAGAAGUUGAGGAUCACUUCUUGAUCAUUGCUAGUUCACGACUGGUCCGUUGCUUCUCUUCUCGCUCUCCUUUGCGUAUGUUAGCCACCAUAUAUGCUUAGUGCUUGCUGCAGCUCCACCUCAUUACCUCAUCUUUCCUAUAAGCUUAAAUAGUCUUGAUCUCGCGGGUGUGAGAUUGCUGAGUCCUCGUGACUCACAGAUACUUCCAAAAUAGUUGCAGGUGCCAGGGAUACCAGUGCAGGUGACGCAACGGAGCUCAAGUGGGAGCUCGAUGAAGAUUUUGUUUGUUGUGUUGUUUCUUUUCAUGUUGAUCAGUAGUGGAGCCCAGUUGGGACGAUCGGGGAUCUAGCAGUUGGGUUGUCUUGUUUUAUUUUGGUUCCAUAGUCGGACCUAUGUGUGUAUCUUGAAUGAUGUAUGAUUUUAUUCAUGUAUUUUUGUGAAGUGGCGAUUGUAAGCCAAUUCUUUAUCCCAAUCUUGUUCAUUACAUGGGAUUGUGUGAAGAUGACCCUUCUUGCGACAAAACCACAAUGCGGUUAUGCCUCUAAGUCGUGCCUCGACACGUGGGAGAUAUAGCCGCAUCGUGGGUGUUACAUGUGUUGCCAUCCUAUGAUGUUUUGAGUAGAUAUCCUUUGUCUUUUGGGUUGAUUGAUGAUCUAGAUUGGUACAAGUUGUAUGUUUUAUUUUGGUGCUGCCCUAUGGUGCCCUCCAUGUCGCGCAAGCAUGAGGGAUUCCCGUUGUAGGGUGUUGCAAUACGUUCAUGAUUCGCUUAUAGUAGGUUGGUGAGUGACUGAAACACAAACCCGAGUAAGGGGGUUGUUGCGUAUGGGAAUAAAGAGGACUUGAUGCUUUAAUGCUAUUGUUAGGUUUUACCUUAAUGAUCUUUAGUAGUUGCGGAUGCUUGCUAGAGUUCCAAUCAUAAGUGAUAUGAUCCAAGUAGAGAAAGUAUGUUAGCUUAUGCCUCUCCCUCAUAUGAAAUUGCAAUGACGACUACCGGUCUUGUUAACAAUUGCCUAGGACAAUUUCGCACACCGAUCCACCAUUAUUCCACACUCGCUAUUUAUAAUACUUAGUAAUAUUCUAACUUUAUGAUAACAACACCUACUUUUAUAUUUUAGCUCUCCGAUACUAUGCAAAGUUAUCUUCUUCAUACCCACAACGUAGUUUUAUUUCUCGUUUCUAGUUGGAAGCAAACGUUCGAUGUACGUAGAGUCGUAUUAGUGGCAGAUAGGGCUUGAUUGAAUAUUGAUCUUACCUUUAGCUCCUUGUGGGUUCGACACUCCAUACUUAUCACUUCCACCUUUGGAAAUUGCUACGAUGAUUCCUUGCACUUGGGGAUUAUCAAAGGUAUGUAGUAUGUAUUAUGUAGGUUUAUGCAAACCUGAGACUUAAUUGAGAAUUUUAGUUUCUUUAUAAGAAAUUUUUUGAUCUAUUUUUAUGUGAUAUUGGUAAUUAGUUAGAACAUUCACGUGUCAUAUUUGUUGUUAGUUUUUUUUGGCGGACCACCCUGCUGUUAAAUGCUAGCUCCACCACUGGUUACCCUCUUCUGGAGCUCCAAACAUAAUUUUAUAAUACUUAGUAAUGUAAAAUUUGAGUUGCUCAUGGCCUUCAAUCAUACCGUCUUUUUGUAUAAGGGAAUGAAUAAGUUUCUUCCAGUGUCUGCCAUUGGCUAUACCAUGGAAGUAUCUGGUAUUCGAAUCCCCUUUGAGAAUAAAUCGAGAGUCUGAAUGCUGGUACCAUUGGAGCUCCUCUUCUCUCAGAAGUCGAGCUAUCCAUGCAUUCGAUUGACUCUUAAUCUCAAUCUCAUGUUCAGAUAGCGGUCGAACUUCUGGCAAAGCUUCUAAGUCAUUGAUAAUGGACGUGAGACGACGCUUUCCUUUUUUGAGGAUACUCGCAGUAUGAAUAGCCCAACCACCAAGGAAUUUACAUAUUGCAUGUAUUUUAUUAUUCCAUUUGUGUAUUGGAGUAAGCCCGGUAACAGGUUUCUCUCACACCUCCUUGACCAUAUCAUGAAGCCAUCGCGGAGUAGCCAACCAAGGAUGGGGGCAUGGUCUAAUAGAGCUUCAACAUGAGGUAACGUACACACGGAAACCAUAGGGAAUUUAGAUUCCCAUUUGGUAUCCAUUAACACGCGAUCUAAUUUCUCGUAUGUCGGUUCUUGAAGGUUAUUCGCCCAAGUGAACUGUCAUCCAAUCAUGGAAACUUCUCGCAAAUCAAGGCUGUCAAUAACAACGUUGAACAGGAAAGGCCAAUGAUUAUCAAACCUACCACGACUUUUCUCGUUUGGGAAUCUUAGCAAAUUAAAAUCACCACCUAGUAGAAUAGGAUAGGGAUUAUCUUUUGCCAGAUUAACCAACUCACGAAGAAAGCCAGCCUUGAACUCAUCUUGGGCUGCACAUACACGGCGACGAGAAACCAUGUGAAGUUGUUGGCUUUGUUGCAGAUAUGCAGUUCAAUAUGACACUCACCAUCUGAACUAGCAACCACAUAGGUACGGAUAUGUGCUACUUCAUGACCUUGUCCCACCGACGAGGCCCUUGUCAGCCCUUAUAAAGGCAUACCGGGGCCGGUAAUUUGGUAGCUAUCUUCGAGGGAUACAACACGACCAGGUGAUCACACAAUUACUAGGAUCAUAUCUCCCAUGUCAGUAGGAUCCCCAAAGUAACGCUCAUGUCCUUAGCCCUUACGAGUGUCUAGAGGAUGAUAACAUGAUAGGGAAACAUUGGGAAAGAGGUCGAAAGGGUGACGACAAAGGAUGGUGUGAUGAAGGCGGCGUCUGACACUGAUGGCGAGCGAGUGCUCAGGCGGUGACGAGGGAAGCAUACCGAUGGCCACGAACAAGGUAGCACCGCCAUAACCUUAAUUAUUAAAGAGAUGGGAUAGGGGCACGAUAAGUGGGCAUGUGAGAUAUUGGGAGGGUUCUCUUUUUUCCAUACCCAUGGAAUUGGUGGGUAAAUAACUAUCAACUUGGGGAAUAAACUCUAAUACCUGGCCUCAAAAGCAACAAAAGGACCUCUUAGACUAAUUUUACUACUUCACUAGUUUUCGAGGUGGCUUGUUAAUAUUAAAGCACAUUUAGCGGUUUUGGUGUUUGGUUUGGCUUCUGGCUUAAAAGGAAGAAAACCACAACCAAUGCCUUACUAGACACAACAAGAGUAUACAAACCAUUCAUACAACACUUCUAUUAUAGACACUUUACCGAAUAAAUGGAAUAACUGGUUUCCUUUGAUAGAUCUUGUUUUUCUCUAAUUUCAUUGGCUUCAUACUCUAAAAAUUAUUAGAGCUCAUUGUAAUAAUUUCAUCUUUGCACGAAAUUCAAUACAACUUCCUCAUUUUCCCUUUAAUUAUACCGUGGCCUGAGAGUUAGUCCUAUCGCACUUAUAAAUACAACUAAUAUCAUAUUGUUGGCCAACAUUCUGCGGAGCCAUGUUUACAACCAUACAUUUUAGGGAUACAAACUAAGACAAUGUCCAACCGUCCACUACUAAUAAAAAAGUAUUUCCUCUGUAAACUAAUAUAAGAGCAUUUAGAUCACUAAACAUUAAUGAUCUAAACGCUCUUAUAUUAGUUUACGGAGGGAGUAAUAAACACGGUGGUGGAGAUAUUUUCCAUUGGUUACCAUUAAAACGUAUAUAGUCGACAUAUUGUAUAAUAUUAUGCGUCCGUGCAUAUACAUAGCCACCGAUAGCAUUCACAUACGAGCAUGCUUUCUCGAGCCAUGUUCGUACAUGAACAUGGACAUACACAUAUUCUUAGGAACAAAUAAGAAAGAUAAAUGGAGAAGGAAAACCCAAAGCAAUGUCAGAGUUGACAAAACUGCAAUGGCACUUUAUAUAUGGCCUGUCGUGAGUGAGCUGUUUAGGCCUUGCCGGACUCCUCGCAGCCCGGUGGCUUGAAGGCGAUGAAGCUGACGCACUGCACCUGACGCAUGUUGUCGAAUCCGAUGAUGCGGACAUAGGCGUCAGGGUACUCCUUCUUGACCUCCUCCACCUCGUUGAUCACCUGCGUGGCGUCGGUGCAUCCGAACAUAGGCAGCUUCCACAUUGUCCAGUACCGGCCAUCGUAGUACCCAGGGGAUGCGUUGUGCUCACGGAAGAUGAACCCAACCUUGCUGAACUCGAG
rnacentral:lncRNA from 1 species